UUUUUUUUUCGGUUUCCCAAGGUAUUUCCAUAGCCGGCAGCCGUAAGAUUAAUCCUCCGUUCCUCUGUCAGCGCACUAAGCGGUAGGAAACUGGUCACAAAAUUUGCUCCAUUCGUCAGAGGCGGGGAUCGAACCACGACCUCUUGCUUAAGGGACAUGGCGUUGAACCACCAUGCCAACUCUAGUGGUUAUAUUAGAGGAUUAUCAAAUAUAGCUAAUUAAUACUAUUAAUAAUUUAAUGAAAUAAAUUUUUAUAAAAUUAUUUGUAUUUAAAUUUUUUUAAUAAAGCGUAAUCAUAAAUAUUUAUUUAUAAAAUAAACAUGGAGGUAGAUUUAUUUUAAUGUGGCACCUUAGGCAGUGUUGGAGUUAGCAAUUUGACGAACAGUGUGCAUAUUUUCUUGUCAAUUGUAUUGUGGGCGUGCGAAAUUAAAUAUACACUUGUAACAGCUAACAUUUAACCUCUAUAUACCACAUUAUUUUUUGAUAAAGAAUGUGCACUGAAUCAUUCUUCGCCUUAUAAUUUUUUGAUAAAAAAUGUGCACUGGAUCACUCUUCGCCAAAGGUGGCUCUACCAAUGGCCUUAGGAUAGAUAUUCCAAUGUGCAUUGUAAAUUUGCUUAUCUGAUAGGAUUAUAUAAGACUUGAGAAAGUUUUGAUUGUUUUAACAAAUUAUACUUUUAAAAUUUAAAUUACAAGUCCAAACAAAAUUUUAACAACAGAGCCUCAUGUUUGUUCCCAAAAGUAAUCGACAUUCACUUUUGUGAUGCCCGAGUGUUUACAGAAGGUGCAAUAAAAUGGAAGUAUUCAACAUUCACCUUCUGAAAGUAUUCCACAAUUCAUCCAGAUUUCUCAUCGACAAACUUGGAAGAGAUAAUCUAAACUAAACUUUUGACGUCUCUUCUAUGAGAUUGAAAUCAAUUAAAUAUUUAGCCGCAACUAAUACAUAAUCAUUACACUUGUCAAAUUUAAUCAAUAUAUGUCAACAUGCAAGACACCUGAUAAGGCAUUAACCUCGAAUUUAAAUUAUGUUGAAAGUAGCUCUUGUAUAUCAAUGGAUUCAUGUGAAAACAUGAGAAUUUGAUGUAAAAAUUGUUAUUUUCGGGUACAAAAUUUGUAUUUAAUAAUAUAAAUCUUAAUUUUAAGCUCAAGAACAACUUUAAGAACUAUAAAAAAAGUUCAACAACUUCAAUUACAAGUUAAAGUGAACCAUCAAAAUGAAGCUUCAACUAUUUUCUGGAAAAAAAGGUAAAAUCAACUUUAAAGAAAGUAUAAUGAAGAUAGAAUAGAUAGAAUCAAGUCCACCGAAUUCACGUAUGUUCUUAAGGAAUUUAUUUCCCUCAAGCACCCGAGGUUAAUCAAUAUCUCCUCCCAGAAUAAAAUGAUUUACUUCAGAAAAUAGCAGCACCUCAAAUUUUCUGAACUUCGAAACUCACUUAAGGAUUUGAAUAUCACACUAGAGUUUUUAGAAGAAGAAAUAAAUAUUUUUCAACUCAAAGUUUGUGCCUUUACCUAUGGAAAGGUUCAGAUUUUAUAGCCAAAAGGUGUUACUUCAAAAAAAAAAUGAUGAUUCACGAAAAGAGACAACUUUCUAGAAUAGUAUGUGACCUGCACUGGUCCUGCGCCCGCAGGUGGCGUUUGGCAAUUUCUACUAUGUUCUGUGUGGCACCUGCGCUAGACCUGCGUGCACGGGUCGCUAGGUGCGUGCACAUAUCACUGUUUUCCCCCCAACCAAUGUGUUUCUUGCCUCGAAGGGUCGCAUCCCUUUGAGGUGCAUUGUGAUUGUGUCCACAAAUGGAGAAAAAUUUUCUAUUGAAUUUUUGAAUUAUAAACUUCACUUAUUUUCAAAUUUCAAAUAAAUUUUGUCUAGAAAGAUAAUCUCCAGAUCGAUCAUUUUUCAAAUCCAAAUCUGAGCCGAGCGACCGACGACGACGACACGAAACAUGUCUUGUUCUUGCCUCAUUAUCCACAUAACGAAAUGCUUCUCAAUAUAAGCUAAGACUAUCCACAUAAAGGAAUGAUUCUCACUAUAAGCAUAAGAAAGUUUCUUUAUACCACCAAUAUUGGAGUACUUUACUUCCUUAAAGUGAAUACUCACUUCACGUUUUCCUCCAUUUUCCAUUCACAUAUACACUUAAAACCCAACAGACCUCCUCUACAACAAAAUAUUUAUCUUUUUAAUUGUGAAACUAAUAGUUGGUUCUCCAGGCAUAUUGUGAUUGCCAAAGUUAGAGACUUUGGCAAAAACUCUCUGGACAUUUUUAUUUUUUUAAAAAAGAUGAUGAACCAAGAAAGCAUGAAAGAUAAUAAGAGUAGAGAUUCAUCUAUUAUUUUAUGAUAGGGUAAAACAAUAUUAAUAAAAGAUAAAAGAAAAUAUAAUGUGGAUCAUACGACGUAAUACCCCAAAAUUUUCAGCUCUAGACUCACCACGAGGUAGGCCAUUAAAUUAACGUUCUAAUGCCAAUGGUCUCGCCUUAAUCCAAUAUUAUGGUAAAAAAUUAUGAAAUUUUUUUUACGGGACUGCUAAGAUGCCAGUGACAACGACUCUCACAACUACCAGCUAUCAGACACAAUGAGUCGUUACAUGUGAGUCGUUGCCACACCAGUGAGUAUUCCAAAAAUUCACCCCAGUGAUGAUGACCCUACCCUAUAACUCGUUAUCAGUGACAACGAUUGGUUAGGAGGGAUCUGUAGUCACAUCAGUGAGUAACCAAGAGCUCAGCCCAGUGGCAAUGAGUCCAGCACACACACGACUCAUUAUCAGACAUAAUGAAUCAUUGUGUGGAUUGGUUAUCAGAACAGUAAGAAAUCAAGAAAAUAAGUAAUUGAUAACGGCUCCUUAUAACAACUCAUUAUCAGAGUUUAUUAGUCCUAAUGAGUCAUCAGGAGGGAAGUCGUUGUUAUAAUAGUGAAGGCCCAAAGCUCAGGUCCUCAGUUCAUGACUCAGACCACCACUCAUGACUAGUCGUAAUGAGUCAUUACCCGAGUCAUAAGACUGUUUCUCAUAAAUUCCUGCACAAAUUAAAAAGGAAUUUAAGUCUUCUAAAAUUAUUUUAAUCUCAAAACCACGUCGUUUGGGCACUCCAACAUCAGUUAUUAAGGGGUUAAAUUGACCCAAACACCUCAUAAACUGUAAUUCCCCAAAAAUGGGUCCCGAGACGUCACACGGUGCUCAAAACUAUGAUUAGCCUCAAACUAACUCUGUAAGCCUUCUACUAAAUCUAAGUACUCGUAAAUCAAGAAAUAUGAACACAAUAUCAAUGGGGAAGUCUGUCUGAUCUAAGCUGAAAUCAUCUAAAGGUAUUUGUCUCAAAAGUCUUGAUAAUUAAUACUAAAAAUUUGAAUUAAAUCUAGCAUUCUAACAAACCUCUACUACCAAAACUAAAGAGACACUGGGACAAGUCCCCAGCUGAACCGAACUAACUAAAAAAUACUGAAUCAAUUACUGCAAUAAAUAAGAAAAUCUGAAUGACUAGGUCCCCGAACAAUGAGAACUCACUAACUGUCGGGAUAUAGAUGGAGAUGCUCACAAUCACUCAUGCUGCUGAAACUGAGCACCUGAACCUACAUUAUGAGAUAAUGUAGCACAUAGACGUAUAUGUGGAUCAAUAUUUUUGAAAUGUACCAAGUAUAUGAGGGUGAAUACAUCAGUAAAAUAAUAUCUCAACAUUAGUGUAAGUUUGCAAAAAAAUGCAUGCUAAGUGUAGAUGACUCACACUAGCUUGAAUAACUUAAAUACUGAAAAUCAUGAUCAUAAGUGAUAAAGGAUGUUGUAUAUCUAGUGAGUCAUAACACUUAGUUCUAAAAGUUUUACUUGUAUUCUAUCUUGAAAGGACUCACUUUUAUAUCUGUACACUGAAAGCUAAAAUCAUAUAGUCAAUGUCUUAUAUAAAGCAAUAUCUGAAUAAAACGGUGAGCCUUUACACUUAGUUUCUAAAAGCUGUUAUGUUAUUCUUUUCUGUAGUCUUUUCUAUUAGGUUGUAGGGAGGUUCUUCUAACUGACAUAAACCAUGUGAGCUAACAUGGAGUCUAACAUCUAGUUUUCUUAUGGGAAAACCUCACAUCGGGGAGAGGUGUCAUACUCUUUCCACGGAGUAUAACCUAAUCUAAGUGAUCACAUCUGUAACUAUCAUCCAUAUAGAAAUGGGAAUAAUCUGAUAAUCUGAACCUAUAUUGGCUCAUAGUUUUGGGGCAUGAGAACAUACCCAACUCGAUGCUAAAUACUACUCUCUUUAAUUUGUGUGCUCAUUCUAUUGGAAAUCCAUUUCCAAAACUAGCACAAGGAUUUAUAAUAAAAACCGAUUAUGCAUCUAUCUAUUUCGAACUGUAAGCAAACCUAAAUCUAUUUUCUGUAAAAUAUAAUAAAACUGUAAAGUGAAUUUCAUAUCUUAACUGAGGAUCAAAGAUUAAAUCUUUAUAAAAAUCUGAAAAUAACUAAUUAUAGGAUGCUUAAAGCAUUGUCAUUCUUAAAAUAUCAAUGUUCAACUAGGGCUUAACAAACCAUAGAUCAAAUUCAUGUCAAAUCAGCAUAAAGUUCAUGCUUGAUAAUAAAAUAUUGAUAAAUCAAUUCAAAAUCUGGAAAUUUCAACAAUACGCAUAAAAAUAUGAAAGUAUACAUGCAAUUCAACAUCUAAUUCAAUUGUAAUCUCAUGAUCUUCAAAUAGUAAAGAGUGGAUAUAAAACCUAGACUAAAAUUCAUAUAAUUUCAUAUAAAAUUUAACUUUAAAACUAAUUUUGGGCACAAGGAUGAAAGACUUAUCCUGGUUGAAAACCCCCACACACCUUAAUAGAUGAAUAGAUGAAGAAGCUUGAACUUUGAGUUCCUAUUUGUGAUCUUGAGGAUUGAUUCUUGAAGAUCUUGAAUUGGGAAUCUUGAAUUUUGGGUUAUCUUGGAAAAAGAAUGGUGGAAUUUGGAUUUCUCGGGGUUUAAGUUUUGAGGUUCUAGGGUUUCUUGGAGAGUAAUUUGAUUAAAAGUGAGCAUAUAAUGCUUAGAAUAGGUUAAAUCUUAUGUUUUACAUAAUUUGGGGGCUUGGGAAAUGAUAAGGUUGCCCUUUGUAAGAAUUAGGUUGAAACUGGAAAUCUCAAUUUUAGGCCUCAGCGCUACGCGCCACAAUUGCGGUGGCUUGCGUGAAAAAGGACGAGUGCCAUUUUGGCCUCUAGCGCGACAUGGUAUAAUCGCAUUGCGUCACAUGAAAAGGAUGAGUUCCAUUUGCACUCCACCGUGAUGCGGUGCUAUGCUCCACCAUGAUUUUUAGCGCGAUACUGGCCAAUCACGGUGAGCUACUGGAAAUGGUGGUCGGCGGUCCCAGAAUUUUCAGCCUAUCUAGGGACCAAGAAUGAAAGGUACUCAAUCUCAGUGGAGUGUAUCUCAUACUCUUCGAUCAUACCCGCAUUGUGGAAUAUGUGGAAAAGAUUAUCCAGGGCCGUGUCAGUUUAGGAAUCUUGUUUACUAUGGUAAACUUGAAUUAUGUCAUAACUCUUAAUAUGAUUCAAGCUUAAUGACUAAACCAAUAUUUGUGUAAAAGAAUCUCUUUUCGCUAGUAUUGUGAAUCAUGUGAGUAAGAAGGAUUCUAGAAGAAAUGCCCAUGACUUAUAAUUGACUUUUUAAUAAUCAAUUUUAAGCUUGAAAAGUGGUGAUUGCUCAUAUCAUUUAUAUAUAUAUAUAUACAUACAUCUACUCAUAUAAUGUGGUGAUGGUUAAUGGUGAAGUACCAUGAUAUGUAUUUCCUUACCUCUUUUACACUCUAUUGAUUGUGGGCUUGUACUUGUUGUUGAUUCGGCUAUGUAUGUAUGUAUGUAUUAUUGUAAUAAUUAUUAUUGAUAAUGUGAUGAUGCCCGGUUAAUUCAAAAGAUAUAUUAAUGUUAUGAUAAAGCUGGAUGAAUUCGAAAGAGGUACUGAUUUUAUGAUGAUGUCCGGUGAAUUCGAAAGAGGUAUUGAUGUUUUGAUGAUACCCGGUGAAUCCGGAAGAUACAUUGAUGUUGUGGUGAUACUAUGUAUGGUAAGCACAUAUGAAUAUAUAGGUAUAUGCGUGGUUAUGCCAUGGUAUGAUUAAGCCCAUAGGUGCACUUGAGAUGUGAUGUUUUUUUUGAGAAGUUGUCAAUGAUUCUCUACCGUUAAUCAUUAGUUAAGUGGCAUGGCCCUUGUUAAUACUAAAUAGUGAAUAGAAGUAGAGCAUACCAAAUAUUGAGUUAAGACUAAUUGGUAAGUGUAAUCAUGUGUAGAAUUAAGGAACUACCUAGUGGAUAGGCUUGGCUUGAAUAAAUGGUUAUGUUAUAGAGUUUCGCCUAGUAUAAAUGGGUUAUGAUAUAAUUAGUUUCCUAUAUAAAGUAAAAAAGAAAAAUGUUUCCUAUGUAAGGUAGUUAUAUUACUUGAUGUCCAGAAGCCUAAAAUAUUAGUUUGUGGACCUUGUUUAGUUAAAAUACGAUAACUAGUAAUUAUGGUUGUAAAUGGCUACUGAUGAUAAUACAGUUAGCAUUUCUGAUGAUUAGUGAUAUUAAUGUCUAGUAUGUAAUGUUAUUGGUUGCUUAAUUGAGGAAUUAGAUAAUUAUGGUGCUAACUAGAAAAAGGCGUUAGUUAUAGAUAGAUGAAUGCGUUAGUAAUAUGUAGCUUCUCACUAUUAAUUAUUAGUGUCCUUAUGAUAGCUAGGAAUGAGUUGUUUAAUGGUGAUUUUGGUGUAGUGAUUCGUCUUGGCUAGAUGGGGAUGUUCUCUAUCUAAUGAAUGAUGAUUAGUUGCUACUCCUUGAAAGUGGAGUAUAUAAGGUUUCAGUUAGGCUAGUGGUUGGAGGCCUUAUGAUGACUAGUAAACUAGUAGUUUAAUAAUAAGUGUGGUUAGUUAUUAAUGACUAGAUUGAGUGUACUUAUAUCAUUGAUAUCUAAACAAUACUACAACUAUGGUCAUGAUUACUUUAGUAUAUGUUGGUUCGACUUGCGGUAGUUGAGGGUGAUUAUGGGUCUUGGCAAGUGACCGUGGCAGGAAAUAUGGAAACCGCGGCAGAAUGUGAGUUAGUUGUGUAUAUAUAUUUAUCUUGAUACUUUGAUGAAUUGAUCUAUUGGUGCACUCUCCAGUGGUAUGGGACACCGUGAUGAGUUCUUUACUUUGUGUUUUUUGGGUGUACUUCCCAGUGGUAUAGGACAUUGUAGUAAGUUCUUUUACUUUAUGCUUUAAUGAUUGUAUGCGUGUUGAGCUUGGUAUUUAUGCGAUUGUAAUUGUAUAUACAUAUUGCUUUACGCCUUCGGAUCGGUUAUGCACUUUGUAUGGUGGUUGUCGUAUGUAUUGAUAUGAGAUACCAUAUUAUUGUUCUAAUGGUUAGUUAUUUCGUAUAGUGAUGAUGAAGAACAUUCAAGUUUGAUUCUGUACCUUGACGUAUAGUUAUUGUCUUACUUUAUAUCACAUUUAUAUCAUAAUUUAUCUCAGUCGGCGGAUGAUUCCUUCUGAGUACUCGUGUUUUGGUACUCAUACUACACUUCUAUAGCUUUUUGUUAUAGACCCGAGUGCUAGUUUCCACUGCUGAGUUGAGAUCAUGUUGUGUUGAUCUUCCGGAGAUAGGGUGAGCUCUUGGAGUUUGAGUCUCCCGUUUCCCCUCAAUAUUUAUUCUUUUUUUGUAUUCGAGUCAAAUGUAUAAGACUAUUUAUACUUUGAGAUGUAAUUCCUAUUGUCGGACAUAGAUUCUCUUGUACUAAUAUUACCAGGUCGUGGGAAUUGGUAUUCGUAGUUGUUUGUUUAUUGUGGAGCAUUGUUGCAUGUUAUUGUGUUAUCUAUUGUGGCCCUUGUCAAGCAUUUCUACUAGAGUAAUCCAUUGCCUUAGCUUCGGGUUACGGUGUUGGCUUACCUAUUGGUGGGUUUUAGUAGGUGCCAUCACGACUCGUAAAUCAGGUCGUGACAAGGAAUCACAAGGGCAAAUGCAUGGUUGGUAGUGAUAUUUAUUUUGGGUGUGGCAAGUCAGGUCACAGAAUAAGACAGUGCCCUAUGGUUACAUACAAGAGUAAAAAUAAUCAUAGUUGAGUCAGACCAACUCUUCAGCCAUUCUAGUAGGUCGCCCGACUUAGUAGGGUACCACUUCUAGUGCAACUAGUGGGCAGUGUCAGAAUAGGCUUUAUGCCCUUCAGACUCGACAGGAUCAAGAGGUUUCUCCUAAUGUAGUCACCGGUACAUUAAAAUUUUUUCUAAUUAAUGUACGCAUUAUUAGACCUUGGAGCCACACUUUUCUUUGUGAUGCCCAAUAUAGCGAUUGAUUUUGGUAUCAGUCCCAAAAUCUUUGCAGAUCCCUUCUUAGUUUCUACCCCAACCAGUAAUUCAGUCAUAGCCAGAUGGGUAUACAGAAAUUGCCCAGUCACAAUAUCCCAGAAAGUCACUUCAAUCUUGUUGAGUUAGACAUGACAGAUUUUGAUAUCAUUCUUGGCAUGGAUUGGCUCUACUCUUGCUAUGCCUCAGUUGACUGUUGGAAUAGAGUAGCCCAAUUUAGUUUCCAAAUAAGCCAGUCUUAGAGUAGAAUAGUAGUACCUCAGUGCCUAUAAGUGAGUUUAUCAAUUUCCUUAAGGAAAGAAAAAUAAUUUCCAAAGGGUGCAUCUAUCAUCUUAUUCGAGUCAAGGACUCAAGGCCUAAAAUCCUGAGUUUUGAGUCAGUUCCGGUAGUAAAUGAAUUUCUAAAAGAAUUUCCUGAAGAUCUGCUUGGAGUUCCUUCUGAGAGGGAGGUUGACUUCGGGAUAGAUCUCAUUCCUAAUACCCAGCCUAUUUUAAUUCCAUCUUAUAGAAUAGAUCCUUCCUAGCAUAAGAAAUUAAAGAAACAGUUAAUAGAUCUCUUAGACAAGGGUUUCAUCAGGCAUAGUGUCUCUCCAUAGGGUACUCUAGUUCUCUUCGUGCAUGAUAAAGAUGGUUCUCUCUGAAUGUGCAUCGAUUAAAGUUAGUUUAACAAAGUCAUAAUCCCCAGUAUUAAUGAAUUAUUCAAUCAAAUUCAGGGUGCUAAUUAUUUCUCUAAGAUAAACCUCAGAUUCAGCUAUCAUCAGCUUAGAGUUAGAGAAAGUGACAUCUUGAAGACAACCUUCAGAACUCUGUAUGGUCACUUUGAAUCUGUAAUUAUGUUUUCUGGACAAACAAAUGCCCCUGCAGCUUUAUAGACUUUAUGAAUAGAGUGUUCAAGUAGAACUUGUACAUGUUCGUUAUAGUCUUCAUAUAUGACAUCCUCAUCUAUUCUCGUAGUGAAGGUGAGCAUGCACACUAUUCAAGGAUUGUUUUGUAGACUCUUAAAGAUCACCAGUUAUUUGAUAAGUUCAGUAACUAUGAAUUCUGGUUGAAAUCAGUAGCUUUCCUCAGUUAUAUUAAUUCUGGUGAAGGCAUCUGAGUUUAUUCACAAAAGAUCAAGUAGUAAAGAACUUGCCUAGAUCCAUCUCUCCAUCAGAUAUCAGGAGUUUCUUGGGUUUGGUUGGUUACUACAAAUGGUUUGUGGAAAGAUUUUCCUCUAUUGCUUCUCACAUGUCCACUUACUUAGAAUAAAGUUAAAUUUUAGUGGUCUGAUUUAUGCGAGAAGAGUUUCCAGGAGUUGAAGAUGUGACGCACCUCCGCUCCAGUUUGGACUUGACGAGAGGGUUCAGAUGAUUUUGUGGUUUAGUGUAAUGCUUCCAGAGAUCGUUUUGGUUGUGUAUUAAUGUAGUGGGGCAAGGUUAUAUUAUAUGCCUCUAGACAACUCAUAUCCCAUGAGAAGAACUACCCGACUCAUGAUCUUGAGUUGGCCACAAUUGUUUUUGCCUUAAAAAUCUAGAGGCAUUAUCUUUAUGGAUUUCAUGUUGAUGUGUUCACUGGUCACAAGAGUCUUUAGUAUGUGUUUAGCCGACAAGAUAUAAAUCAUCAUCAGUGAAUAAGGUUAGAGUUACUGAAAGACUAUGAUAUGAGUAUCUUGUACCAUCCGAGCCAAUAUUAUGGCUAACACCCUUAGUAGAUUGUCUAUAGGGAGUGUUGCUUGUCUAGAGAAUGAAAAAAAGAGUUAGUUCGUAAGGUUCAUCAGUAGGCUAGAUUUGGUAUUAGAUUGGUUGAUUCAGCCGAAGGUAGUAAUUAGGCUUAAAUGGUUUGGAAUCUUCUCUAGAUUUUGAAGUGAAGUAAAAGCUAGAUAGCGAUCCUAUUUUUCUUAAGUUGAAGAAGGCAGUUCAGAAUCGGAAGGUUGAGGUUUUAUCCCAAGAGAGAGAAGGUUUCCUUCAUUGUCAAGAUAGGUUAUGUGUUUUGUAUAUGGAUGAUUUGAGGCAAUAGAUGUUAUUAUAGACUUACAGUUCUCGGUAAUCUAUUCACCCUGGAGCCACACAGAUGUAUCAUGAUCAGCGGGAAAUAUAUUGGUGGAAUGGCAUGAAGAAGGAUAUCGCAGAAUUUGUUGUUAACUGUCCAAAUUGCUAGUAGGUUAAGGUUGAGUAUCAUAUACCUAGUGGUAUGCUUUAGUAAUUUAGUAUUCAUGCUUGGAAGUAGGAAGUGGUAAAUAUGGACUUUAUUAUAGAAUUUCCUCGUACUUGUCCACAAUAGACUCUAUUUGUGUUAUCGUAGACCGAAUGACUAAGUUGGCUUAUUUUUUGCCUGUUAAUAGUCAGAUUCAGCCAAAUAUUAUCCCAAGAUCUAUCUUAGGGAGUUGUUAAAGUUGAAUGGAGUUGCAUUAACCAUUAUUUCAGAUAAAGGUACCUAGUUCACCUCUCAGUUUUGGAAGGUUUUUCAGAAGGAUCUUGGUACCUAUGCUCAUCUUAGUACAGUUUUUCACCCGCAGAUAGAUGGUCAUGUAGAUAGGACCAUUCAAACCUUAGGGGAUAUGUUGAGGGAGUGUGUAAUUGAUUUCAAGGGUAUUUGGGAUUAUCACUUACCUUUGAUUGAGUUUGCGUGUAAUAACCACUAUCACUCCAGUAUCCAAAUAGCUCCAUUUGAGGCUCAUUAUGGUAGGAGGUGUAGAUAUCCUAUUGGGUGGUUUGAGGUUAGUGAAGCAGCUUUGAUAGCGCUAAAUUUAGUACAUGAGUCGAUAGAAAAAUUUUAGCUGAUUAAAGAAAGGCAAAAAACUGCCCAAAGUUUUUAGAAAUCCUAUAUAGAUGUGAGAAGGAGGGAGUUUGAUUUUGGUAUUGAAGAUUUUAUUUACUUAAAGUUUUUGCCAAUGAAAGAGGUGAAGAGAUUUGGUAAGAAAGAAAAGCCCAGUCCCCACUUUGUUGGUCCCUAUAAGAUUUUGAAUCGAUAUGGCAAGGUAUCCUCAGUAGUUCCUUUAGAAAGGGUUGGCAAGGAAAAUAGUUUCUCUUAUGAAAAGGUCCUAGUUGAGAUCCUGGAUUAUUAGAUUCGCAGGUUGAGGAAUAAAGAUGUUGCAUUAGAAAAAGUUUUGUGGAGAAAUCAGUCAGUCGAGGGAGCUACUUGGGAAGCAGAGGCAGAUAUGCUUGCCAAGUACCCCCAUAUUUUCUCUUUAAACCCAGUCCCAGCCUGAGGUAAUAAUUUCUAUAAUAAAUUAAUUCCUUCAUUCCUAUUUCAAGCCAUCCAUCUAUUUUCAUGUCAUAACAUCCAUUCAUAAGUUUAGUUCAGUCCAUGCACCAGUCACAGAUUUGGAUGUUAACUCAUUGUUCAUCUCAUAAGAAUUUAGUGCAAAAUUUUAGUUUUAUUUAGGGAUGAAUGAUCUCAAGAGGUAGAUAUUCUAAUACCCUAAAAUAUUUAACUUUAGAAUCACCACUAGGUAGACCAUUAAAUUAGCUUUCCAACACCAACAGUCUCACCUUAAUCCUAUAUCAUAGUAAAAAGUUAUGGAAAAUUUCCUAAGGGACUGCUAAGGUACCAGUGACAAUGACUCUGGCAACUACCCAUUUCAGACACAACGAGUCAUUACGUAUGAGUCAUUGCCACACUAGUGAGUAUUCCAAAAAUUCAGCCCAGUGAUGACGACCCUACCCUAUGACUUGUUAUCAUCAAUAAUGAGUUGUUAGAAAGGACCCAUAGUCACAACAGUGAGUAACCAAGAACUCAGCCCAGUGACAAUGAGUCCAACACACGACUUGUUAUCAAACAUAACAAGUCAUUGUGUGGACACAUUAUCAGAAUAGUAAGAAAUAAAGAAAACAAGUACUUGAUAACGAUUCCUUCUAAUGACUUGUUAUCAGUACUAAUGAGUCAUCAAGAGGGAAGUCGUUAUCAUAACAGUGAAGUACCAAAGCUCAGGUCCUAAGUUCACGACUCAAACAAUAACUCGUGACCAGUUGUAAUGAGUCAUUACCCGAGCUGUGAUGACUGUUUCUCAAAUAUUCCUACAUAAAUUAAAAAGGUCUUUAAUUCUUUCCCAUUCUUUUAAUCCCAAACCCAUGUCAUUUAGGCACUCCAACAUCAAUUAUUAGGGGGGUCAAAAAUUGACCCUAACACCUCAUAAACUCAAAAUAACUCAACACUUAGCAAAAAGAGGCGAUUUCUUCUUCUCCAAAGACAAAUUAGGGUUUCUCAAGAAUAAGUUCAAAUUCUAAAGAUUUCUUCAAGGCUUCCACUUCAAAGUAUGCGGGAUUUCAUCAAUGGGAUCUUUCUACCUAUUGAGUCCCAAUGAUUUCUCCAAGACUUCCAUUUCCAAGUAUGUGGGAUUUCAUCAAUAGGUUUCUUCUACUUAUUGAGUCCCAAAGAUUUCUCCGUUCUCCAGUUAAAUUUUCCUUCAUAUCUAGUAUUUCACGUCAAAUAUGUGUUUCCCAUGAUUUGUUCAGUUAUUAUUAUAACUAUACCAUAAGUAUAUGUUUUCCCAUAAGAGUAACAUCUUCCAUGUUUAAUAAAUCAUGAAUUCCCUAUUAUGACCAACUUGUAACUUUAUCAUGUUCAGUUGCAUUAGUCAGUACUGGUGGGUUAUCAACACCCAAUACCUAAGGAAUUAUGCAUAUAUAUCCGUCUGCAUAUAUUGAGAACGUUAGAUUAUAAAUAGUUGAUACUUUUAGAAUAUUAUUAUGAUGAGCAAUUCAAUUCAUGUUUUAGUGUCAUUCAGCUGGGAGUAGUACUUAGCACCGAGUAAAUGCAGGAAUGACGGCUCUCACAUCUGUAAGGCUGAGAUCAUUAGUAGAAGGCCCUAAGUUCCAGAACUAUGGUGCCACCUUAUGUUAUAAGGGGUCACCCGUUAGAUAGGCAUGACACCCUAGUCCUUUGAAACAUCAGUUUUGUGGAUCCACGCCAGCCAGUGUUGGUACCCUUAGUAAGGUACUAACACCCUUCCAACAAGGGUUAUAGGUUGGAUCCUGAUUUUCUUAGAUUAGGGUAUGUUGGUUAUUGUUAUCUCACAUAUUCCUCGGUUCAUAUUAAGUUUAUGUUCAGUUCAGGUUUACUUGAUAAAGUAAUCAGUUAAUCAAUUAUUUAGUUAUUCAGUUUAUCAGUAUAUAUUUAUUCUUGGUCAUUUAUUUAGCUUACAUGUUCAUGUAUUCAUGCUCAGUUCAUAUCAGUUUGCUUUCCAUCUCGCAUACUCAGUACAUUUAAGUACUAAUCACACACUUAUUUGUGCGAUGUCGUCUCAUAAUAUAGGUUCGGACGUUCAGUACCUGGAUCGCACUUAGCUCAUAUCUGUGUCAUUAGCUAAAGUAUUGGUGAGUACUCAUUAUCCAAGGACCAGUAUUAGUUAUUUAUUUUAGUAUUUCAUUUAUUUUCAAUCACUUGGAGUUAGUUGGGGGCUUGUCCCAGCAACUCACUAUAUUUUAGAGACUUUUAGAUAUUUAGAUAUGUUUUCUAUUUGUUGAGUAUUUCAGAAAUUAUCAGUAUUGUAUCCCUUUAUUUUAUGUCUACAAUCAGUUUAGCUUCCACCCAGUAUUUUGUUAAUUUUCUCCAGUAUCCUAAUGAUGUGCCAAGCUAUGGGUUAGCUUGGGGUUACUUGUGACUAUAAGCACCAUGUUACGACUAGGGGUAGUCUCGGGUUAUGAUACAUGAGCAGAAAGAAAUCACCUUCUUCAUCACGAGUUUUUACACAUACUUCUAGGCUACUUGAUUAACUAAGACACUUGGCACAUUACCCAAGGAUAUCCCAAAGUUGAAAGUUCUAUCUCACCUUCUGGCAGAUGAAAUCUUCAAUCAGGAACGUACAUUGCUAGGAUGAAGGUCAAAGCACCAAAGAUGCCAACUUUUGUAAAAUUCUUUAAUGAGGAAUAAUACCUUGUGAGGGUUAUAGAUUCAAUAUGACAAUAGUUAUAACUUCCCAACUCCACCUAUCAAGAUGAUAUUCAAGAACCAAGUCUACUUAAUUUAAGUAUCCAAUAAGAGAAAUUUAAAUCGUAAAAGAGGAAAUAUAUCAAAAAACUUAUAGUUUGUUACCUAAGAUCCCUGGAAUACCUUGUAGCUCACUAGUUACUACUCAAGAAUUAAGAUGUAGAACUAAUGUAGUAUUGAUCAUAGUAGUAUAAGAAUUUUGUUAGGACUUUGAGUGUUAAUUAUGUUAAUGCUUGUAGUCGCUUACAAAUUUCUUUUUGGUCACGUUUAUUGUUCCGCAGUCACCAAACAUUAAAUAAAAUAGCCAUUUAUUGAGAAGAGUAUAUGUUGUUUCUCCUGCUUCUAUCUCACCCCCUUCAUCUUCAACUCCUUUAUUCUUUUCUUCCUCAAAUCUUCAACACAUGAUUUGAAAUUUUUUUUCACUCUCAAAAUUGUUAUUUCAAUUCAUUUUCUUUCUGAAAAUUCCCCAAAAUUAAGUUAAUUACAAUUACGAUUUUGAAAUACAUUCAAAUCUACAAUGGCAGUUUUCAAUUUACAUUCCCAAAUCUAUUUCCUAAAUACAUUUAGAGUUUCAUUUUCAGAUCUACAAUGACAAUUUUCAAUUCUUUUUACUCAAAUCAAUAUUAAAAUACAUUCAGAGUUUCAUAUGUAUUUUUGUAUUUAUUUCAUUAUUUAUCUUCUCUCUUUGUUCCAUUUCAUCUAAUUUCUUCAAUUUAAAUUUUUUUAUUCUUUGCACAAUUGCAUCAACGAAUAAAAUGAUAUACAUUUGUAUAUUUGUAUUAAUAUGUAAAUUUAUUUUAGAUUUUUUAGUUUUAUUUGACGAUUGUAUCCAGCAUAAAAUGAUUGUGUUAAUGUAUAAAUCUUUCUUUGAUUGUAGAUCAAUGAAUUUGUGUACAUUUUAUAACUUAUUUAAAAUCUAAAUUAUACAUUUCUAUUUUUGUAUCAGUGCAUUUGUACAAGUCAAAGCUAUUUGUACGAUGGACUUAUGCAAUUGAAACAGAUUUUGUAUCAUACAUUUGUACAUUUGUAUCAUUGACUUUUGUAUGGUUAAAUGCAUUUUAUAUUUGUAAAUGUAAUGUAUAUCUAUGAAUGUACCUUUAUAUACAUGAUUUAAAUGUAUUUGUAUUAGUGACUUUGUAUGAUUAAAAUGCAUUUUUGUGUCUGUGAAUAUAUUCUAUAUUUGUGAAUUGAAAUGCAUAUGUACUGUGAUUUAUAUAUGUUUCAAACCAUAUGAUUUUAAUUAUACAUUUGUAUAUUUAUAUUUUUCUCCUGAUGUCCCAUGGUUUCAUUGCCCUUUCUAUGUUUAAAACAAGAAAAUUAUGCAAGUACUUAGGUAUUUUUGUUAGAUGUGAUGUGCUUUUGUGUUAGUUUUACAGAAAAAUAGAGUUCGACUGUCACGAUCCGAGGCUACCUCCUAGUCGUGAUAUGGUGUUUAAGGAAACAAGUGACCCCAAGCUAACCCAUGAUCUGGUACCUGUCGUGAGCACUGAAUAAAAUAAUGAUAAAGUAUCAUAUAUGGAAACUAAACUAAUAUAAAUACCAACAUGUCUGAAUUACUGAUAAAAAAAAUUGAAAACAAAUCUAAAUAUUUGAAAAUCUAGUCUGACUAUGUGAAAUUCUCUAAGACAUAAGGAGUUGAUGGGACAAACAUCCAACAAACCCCGACCGAUUGAACAUAAAGAAAUACUGAAAUAAUUGAAAAUAACUAAUCCUCGAUGGACGAGAACUCACCAUUACUGCUGCUAAGAGGUACUUAUCUGACUAAGGGCAAUCGGAGAACUGAGCAUCCAAAACUAUAUUAUGAAAUCAAUAUUGCACAAAAGAGAGUACGUGGUCAGUACUUUGAAUGUAUUGGUAUGUGAUAUAGGCACUAACCGAAAAUACAUAUGGAUACUGAACAUGGAUGCAUGAAAUAGUAAAAAAAAAAUGCAAGACCAAGUAAAACAUAUACUGAAAUAAUCUGUAAAACCGAAUUAUUGAAUAGCUGAUAACUAAAUACUUGGUCAUGGAAACCUGAUCUGAUAUGGUCUAAAUACUAUACUGAGACUGUGGAAGAUAACUACAACCGACAUACCUCAAUCUGAGCUAUCGGAGCCCAACCUGUAACCCCAGUUAUAAGGGUAUUAGUACCUAACUAGGGGUACUAACACAUGAUUGACAAUGUGGAUCAACAAGAUUGAUGUCCAGAAGAGCGAAGGUGUCAUGCCUAACUGACAAGAUACCCCUUAUAAUCUAUGGUGGCACUGUAGGUAUGUAAUUUAGGGACUUCUACUAACGACUCAUGUCUAACUGACGUGGAAGCCGCCAUCCCUGUGUUCACUCGUUACUAAAUGUUACUAUAGCACCUCAUAUUUUUGUGCUAGGAUUCAAAUCAUUGUUUCUAUGUGUAUGAAUGUCAAUCUCAUGAUUUGUAUGUUAAUACAUGUGUCAUGAUCAUUACCCUAGUUUAUGAAGUGCUCUCGAAGUAAAAAAUAUUCAUAGAAUUCACUUAGAAUAAAGUUGAGCUAAGAACAUUUGAUUCGUUCAAAGUUUAGUAUUUGGUUCUAUAACGGUCUACUUUGAACAUGUAUAUCUUUUUAUUUACAUAGAAUUUUAUAUAUCAAGACCCAUCAAGUUGUAUAUAAUUGAGUCAGCUUUCCAAUGAUACCAAUUUUUUCUUAAUUCGAUACUCGAGCUAAAAGUUAUAGCCAUAUUUGUGAAGAGAUGCAGUAGGUCGCCGCGAUUACACUGCUCGGCGGGGCCUAUAGAGGUGGAACCAACAGCGCUCAGUGGUAAUCCUAAAAAUUGGGAUUCUCCAAAACAGUAGGUUACCACUGGGCAGUGCCUAUAGCGGUGGAACCAAUAGUGCUUAGUGGUAAGCCUCAAAAUCAGGAUUCUGCUAAAACUUUUAAUUCCGAGAGGCAGUCUUGUCUUUUCCCUCCAGCCCCAGGUUGCAAAAACAAUAGAUUAGAUGUCAUUCUAAACAAAAUAUACUCAUUAUUUACAAAGUUUCUCUCCAAGAAACCCUAAAACUCCAACCGGGUUCAAGAACUUCAAGAAGAAGCUUCAAGAACGUCAUUAGGGAUUCAAAGUUCAAACUUCUAUAUCCAAUUAAUCAAAUAAGGUAUGUGGGGUUAUGAAUAAGGAUACUCCUUUCAUCCUUAUGCCCAAAACUAGUUUUAAAGAUUAAAUUACAUUUAUUUACAUGAAUUGCAAUUAGGGUUCAUAACCAGAGUACCUUGUUUUGAGUUUUGGAUUUAUAAAGUGAUUGAAGCAUGAAAGUCCAUAUUUGUCUUGAUUUAAAGAAUUCUCUUUUAUGAUUUGAACACCAUGAGUAUUAUUUGAGACAUUGAUUAUAGAUUUUCAAUUGAGUUUAAGCAUGAUAUUGUUGAAGUAUUUCAAGAAGUAUAUUGAGCAUGAUGUUUUACUAUGAAUUUGCAUAAGUUUAAAGCAUGGGUUUUAAGCGCUAAAAUUUAGUAUUGAUAUUUUAAGAAGAUUAUAAUUUUAAGCCUCUUUGAUGAUUGUUUACCAAGAUCCAAGAAUGAAUUGAAUGAUUGUUUACCAGGAUCCAAGAAUGAAUUGAUCUUUUGAUCCUAAGCUAAGAUAAGGAAUCCACAUUGUUCAUAUAGUUUGAGACUUAAAUAAAAAUAAGCAUAAUUGGUUUUCAUUAUAAACCCUUAUGCUAUUUUAAGGUGAGUUUCCUAUAGUUUUGAGUGAUAAGUAUGGGAGUAGUAUUUAGCACCGAGUCAGGUAUGAUUCCAAGGUUUCAUACCCCAAAAAUACUAGACAUCAUAGGUUUAAAGCGCCCAUAGUGGCCUAAGUCAAUGAUCACUUAAGAUAAGGUUCUAUUCUGAUGGCAAGGGUAGAAAAAAUCUCCCCAACGUGGGUAAGAUGUCGGACUCCAUGAUAGCUCACAUGGUUUAUGUCGGUUAGAAGAACCUCCCUAAGACUAAGUCCUAAAACAAAAUAACAAAACAACUUUUAGAAACUAUGUGUAAAGGCUCACAAAUUUACUCAGAUAUUGUUUUACAUAAGACAUCAAUUAUCAGAUUUUAGCUUUCAGUUUUCAUAUGAUAAAGGUGAGUCCUUUAUCACUUAGCAUGCAUGAUUUGAAAACAGAGUAAAACUUUUAGAACUAAGUGUGGUGGCUCACAAGAAUUACUUUAAUGCUUUACUAUACAUGAUUUAAGAAUAGACAGUUUUUGAUUAUUCAAGACAAGGUGAGUCACUUACACUUAGCAUGCAGUUUUUGAAAGUGUGUUUGACUAUUGCAUUAUUAUUUUACUUAUGCAUCCACCCCCAUAUAGUUAGUACAUUCCAAAUGUACUGAUCCACGUAUAUGUUUAUGUGCUAUAUUAUUUAAUAAUAUAGGUACCAGUUGUAGCCCAUAUAUAAAAAUCAGAUAGUUGCAGUUGUACCAGUUGAUUCAAGGGUUUGAGUUAGUCAUAGUUCGAGUAGUAUUUCAUUUUUCUUUAUUCAGUCGUAUUGAUUUGGGAUAGUUGGGGGUUAUUUUCCGACUACCUAUAGUCAAUAUUAGUAGAGACUUCAUAGACAGUCAGUAGAAGUUGAUGUAUUUGAUUUCAGUCUUGUUUAUAUAAGCAGAGUUGUAUUCAUCUUAAUGAUUUUAUUUGCAAAGCUAUUUAGCUAAAUGUAUUUUUCCCGCUUAUUACUUCAUGAUUUAUGUAUUUUAUUCAGUUGCUCAUAAGUUAUGCCAGUACAAGGGUUAGCUUGGGAUCACUUGUGGUCCUAAGCACCGUGUAAUGACAAGGGGAUAGUCUCGGGUCAUUACAGUUACUCUCAACUGAUUGACAUUGGUAUUAUUAUUCAUUUAACAUGAUAUGGUACUAUACUAAUAAGUGCUCAGUAUGAACAUAAUAAUCAAAAUAUGAUAAUAAAAUCAUAGUCUGACUGCCUUGUCACUUCACAAUAGAAACAUGUAAAAAUAUAGAGGUAUCGGGUGUUCAUAACCCUCUAGCACUGAAUGAUACUUUAAAUACAAUAAAAAUAUUUAUAACAUUGUAAGGAAAUUCAUGAUUCCAAGAGCCAAAACUUAAUGCAAUUCACAAAACUAGUGAAAUCCAUGAAUUUGAAUAUGGGAUAUGUUAAACUUGGGAGAAAAACAUGUUCACACAAUUUAAUUCAUGAAUUGGUAAGUUAACAUGGUUUCAACCAUACAUAACAUGGGUAAUUGGAGCUUAAAGCAUAAAUUUCAUAAUUCACAUGGGGUAACUUAUUGACAUAGCUUAAAUUCAAAACUACUCAAGAAAAUAUAGAUUAAAUUCAUAAUUAACAUUGAUAUUUUCAUAAAAGACGAUAAGAAAUUCAAAAUUGAACAAAAGGGAUUUUGGGACUCAAUAGGUGGAAGAAAACCAUUGAUGAAUACCCCACAUACCUUAAUUGCUUGAAUUCUUGAAGAAGAAGCUUGGAAUUGGAACUUGAAUGAUUGAAUCAUUGAAGAAAAACUUGAAUUUUAUGUUCUUGGGAAAGAGGGAUGAGUUUAUGUAUUAUAACUGAUAGAGAAUGGGCCAACUGAUGCACCUCUUGGGGUUUUAAUUUGUUAUUUGUACGUUUGGGGUAAGGGGGAAAGAACAAAAUGCCCCUUGAAUUUUUAAUUAAGAAAGUAGGAAACUACAACCUCUGUGUCACGUAGGUUAUUGUGGAGGCUAGCCUCCAUGUCACAGAGCUUAUUAUGGAGGUCUAGCCUCCAUGUCACAGAGGUUAUAGCAGAGUCUAACCUCCAUGACACACCAAUAUCGCGGAGGAUUACAGCCUCCAUGGUCCAAAAUCACCCCGAACCUCUUUCAAAAAUUUUGAAACUCUCCCAAAUGACCAUUUUAACAUUCCUAAACAUAUUUCAACUCAAAAAUCAACAUUUAAAAUUUGAGAAGGCCAAAAAUAAAAUCCUUGAAUCCUUGGGGUACUAAUAUGGUUAAGUUUUUUGUACUUAGUGUGAAUUAAUGCCUUGGAACCUCUUUAAACAUGUGUUUAGUAGUUCAAACAUGUAUAGAAUCUUAUGGGGUAGUACAACGACAACGAGAAGGAGUAAAAGAGAUGAAGAGUAGCAGGCAGGAUACCUCUGAGCCUGCUUAUAGGCCGUAAGUAGUAUGGGCCCAUAGGUUGGCCACAUAGGUAGGUUACUAAAGGUUCUGAAUGUUGUUGAGUUUCUCUGAUUCCUACGCCCCUACAUAUGAUACGUAGGUACUACCUAUGAACCAUAGGUACCCCUUGUAGCUAGGUGAUCCGCAGCCUGAAGAUUUCUCUGAUUUUGACAAGCCUACUUAUGCCCUCUAGGUAUUACCUACUGCCAAUAAGUAGGGUCAUAGGGUGGUGGUGACUUUAUUUCCCUUCAUUCUUUAGGAUAGGCUUUUUGAUGUAUCUAUCAAUACCCAUUGUAUGUUUUCUUAUUAGUUUACGUACUUUAUACACUUUUAACAAUGAUUUAAGUUAUGAGAUACAUUCUUGUUCUUGGUUUUUAGGUUAUUAAUUUGAGAUUUUAAUUUUCUUUCUUAUUAUUUGUGAGAUUAUUCAUAUGCUUUCAUCUAUGAAUUAUAUGUGUGUUCUUACGAUCAUGAGCAACUAACCCCAUAACUAGGAUUGUGGGAACCCUGAAGGAAUAACAAAAUAGAGAAAGUAUAAAGUGAUUCUACAUUGGUGUUCUUGCAUGUAUUAUGGUUUAUUUCACUUUGACUGCUUUUUUAACAGUUGAAACUGUUAGAAACUCACUUGUAUUCUAUACUUGAUCAAGAGAGAGGUAGCGAUUAGAAAAAUGAGAUCACAACAGUAAUUUGAAGCUAUAAACCUUCAUCUAAAUAACUUGAGAUCGAGUGGAGAUAGUCAAACUGAGAUCCAGAAUAACAGUUAGUAACGCGACACUCUAAGGCCGAGAGGAUAUGAGUGAAAUUCACCUAAACCAAGGUCAAGGAACAUUUAGGUGAUACAUAACUUGUUAGAUUAUGCAUGCAUGACACCAAGAUAGUUUAAUAAGCAUGAGAAGUCUGUGAAGUUAAGAUGUCAGGGGAACACAAUACUAGUGAUCAUCUCUUAUUGAUAACAACCAUAUUUUCCAGCAUUGUUACUGUUACUAUUAUUCAUACAAAACCUUCUAGUUAUUUUCUGCACUUUCUAAUGAUAUCUGUAAGCUCAUGAUAGACAUUUUUGAUAUUCCAUGUGGGGUCAACUCCAAAUUUGUUGGAUUUUAUAUUUUACAAGAAUCCACGUUAUAAUUUAUAAGAGUUAUAAUUUAGGCAACAUCAAAUUUUGACAACGGUGUUAGGGAAUAUGGUUAUAGAUUGAUUGAUUGAUUGAGGUUUUUGGAGUAGUUGAUUUUCAGUUUUCUACUAUUUUUUACACACACUGGUGUGUACCUAGUAUCCAUAGUCAAGGCGAUCCCCUGACUCUAUUUGAUCAUAAGCUUAAACAGACCUUACGAUUGAAUCGUAAGAUAGAAAGGGGGGAAGAUCUUGAUCAUGAAGCCCAGUGCAAAGGGGUUAAUAAUGAACCAGAUGUAUUGAAUCAACUGCCUCAGCAUGGUGUUCAAGUAACUGUCGCACAAACCACUGCUCAAUUAGUAGCUAAAGAAAAUACGAGGUUGGCAGUUGUCUGUCGUGCAACUAUUGAGUAUUAAAGAAUUAUACAAGUAUAAGAGCACCGAGGAACACUCGAAAGAGAUAGAUCUAGGAGAAAUAGAGUUCCAUAACUUGUUCUACCAUAAUUGGUAGUUUAUGAUGAUCCAAAAAAAGAAUUAAGGUAUUUUAAAUUGAUUGAGACAAGGGCUAUCACUCUUCUAGAGUUGCCCCAAGGAACAAAAUUUGACAUUACAAGUGCAAUGAUUCGGUUGCUUAAUCUGAAGGGUGUGUUUGCUUGUUUGCCCACUAAUGAUGCAAAUAGGCACAACUUUGUUGGGAUUUGUACUUUGUACAAUAUGCCAGGGGUGAGUCAGGAAGCUCUAGGACUUGGGUUGUUCCCAUACUCUCUUACAGGUAAAGUAAUUUUAUGGUUAGGAGAGUUGUCUCAUGGUUCCAUUACCACUUAGAAUGAGUUGCAGAUGUAAUUCUUGGACCAACUUUUCUCGACUUAUAGAAUGUUGCAAUUAAAGAAUGAGAUUUAUAAUUUUAGGUAUUUAUAUUCAGAGGCACUAUAUGAUACCUGGUUGAGGUUUAAUAAGAAGCUGAUGAAUGUUCCCUACCAUAGAAUUUUAGGCUGAAACUUGUCUGAGAUAUUCUAUGGAACCUUGAAUACAAAACCCAAGGCAAUGGCUAAAACUUGUUGGAGAUAUUCUAUAGAGCGUUGAGUACAAAAAUGAAGGCAGUGACUGAUACUAUUAUCGGUGGGUCUUUUAGAAUCAUUGUUGGGAGUAGGCUAUAGAAAUUUUAGAUUGAAUUACUAAAACCAACCGAGGGUGGCAUACUAUAGAGGUGGAUAGGUCAGUUGGUACUUAUACUAUUGGUGCUUCCAGUGAUCAGAGAGCCUUAUAUAAGACAGUGUCUCAAGAAGUAACACAACUGAGGACUGAGAUUUGGCCUGAUUACUAAGAAACUUAUAGCGAUCAGAAUAGAAAAGGUGAAUAUAGUGGGUGCACAAGGUAAAUCUUUUAGACAUGACGAGUCAGAUUUUGAAGAGAAAGUGAAGUAUUUAGAUAUAAAGAUAGUCGGUUUCUGAGCAAAGGGCCAAGGGUCUAAUCAAGAAACUUGGAACUCGAGGCAAGGGAAUCAAGGUUAAAACUACAAUGGAGACAAGUAUAGGGACUAGAGUAGAGGGCAUGAUGAUGACUGGAGGAUAAAGGAUGAUUACCAGGAGAAGAGUGGUUUUUAUGUUCCACUGAGGGAUCGUGAUGCUGACUAUAGAAUGGGAGCAUUGCUUGCUAAGCUUAUGAAGGUAUUAGAGAUCCAAGAGAGUUACCAUAAGAAGAUUAAUACAGACAUAUCGAGAUUGAGCUAAAACAUAGAAUAUCAUUCUACCAUGAUUAAGUAUCUUAAAAACCAUUUUAGAAAGAUGUAGGCUACAUUAAAUCAUUAUUAACAAGGCACUCAUCUGAGUAAUACUAUUCAGAAUUUGAAGAACGACAGUCACUGUUUAGCUAUCACCACUCGGAGUGGUAAGGAUACUAUUGAUACACCUAUACCAUUAGUUGAUAAGGUAAGAAAUGAUACUAUAGAUAUUGAUAAUAUACCCGAAGAUGAAACUGAGAAGCUGAUGACUAAUGGUGAGACAUUGCAAAAUUGAUAGGUGUAGAAAAACUAGCUGAGAAUGAUAAAGAAAAGGGUAAUGAGGUCGAUCCAUUAUUAGAACCCACUCCAUAACCACCCCCACCUUUUUCACAAAGGUUGAAGAAUAAAUCAAAAAAUGGAAAUAUCAAAAAUUCAUGUCGAUGUUGAAGGAAUUGUCUAUGAAUAUCCCUCUUAUGGUAGCUUUGUAGUAGAUACCCAAUUAAAAAAAAUUAUAAAGAACUUAGUGACUAAUAAGCAAACAAUGAGUUCUUAGCCUGCUGAUAAUAUGCAUCAUUGCAGUGCUAUUGCUUUCUGAUCUUUGGUUGAGAAGAAGAAGGAUCCCAAGGCUUUUACUAUUCCUUAUACUAUUAGGUCCUUUAAUUUUGCACAAGUAUUAUGUGAUGUGGGAGCUAGCAUAAAUUUGAUGUUGUUAGUUAUAUAUAAGUAGUUGGGGUUGGGAGCACCUAAGCCUACAUCUAUGAGAUUAUUGAUGGUCAAUCACAUUGUGAAAAAGUUAGUUGGUGUAUUCUGUGAUGUGUUGGUGAAGGUGUCUUCUUGCAUUUUUCCAGCUGAUUUUGUUAUUCUUGGUUGUGAGGUGUAUUAGGACAUCCUGAUCAUCUUGGGAAGGCCCUUCCUAUCCACGGGUAGGGCAUUGGUUGACAUGAAGAUAGAACAGAUAAAAUUUAGGCUCAACAAUGAAUAGGUUACUUUCAGUAUGUAUAAAUCAAAAUGGCAGCCAAAAGAUAUGCGGGUAGUUUCUGUGAUAGACACCACAUAUGGAGAUGCAUUGAUUGCACCUAUUGAGGAGAGACUUAGUGUAGAGGCAUUAGUGAUAAUGAUCAUAAAUUUUGAUAAUGAUGGUAUCAAAGAGUAUGAUGAGAUGGUGAGCAUACUUAUUGGCAAAGGUUCAGGCACUAUAGAAGUUGGAUCUUCAUUUAAAGAAUAGAGGAACCCCACCAGAUCGACCAUCUAUUGAGGAGCCACUAAUUUUGGAAUUAAAAUCCCUCUCUCAUUUAUGCUACACAUUCUUGGGAGCCAAUAAUACCUUGUUGGUCAUUAUUAAAGUAGAUUUGUUGGAUUCACAGGUUGAUCCUUGUUUUGUUAUUGCAAAGGUUUAAACGUGUCAUUAGUUGGACUAUUAUGGAUAUUAUUGAGAUUCCACCCAGAAUUUGCACUCAUAAGAUUCAUCUUGGAUCAGAGUGCGUACUUAGAAGUGAGCAUCAAUGUCGUUUAAAUCCACCUAUGCAAGAGGUAAUAAAGAAGGAGAUUAUUAAGUGGUUGAAUACAUAUGUGGUUUACCCUAUUAUCGAUAGUAAAUAGGUGAGCCUGGUUCAGUAUAUGCCAAAUAAUUAUGGGAUCACUGUGGUCCAGAAUGAAAAGAACGAGUAGUUUCCAUGAGAUCAAUCACGGGAGAGAGAGCUUGCAUGUAUUAUCAAAAGAUAAAUACUUAGAAGGAUCACUUUCCUAUGCCAUACAUGGACCAAAAUGCUAGAUCGUCUUGCAGGUAGAGGAUAGUAUUGAUUUUUAAUGGUUAUUCAGGGUAUAAUCGGAUCUCUAUUUCCUAUGAAGACCAAGAGAAAACCAGUUUCACAUAACCAUAUCGUAAGGUCAUAUUUAAGAGGAUGUCUUUUGGUCUUUCUAAUGCUCCCAUGACUUUUCAGCAUUGCAUAAUUUUUAUGUUUUUUUUAUAUGUUUAAGGUUAUCGAGGUCUACAAGGAUGAUUUCUCUAUAGUGAGUGACUCAUUUGAUGAAUUUUUGGCUUACUUGGCUAAUGCAGUUCAGAGAUUUUAGGAGUGAAACCUAUUUUUGAAUUAGGAAAAUUUUAACUUUAUGAAAAAAGAAGGGAUCAUUGUUGGGCACAAAAUUUAAAAAAAGAGGAUAGAGGUAGACAAGAAAAAAAUUGAGGUGAUUGAAAAAUUUCCUCCAGCGAUUUUUGUGAAAAGUAUUCAAAGUUUCUUGGGUCAUAUAGGUUUUUAUAGGUGGUUCAUCAAGGACUUCUUUAAGAUUGCAAAUCCAUUGUUCAAGUUUUUAGAUAAGGAGAUGAAAUUUGUUUCUGAUGAUGCUUGUCUUAAGGCAUUUGGUUGCCUUAAGAAGUGGUUGAACUCAACUCCUACUAUUAUGUCUCUGGAUUGGACUCUUCCAUUUGAGGUGAUGUGUGACACCAUUGGCAUGUCCCUAGGAUCUAUCCUAGGCCAAAGAUUUGAUAAGAUUCUUCAUCCCAUUAUAAUGCCAACAAAGCACUCAACCCCACAUAGAAAAAUUACACGGUUACUAAAGAAGAGUUGCUUGCGGUGGUGUUUUGUUUUGAGAAGUUUCAGUCCUAUUUAAUUGGUAACAAAGUCAUUAUGCACAGAGACCAUACAGCUCGUAGUUACCUUAUGGAGAAGAAGUAUGUUAAGCCCAAAUUGAUUUGAUGGCUACUAUUGUGGCAAGAGAAUAACUUUGAGGUUAAGGAUCAGAAGGGCAUAGAAAACUAAGUUGCAGAUCAUCCAUCCCGCCUAGAAGAGAAAGCGUUGCUUAAACCUAAAUAAUGACUUUUAGAUUGAUGAUACUUUUCUAGAUGAGUGCGUCUUGGCAGCAUCACAAGACAUAAUCCCUUAAAUUGCUGACUUUGCCUAUUAUUUGGCAAGUGGUCUCAUUCCAGAUGAUAUGUCAUUUUAGCAACAAAAAUGAUUUAUGAAUAAGGUACGAAGGUCCUUUUGGGAUGAGCCUUACUUAUUUUUGGUGUGUGCAGAUGGUGUUAUUUAGAGGUGUAGUCCCAAAGUUGAAAUGGUGAGUAUUUUAGAAGCCUGUCAUUUGUCUCCAGUUGGGAGUCACCAUGGAGGUACUCGCACUGCCCAUAAGAUUCUGCAAUAUGGUUAUUAUUGGCCAGUGAUCUAUAAAGAUACACAUGACUAUGCUCGUGCAUAUGACCAAUUCCCAAGGCAGGGCAAUAUCUCAUGAAAGUAUGAGCUUUCCAUGACCCCUAUUCAUGAGCUUGAGUUAUUUAAUGGUGGGGUAUUGAAUUCAUGGGUCUAUUGUGAGUUCACAUGGCAUGAAGUACAUACUGGUAGCAAUCAACUAUAUGCCUAUGUGGGUGGAUGCGGUUGCGCUUCCCAAUAAUAAUGGUCAAAGUAUCAUUAUAUUUUUAAAGAAGAACAUUUUCUCUCUAUUUGGUACUCCACGAGCAAUUAUUAGUGAUGGUGGGUCCUAUUUUUACAAUCGUCUAUCAAGGCCCUACUUGAUAAAUCUAGUGUUAAACAUAAGGUGGCAACACUUUACCAUCCACAGACAAGUGGGCAAGAUGAGGUCUCCAAUCAUGAGAUCAAGUCUAUUUAGGCAAACACUAUGAAUGCCAAUCAGACUGGCUGGUCGAUAAAGUUAGAUGAUGAACUUAAGGCCUACCGUAAAACUUUUAAAACUCUCAUGGGUGCCCCAGCUUAUUAGUUUAUGUAUGGAAAGGCAUGCCACUUACUAGUUGAACUUGAGUGUAAGGCACUGUGGACAUGGAAGAAGCAGAAUUUUGAAUGGAGUGAUGCCGCGCACUUGAGGUUAGAUAUGAUAAAUGAGUUAGAUGAAUUUUUCCUCUGUGCGUAUAAAAUCUCAACCUUGUAUAAGAAGUAGGUUAAGUUUUAUCACGACAAGAAAAUUGAGAAAAAGGUAUUCCAACUCGGUGAUGUGGUCAUAUUGUAUAAUUUGGGACUUUUCUUACUUCCCGACAAGUUGAAGUCUAGGUGGUUUGUACACCGUGGUUAAGUUAUUCCCAGAUGGUGAAAUUGAGCUAAAACAAGAUGGAGAUUCCUCAUUCCAGGUGAAUGGGCAUCGGGAUAAGCAUUACAUGGGAAGCAUGGAAGAGUUGAAAGUAUGUGAGAUUGUUGCGUGAAGUCUAAGUAUCCAAAGAAGCUGAGUCGUGUCGCGAUGUUAAAUCAGGAGCUGUAUUGGAGGUAACCCAUGGGAUUGUUGGUGAAGUUUGAGUACCCAACAUAGCCAUGUCGUUCCGCAACGUUAAAUAAAGUGUUGCUUCGGAGGCAACCCAAGGUUUUAGUGUUUACUUUGUUUUUGUUUUGUAAGUGAUAAAGCAUGGAGGAGGAAUUGGAGAAUGGUAAAAUUGUAAAAUUUUAGACAAGUCCAGGAAAGUGGACCUACGACUCUACCUACAGUUUCGCAAGUCCAACCCAUGACAUGUAAAUUGAGUUGUGGGAAUAAAAAAAAUUGGUGUCGCUGAACAUCAACCUACGACCCCCUUCCUACUUCCCUAUAGGUACAACCUAUGAUCCUGUUGGUUGUUCAUAGGAAUAAAUAAAAUAGGUUGUAGGUCCAACCUACGAUUCCUACCUAUAGGUCUGUAGGUACAGCCUAUGGACUGUAAGUAGGUUCAUAGGUAGGGCCAAGAUUUUGUUUAAAAAAUAAUGGGUCGGAUCUUUAUAACCUAACUCGGAUUGGCAAUCCAUGUUAUUAGAACCCAAUUCUUUAAGCCUCAAACUCUUCGAUUACGCUCCCCCUCUUAAAUUCAAACUCUUCAUCUCUCUUUCAAAAGUUUAUACGGUAAACCCUACUCCACAUCAUAUAGUUAUACGUAUUAUACUUAGAGUUUGGGGCUAAACCACUUGUUCAUCUUCUACUUUUACAAUCUUCACUUAAGUUAACGUUUUCAUAAUUCAAACUUGAUUAAUAACUUGGUUUUGAUUGAAAUAACCUGGGCAUUCCCAGAAAAGUAGAAGUAGAAGUUAAUUAAUGUGAAUAAGGUUUGAAAUACCUGUGUAAAUUGUAUUGACGCAAGCUAUGGUGAUUGAAUCUAGUCUAAAAAUUGAAAAUUCAUCUGUGUCGGAUGAAAAUAUUAGGAAGAAGUUAAAAAUUCGUCAGAUUGAACCCACAAAACCUACCUACGAGCAUGUAAGUAAAACCUACGAGCUCAUAGAUGGCCAUAUAGGUGUCAAACCUGAAUCCCUGAAAGUUUAGAGGCUUUUUCUACUACCUAAGAGACUACCUAAGACCCCAUAGGUACUACCUACGACCCAUAGGUAGGGGUCGUAGGUAGCCUCUAAGUUGGGGUCUCAAUUUUCUUCUCAUAUUCUGCUCUAUUAUUAUAUUUUAAUCACUGACAACUCUUUUUACAAGUACUAUGGAACCCAAGGAUACAUAAAAUAAUGGCAUAUAGUCCAGGUUAAGAGAUGAGUCUCUCAAACAACGUAAAUCUAUAGAGGAGUAUCCCAUUGACAACUUACCCUUGGCUCCACGCCAGACUAGGGGUCAAGUUCAGAGAUAGGCAACAAACAAGGUUGCUAUUCAGUUGGGCACCACCAACACCUCAGGUCGUCCCUAUGAGCCCCUAUAUCAUGUUAUGCAGCCUGGGCCUCAGAUAAAUUCAUCCUGAAUAUCACCACCAUACUCUUCUGUCCCUUUCUAAUUUGAUGAGAAAGAGGACGAGGUCAUUUUUAGUAUUGCUGAGAAGGAUUCAAUCGUCCCUAAUUUGAGAAGGGCACAAAGUCAGGUUUGGGUACAAGUGAUCUUAUUUUAGAGGCACCCCAAUAUGAGGAGGAUGUUGAUACUUUAUUAGGUACCUAGGAUGCUUCGGCUUCAUCUUUAAUCACUCAAGAGUCAACAUACAUCUCUACAGUACCAGUUGCUUAGGUCAUUCCAAGAUGGUGUACGAAGGUCAUGCAAAGCAUAUAUGAUAGAAAUUGUGUCAUUAUUGAGUAAGGUAGAUCGCAGCAUCAUAUUGUUGAGGAAACCCAAAUUGAUAUAGCCACCUCAGUAGGAGCUCCAUGCUUGUAGGUUGCUUUUGACAGAUAUCGACUUAAGUGGAUAGACUAGCCUUCAGGAUCUUACUACUUAGAGAUUAUUUGGGAGUUCUAUGCUUUAUAUGUGGCAUUGAUAUAUUUGGUCAGUCCAGUUAAGGGUAGAUGGGUGAACCUUUCCCUAGGAAAGAUGAGUGAACCAGCCCCUACUGACUCAUACACUAGUCAGAGGGCUUACAGUUGAUGUAUCUAAGGAGACUGUUCAUUAUUUCUUAUUUAGGGUAGAGUUUAUAAGGCCAACCAUGACAGUAGAGUUUGAUUAUAGGUUGCGCUUUGUGAGAAGUAGGCGUACUAUGAGACAUUCUGAUCUGAAAUAGUAAAGGAGAGACUUGGCUAGAUAGGUAGCCAAGCAGAUUAUUGAGUCGGGUACUAUUGUCCCUUAGGUCAAGGAGAAACUAAAGAUUGAAAAGACUUCGUUGUGCUUUGCAGCAAAGUUUUGAUGGACAUUGUGCUCACAUAGGAUCAAGUUGUACUGAUUUUCAACCUUAUAGUUGGCUAUGAUAUUGAUUUUGCCAAGUGGAUCCGAUCUGAGAUUCAUGAGAGGAAAUUUUGUAUGUUCACUAUUAUCCUUUUUCCUUGCUUGAUAAAGAAUUUAUGUGAUACAGAAGGGGUACCAGGUAUUCCAGGGGUUGACCAUAUAGUGGAGUUCACCCGCAUGGCUGAUGUUUACUUGAUUAAGGAUGUUGACAAGUCGAUGUACUACAUAGAGCACAACCAUCUACAUCUUCAAGUUUGGCCCACUUUGAAGGGACUUCUGUGUUGACUGAGCAUAUUGAUAAGUGACAAUAAUAGGCGAUAUUGGUACUGUGUCUACUACUACUGCUGCUAGUAAAAGGGCUACGGGCACCUUAAACCCACUCCUACUUCUAUGUUGCCCCCUCGGCUAUCGAUUUUUGGUUUUGUUUGUAUGCCUCGAGAGUUCUAACAGUAGUUGGUGGAUCACUAAUAGUUGUUGAGUGAUUGCUAGACACAUACCGAGAUCGAGUUAGCCAUAUUAUUAGACCAGAUCAGGCCAUGAGUCUGGACCAUAUUAGAGGAAUCCAAGGCAAGAUAUAAGGCUAGGAUGAUGACUAUCAUAAAGAGGUUCACAAGAGAUCUACACGAGUGUAUUAAUAAUUUUGAGGAUUAGAUGGGAGCACAACUUCGUGAGGCUUAAGUGCCUGAUUUAUCGGGCCUUUGCAAGAGUGGCUACGUUGAGAUCAGAGGUUCACUUUUUAGCUGAGAGCCAUAUUCCAGUCACCCCUCCAAUGAUUUCUUUUUUCAUGUAGUAGCUGCCCAGAUCACCACCACUAUUUUUUGACUUAUUUGCUGAGGAAAAUGAGGCCCAGACUUUUGGGGCCAAGAAAGGACGUAAUCAAGGUGACUUCAAUGAAUUUAGAUAGGGCUUGAAGAAGGCCACCACAGAUUCUAUGCUACAGUGAGACAUCGACAAGCAGAGGCAUGCCCAGAUGGAAAUGAGUGCCUUUCCUAGUCGAACACCACCAACACCUCCUGGCGAUGAGCCAUAUGAUUCCACAGUUGGGGUGAGCCCUCUUCUGAUGCCUAAAGCGUCCCAAGUAUGUCCCUACACCCUUUUAUUUGUUAUUUUCUAUGCACUAGGGACAGUGCAUUAGUUUUAAGUUGGGGUGGGGGUGUACCAAACCACUCAGAAUUUUAUGUCGUGUCUCUUUUCCCUAGGGUGUGCUAUGAUAGUAGAGCUGAUAUGUUUAGGUAUUAUGUUGUGUCGUAAUAUAUGUUAUGUGUUGUUUAGCUUAUUUAGAAGAAAAAUAAGGAAUCUAAGUGCAUUCAAUAGGUUUGUUUUGUGUUUUUAAAAAGUGUUUGAAAAAGAUGAUACCCGUCCUAAAUUUUUGUGAACUGUAUGUUGUACAUAAAUGUGUGACCACUAUUGAAUCUUAUUAUGGUAUUAGUAUUAGGGACAAAAUAACUAUAGCUUAGCAUUGCAUGAAUUAGAUAGGUAGUAGUUGAUAGUGUAACCCUAUACCAUGUAUGAGAGGCAUUACCUAGUUCACUUUGUGCAUUUAAUUAGGAACUUUUUUUAUUAGUCUUGUCUAUGUUGUAGGAUAGUUGGUUGGGACAUGAUCAUAGGAUGUGUUUGAAUAAGUCCACUCUCAACCUAAAAGACCGACCAAAUAAGAAUAAGUAUCCCUUGAUCCUUAAUUUGACCCUAAGUUGACCUAUUUUCUUGUUUUGACCUUUUCACCUUUCCUUUUAAUUACAAUAAACCUGUUUUGACCCUGAUUCCUCCUUCAACACUGUGUACCUUAAUUCAGAAAAAUUUUCUAAGUUGAUGGUAGCUAUCAUAGGGGUGCGUAGCUGAAAAUAGGUAUAAAGAAGUGAAUAAAUAAAAAGAAAGUAGAGUUAGGUGUGGUAAAAAGUGUAAAAAAGAAGGACAAACUAAUAAGGAAAAAAAGUGAAUAAAUGAAAAGAAUGAAGAAUACCGCACCUAAUCUGAAUAAACAAUAAAGGAGAAAAUGGAGGAAUAAAAGAAGCAUGAGUAAGUAGUGGAGCCAAUAAAGUAAGUGUAGUGUCAAGGAAGGUGAGUCACUAUUUCCCAUAUGUACCAUACCUACCCCAAAUACUAAAUUACAAACUUAGGAAAGUUCUCUAGUGAUCCCAAUCUAAUUGUCUGAAAAAACUAAGUUAUAGAAAAUAAGGGAAAGCCUAUGGUAUUUUAUGCAUGUUAUUGAACUUCUUUGAGAGUAUGAGAAUUUGAUGUUGUCCCUGCAUUGACAUACAUGAUGAUACAGAGAAUUUGAUGUAGUCCCUACAUUGACAUACAUGAUGAUACUGUGAGAUUUGAGACUUCCUUGUUGUGAGGGUACAUGGGUUGUAUUCUUACUUGUUUGGUAGUGUCUAUUGCAUGUAUGCUUGGUUGUUUGUUGUUAAUCUAAUGACAUCAUUUGAUUCCUUUUGUGUCAUAUUGCUGUGCUACAUGGAUCCAUGCAGUGGCUUUGAAAAAUAGGAAGGGGUAAGAAAUUUGAGUUAAAUUGAGUUGACUGAUGUAGGUGCCUUAGGUUUCUUUUAUGUGUUAGUUGUUUGCAAAUAUGCAAACGUUCUAAAUUGAGAGUGUUGAUGUGUCAUGGUUUCAUGGCACUUUUGUUACUUAAAACAAGAAAAUUAUGUAAGUACUUAGGUAUUUUUGUUAAAUAUGAUGUGCCUUUUAGUUGGUUUAGGAUGAAAAUAGAGUUAGGAGAAGAGAAGGAGAAAAAGUGAUACGGAAUAGUAGGCAGGCUACCUACGAGACUACAUACAGGCCCAUAGGUUGUCCACAUAGGUAGGGUACUGAAGAUUAUGAAUGUUGCUAAGUUACUCUAAAUCCUACGUCCCUUACCUAUGAGGCGUAAGUAAGAGUGUCUCUGGGUUUCUUGAAAUUCUUGUUCUUGAUUUUUAAGGUUUGAGAUUAAUUUGAGAUUUUGAUUCUAAUUCUUCUUAUUUGUAUGAUUUUAUUAAUGAAUUAUAUAUGUGUUCUUACAAUCAUGAGCAAUUAAACCCCAUAACUAGGGUUGCGGAAACCCUGAUGAAUUAACAAAACAGAGAAAGUGCAAAGUCAUUUUACAUUGGUAUUCUUGCAUGCAUUGUGGUCUCUUUCACUUUGAUUGCAUUCUUAACAAUUGCAAACGUUAGGAACUCACUUAUAUUCGAUACUUUCUUGAGAGAGUAAGAGAGAUUAGAAAAAAGAGACCACAACAGUAAUUUGAAGCUACCAACCUUCAUCUAACUAACUUGAGAUUGGGAGAAGAUAGUUAAACUGAGAUCUAGAAUAAGGGUUAGUAAUGCGACACUUAGAGACCGAGAGCAAAUGAGUGAAAUUCACCUAAAUCAAGGUUAAGAUAUAGUUAGGUUAUUAGAUUUUCAUCAUGGUACCAAGAUAGUUUGACGAGCAUGAUAAGUCUAUGGAGUUAAGAAGUCAGAGAAAACACAAUCCUAGUGAUCGUCUCUUAUUAAUAAUAACCCUAUUUGCCAACAUCGUUGCAGUUACUAUUGUUCAAAAAAUCCCUAGUUACUUUCUUCACUUUCCAACUACAUCAAUAAGCUCGUGAUAGAUUUUCGUCUUAUUUCCUGUGUAAUCGAUUCCAACCUUGUUGGGUUCUAUAUUUGACCAUCGACUGAAUUAUACUUUCUAAGAGGUCUAAUUUAGACGACAUCAUCUCCCAAAUCGUAAUCCCUGAAAAUCUAAUUUUGUAACAAAAAUUUUGAAAACUUCUUGUUUUACUUUAUAUUUAUAUAUACAUGUGUCAUAUACAGUUGCAUGUGAAUGACAUUUGGAGUUAUCGCAGACAAGUUUGAAUAAAGAAUAUGGGGUAAAUGAACAUGCACAUGAUUUAUGUUGGUUUUCCAUUUUAACAAAUAUUUAGGAUUUUUUUCAGUUAGAUUUCUAUAUGUAUUUCGUUGUUAAUGUCAUAUACGUAUAUAUGUAUAUUUGCAGACCUAGCUAUUUAAAAGUAGCUACAUUCUGUAAAUAUGCAAAGCUGAACUAGGAUAACUAACUACAUCUUAGCAUUUUAUGAAAUUUUGCCUUUAAAUUUCAUAAUAACAUGUAAUUGUAAGUAUUUAUCUAUAAUCUAUAUUUAUAUCUAUAAUCUAUAUUUAUAUCUAUAUCUAUAAUCUAUAAUCUAUCUAUAAUCUAUAAUAUAUUAAAAGUGUGAAGGCCCUUAGAAAAGUGAUUUAAACUUUUUGCCCUUCAUUAAAACACUCCAUAAUAAAUAAAAUUGUCUUUUCACUAUUUUUCUAAUAUUUAAAAUUUAAGAUAAUAAUAAUUUCAUUAUUUUCUUAAUAAUUAGUACUUCAAAUCCAACUAAACAUUGGAUUUGAAUUAUGUAAUUUAGGAGUUUCAAACCAACAAAUAUAUUGCCUAUUAAUUUUUUCCUUAUUUAAGAACUCUUUAUAUAUAGGAAUAAAAAUUCACGGCCAUCACAAAAAUUAUUGAGGUAUUCUAUUCCAAUCUCUCGCUAUUUUUCCUCUUUAUCGAAUGUCUCACAUUUUUUAUUUUGUUCUAUUUUUUGUUUUAUCAUAAUUUUUUAUGUUGUUAAUUUAAUGUUGGUAGGUUCUCUAUUAAGAUGUUCACCAGCCAAAGCAACAGGAGAAUAUCGAUACUGUCUCCGUUCAAAGAAUUUACUUCGAGUCCUUUACAAUCAAGGUUUUAAAAAUAAACUCAAAACUCUUUUUCGUGCAUUAAUUUGAUGUUAAUUUCAAAUCAUAUGUGUAGUCCUAUAUGUAUUGCAAAAAGUUGAAAGUGUGUAACAACUAAAAUCUUCGUCAUUGGCAAUUCAGGAUGAAGUUCUACUAACUUGGUUGAUUUUGUAGUAACAUAUCAUUACAGGUGGAAAAGGAACAAGAAUUUGAUUUUACCUUCGACAGAAUUUUCUAUCAAGGAUCGGAGCAAGCUGAUCUAGGUGUUAUAUGAUUAGGAAUGAGGAAUGAGGUUAUUCAAGAUAAGGUAAGGGUGAUUUUGGUGGUGGACAAGAUGAUGAAAGCGAGUUAUAUUGAUAAUAUUUGAUGUGUUUUGUAUUGAUUUUGUAGGUAUCUUGAAGGAGAAUGAACGAUGAUUAUAAGACAUAAUGGAUGAACAAAACAUUGAAGGUAAAUUAAUUUUAGAGGCUUUGUAUUGGUUAAUCUGUGCUACGUAUCAAAUAAGACAUGUUUAUGAUGGAUUGAAAUUGAAGAAUCAACAUUGAUUUAUGGUUAAACUGAGGUUUGUUGUUGCCACUGAAAUCUGGAUGUAGGUUGUAGUUUUCUUUUCUACAUGUAUAUCUCCUUCUCUAUCUAAACCUUCUUUGUUCAUGAGGUUUAGCAUUCUUUUUCUUUCUGUCAUCUGCAUAUAUUUUUGUGUAUCUGUUUUCUUUACAUGUAAAUUAUGUACAUAUAAUUUGGGAAAUAACAAGGAAUAAUAAAUUUCUUAGUUUGAUUGUUUUGACUUUGAGAGCUAAUAUCAUGCAGCGUUAUAUGGAAGUUGGUGUUUUGACUUGAAUAACAACGUCAUGUAUUUUUCAACAUUUGGAGCUUAAGUUACUUUGGGGGUUGGGAUUGUUGUUUAUGGAAAAUAAUUCGUACUUUCAAUUUUCAUAAAUUUCAAUUCUUUAGGUUCUCGAAAUUGUGGAUCAAUUUGAUUAAUUUUCAGAGCUAAAUUAGAUUAUAUUAAUUUAAUAUUUCAAAAUUAAAAUUUAGAUAUUUAAAAAUUAUAUGAAAAGUAAUAUAAGUUGCAAUAUUUUAUAUUGAUGAAUUCAAUAUUUUUUUAGAGAGGUAAAGGACGACCGUUGAAUGAUCAUAGAUAGGAAGAUAUCAAAGGUAGGAGAACGUUAGCAGAUUGUGUGUUGAUAAGGUAGUUGAAUUUUGAUUCACCAUUAGAUUUGUAUAAUUUUUCAUGAAUUUUUAUUUUUAUGUUUUCUAUAUUUAUGAAUUUUUAUUUUUAUGUUUACUAUUAUAUUGCAUAACAACCCCUAAUUAGGGAUGAAUUAUUUUGUUUAAUGUUACAAGUUGUUUUUUGUUUUGGUUCCAGGAAAAAAUCUUUCUUAAAGAUGAAGGAGUUUUUUCAAAAACUUCACAUUGGAGCAUUAGGUCAAUAUAACGACCUAAUCAAAUAUCAGGUACCAAAUAAAUUUAGAUAUCUUCUGAUUAGUUUAUGUGAACUACCAUACUUAAUUUUAUCUUAGUGCUAUUCAAGCUCAUACUUCUAUGCAACAAAUGAUUCGGAUAUGAGAAGAGAAUAUGCAUGGAUGUCCCAGUGAGAAGAUAUGAGAGGUUAAAUAUAGUGAAUAUUAUGAGAGGUAGAGUUAGGACAAAAAAAUCUUAAAGUGAUGUGAUUAGAUAAGGCAUGACACAUCGACAUGAUCAUGGAUAAAAAAAAAAUGAAAGGCGAUAGAAGAGCAGUAGGUUGUGUGUCACUAAGAUGGUUGAAUUUUUAGCCAACAUUAAGCUUGUAUAAAUUUUCAUGAAUUUUUAUAUUUAUGAAUUACUUUGUUUAAAUAAUGUUAUAAGUUGAUUUUUGUAUUUCUUAUCAGCCGGGAGAGUAGAAAUUUUAUUAAGGGUGUUUAAAGCUUUAGUAUAUAUAAUUUUUAAAAAAAUUGACUUAUAUGCAUAAUUAUUUUUUUCUAUAUGAACAAUAUAAUUUUUCGACGAAGGGUGAUCGAGUAACCACUCAUGGGUCAAUGUAGCUCCACCAUUAUUUCUUAGUACUAUCUUUGGAUGUAAUUGAUGAUUGUUAGUACUUUUAUUGGUUACAUUUAUGAAAUUAGUUUUAUGCAGAGGGUCUAUCGAAAAUGAUCUCUUGGUCUUCUCAAAGUAGUGGUAAGGUCCGAAUACACACUACCCUCCUCAUACUCCACUUGUGGGAUUAUAUUGGAUUUAUUUACAUUUACGAAGCAUCUAAAUAAUGAAUUGGUAAACUUGAAAAUCUCCAUAAUUGAUAAAUUUCAGUUCAGAAAAUUUUUGUAUGAAGAAAAAUACUUUUCUAGAAUAUGUUUUAUUGGAAGAAAUUAUUUUUUAGUGUGUUUGCUUACUUUGGGUUAUGGAGAAUUAGAUUUUACAUUUAAACUAAAAUUUAAAAAAAAAAAAAAUGCUCCCCCAAAAGGCAAACAGUUUCCAUAACUAAUGGGCGGAAUUUAGUUUCCUUUUAAGAGGGUGAAGAUAUCAAAGUAAAACUCACCUUAUCGUGAAGAUUCUUAUAAAAGUGAUUUGAACUUUUUGUCAUUCAUUAAAACACUUCACUUUAGACUAAAUCAUCUUUUCACUGUUUUUUCAAAUUAUUAGUUAUUUUUAUAAAACUAUAAUUAUCAAAAGACAUUUAAUUAUAAUAGGACACUUGACUCUUUCAAUACGGUGUAAAAAAAUAAAAAUUAUUAUGCUUUUGACUUUAGAGCUUUUUCAUUUUUUAUUUAGGAUUCAUGCUACCAAAUAUGUUUAGAAUUUAGGUUUAAUAUUGCUUCUACAUAAAUAAUUUCGUAAAAUUAUAAGAACCCUAACCAGACCAAUAUUGUUUCUUUCCCUCCACCACGCUACAGAAGUUCUCUCCAAAUUCAUUGUCUUCUAUUGACCAUAAAUAAGGUGUUUUUAGUUUAAAGAUAAUUACAUGAGUUAUACAUAAUUUUUAUAUUUUUUUGUUUUUCUUUUGCAGUUGAAAAUUUCUCCUAAAAAAAUUAGAUGAGAGAAUCAUAUUACCACCAAUUAAAGUAGUUGCUGAAUUUUUUGAAGAUUUUAUUUGAUGAUCUCAAAUCAGAAUAUUUACUAAGAAAAUUUAUAUUCAAAAAGGAGGUUUUUUACAUAAAUAUUUUUUUUUUGUUUAGUGAUUUUGAGUGUUUAAGUUUUACUAUUAUUAUUAUUGAAAAUAGAAUUAUUUGAUCAGUCCAAAAUUUAAAAGUUUCUACAAUAAUACUUUUUAGAAAUUUUUUUGGACAUCAAGUUUUCAAGCAUAGCGUCUAUAAAAUAGUUCAAAUUUGACACAGACUAGGCUGUCAGGAUAUGGAACUAAAUAAGAUUGAUGCAAGUUGAUGGAAGUUAAGUUAUUGAUGGAGUGUUCAUGGACAUCGAAAGCAUGAAACAUAUAGUGAGAAGGAUUUGUCUCUAAAAUUGAAUUUCAUCAUUGCUAUAUAAUUUGAAGUAUAUGAAGUUAUUUUCUGAUAAGUAUAUACGAUAUUAAGAAAAGAGUAAGUUGAAUGAUGCGUGAUGGAACAAACCAAAUUUAAUAUUUUCUUCAAUUAUGUAUAAAGUGAAUUACGAAGGUUGUACACAAUAAAUUGAAUGAGAUUUGCAAACAGGCAAGGGAUUAAAUCAUAGUUUAAUAAGCCAGAUAAUCAUAUGUUUUACUGAAUUCAUGGGCGGAGCUACCUUUGGCGAAGGGUGGUCAGAUACACACCCUUCUCUGAAAAAUUAUAUAGCGAAUAGAGGUUAAAUAUUAACCAUAAUGAGUGUAUAUUCAAUUUUGCACACUCUUAACUUAGUUGAGAAUAAAAUUUACACACCCUUCACUAUUUUCUGGCUCCACCACUGACUGAAUUAUUCAUGUUGAUAAUUUUUUUGCAGUUCAUGUGAGUCUAUCUUAGCAUUGAAUCUACACAUCCAUCCUUGGCAGGAAAGGAUGGAAUGAAGAUGGUAGAUAUCAUAUCACAUGCAUAUAAGUAUAGAGCUUCUCGAGGUUGUCCAUCUGAUAUGUGUCAUGCUACUAAAGGUGCCAAACAUGGCAGCCAAUAGUCAUGACGCAAAUCCUAGGGUCAUAAGCAAGAAUUUUCGAAGAUUGCUUGAAAUUAGUGAGAGGAAAACUUUUGAAGGCCCCCAUAAAAAUGUUAGGGAUCACGUAAUUACUUCCACACGAGCCCUCAAACAAAGAGAUUUCCUGGAGACCUUUGAUGUUAUCAAGUCCCUUGAUAUGUGGAGGCUUCUUAAGAACAAAGACAGUGUUCUUGAGACGCUUACAUCCAAAAUCAAGGAAGAGGCAUUGAGGACCUACCUUUUUCCUUUUUUUCUUCUUGCAAUUCUCUAAGUUUUGAUCAGCAUGCAGGGAAUAACAAAUUUCUGCAUUAUCGGGUUCUUUUACUUGAAGAAGAACAAAAAUAUACUUCCUCAUGAAAAGACACAAUAUCUAAGACGAGUUGACAGAUGGUUUGGUGUUUGACCCUCUUUUAAAUGUUACAAAAAUUAUAUACUCUUAUUGAAUUUUUUUUUAAUUUUGGCUUUGAUUUUCUGUAUUUACACAAAAAAUUAUGUUUUUAUUAUUUUGUGAUUGAUGUAUACAUAAUUUUUUGAGAAUUUUUAUUAAUAGUACUCCAUUUUGUAUAUUUUCACAUUCUUUUUACUGAUUACUAAAGAAAAAAGGUUCACAUUCUUGAUUGUUUCUUUUGUUUUAUGCUACAACAUAUAUUAGCUUUCGUUCGACGAUAGAUUUUAAAAUUGAAAGUUAAAAAUUUGAAUUUUAAAAGUUGUGAUUUUUAAAACCUGAAGUUGUAUUUGGAUGAACAUUUUAGUUUAAUAUUUUUUGAAAUAUUUGUUAGUGAAUAUAUUUGUAACAGAAUAUAUAUGGACGUCUUUUCAAUAUUUUCUCAGAGCUUGAAGAUACUAAGAGUUCUUACUUCAACAUGCGGUACAAUUAUUAGAAAUUGUUGCAAAACUAAAAUUUUGUUUGUUGAAGAGCUAUGGACUAGGAAGAAUUGGUUAAAAAAUGUUCAAUUUUUUUCAGUAGAUUGAGGUUAAAUUCUUCGUUAUAUUUAUAUAAGUAGUUCCUUGUCCUGUUUGUUCAAAAACUCCUUUUCUCCUAUGAAAGAUCACAAAGUAUUCACCCAAUGAAGGACAAAGAAGGAUUAUCCAUAUAAAGAAAAGAGGAAUAAAAAGUAUUUGCCAUAUAAUGUCUCAUACUCAAUAAUUUUACGUUUAAUUUUCCUGCAGUUUACAUAUGAGUUACACCUUUUUUAAAGAGUAGUUUUACUAUUUGAUGGUGCUAACUUUUCUUGUCGGGAACAUCACCCUCCAAGCAUGGUUUCUGCGGCAGUACUGAUACAAUUAUGGAUGAGAAAAUUCAUGAUAAGAUAAUACUAGUUUUGAGCUGCUCACUUUUAAAAAGAAGCAUUUGAGCUCUUUUAGACAUUAUUUCGCGCAACCUUUUGAAAGAAGCAAAGAUAGAUAUAGUGAUCUACAACACAAUAAGCUCUAAAGCUAAAAAUAGUUGCUACAUCUAAAUGAGAAACUCUUCAUGCACUAAGAAAUCAGCUAACUCCUUAUCCUGAUACGGUGGCAAUGAAUUCUAACUAUGAAUAGUAGUAUGUAAUAACUUAUUAAGCCAUACAUUCCUAUUUUUCAUGUAAACUCUCGUGUGUGCUACAUUUUCUUAUCUUUAAAAUUUACGUUAUAAUUUAAAAUUUUGGUACUUUAUAAAAUAACGUAUAUACAAUAAUUUAUUUAUAUACAUUUAUUCUUAAUUGAAGCUUGAUACACGUGCAACGCACGUACACUGAACUAAUUUAUUAAAAAGUACAGAUAUGUGAUAUAGUAAUGUGGCGCCUUAGGAUAUGAGGACCUUCUAAGAACUAUUGUUUGCUCAUUUGAUAAGACUAAUUUAUUGUACGUGCGUUGAGAGUAUACAUCUUGUCAAACAUUACUUAUUAAAUAUUAUAAAUUAAAUAUUGUAUUAACACAAGUUUCAUCUUCACUAAUAGAAAAAUGCAAUUUAAACAAGUUGUUCAACAGAGUUAUAUUUGUUAUCAUGACUCCCAAUCAGGGAAAGGUCAUACUAAUUUAUUUUAUUAUUCAUGUAUGCACUAGUAGUGAAUAAAGAUUUUUCAAAGAAAUAAUAUACAUAUUAUACUAAAAUAAAAUAAUACACAUUACACCAAAAAGAACUGAUUGCUUGAAUAAAGACAUCAUAAGAGGCCCAAAAAAAUCUUUCAAAAUGAAAAAAGACCAAUAACCGCAUCAAUGAUCACUAUGAUAAUAGUUUUAUAUAGUGAUUCAUAUUAUCCAUAAAAAUAAAAAAUAUGAGAAAAUUAUCGAAUAUUCGUUAAAGGUUUAAAUAUGUAAAAACUAUUGAAUACCUGUGAAAGGACUAAAACUUGUAACAACCAAAAAGAUAACCAUUCUUCCCUUAAAAAUUGUUAAAAGAGGAAAGAGAUAAACCUUUUGCUACCUCAUUCAGCGGUAACUUGCUUGUUUGUCCAAUUUUUCAAUCUGAAAUCAAAUAUUAAACAUGACUUAAGAAUUUCACGAAAUUAGAAAGCACUAUAAAUUAGAGGCAAACAAAAUAAAACUCUCCUUAAAUAUGUAAACAUAACACAAAAUAUACAAUUGAUCGAUGAGAUGGUUGUGAGUUUAUGAUUCAUCUUUGUAAAUUGUAAUACACCCACGAAUUAGACGGAUAAACAUUAUUGGACCUCUAUAAAUAUCAAAGGCCAAUCGAACAUUUGUCUACCAUAUGUACUAAGAAGAAAAAAAUAUUGGAUCAUUUUUAAAAAACUUCAUUAACUUUUUUCAAGUCUUAUCGACAAUUGCUCUUCCAAUUAAAGCAUGUCGGUUCUUUUAAAUUAAAAAUACAACAACCUGCAAAUCAUACUCUAUUUGAUGAGCCUGAUUUUUAACUCGACAUUGAAGAAAGAAAUCACAAAUAAUAAACUUGGACAAGUGUAUAGGCUCAAAUACAAUUUUGAGAAGGUUGCCCACAAUAAUAGAACCGAUGGGAUCAUAAAUUGAAUUUCUUGUGACAUACUGCAACAAAUUAUAUACCCACGAUGACUAGGUGUGCAACUACAGCAACAUCCUACUAAUUGAACUCCAAAUCACGCACAUUACAAGAAAAUUAUGAAUUAUGUUUUCUGUGGAUUUUUCUACCAAAACAAAUUUGAUGAUAAAAUUAUCGUGGAUAAUUAUUACCUGAGAAUUUUAAAAUCUCCAAAUAAUUUAUCUAGGGAUUUGAAAAAAUAUCAAAAAUAAAAUUGGAGGAAAAAUAAAUUUUCUUACGAUUUUUUUCGCUGGUAAAGCCGUAUAAAAGAUAUUUCAAUAAAUCUGUAAGAAAUUUCUAAAAAAAUAAUUUAUGGAAAACAACAUUAACUAUUUUAAUUAAUUUUCCGUAUAUAAUUAUUUUUUAUUAUUAUCUUAUUAAUUUAUUAUUUUACUGAUAGAACCCAUAGACAUUUGGGUAUUCCCCUAACCCCCUUUCUGCUACAUAUUACUCCCUCCCCCCCUCUGUGUAAGGGUGCAAUUUACGCAAAGGCCACGUCUUGGGCGUCGGGAAAUGGGAGCGCAAUUGAUAUUUGAAACUUCAGUUGGAUUCCUCAUACUCCCUCUCUGAGAAGCAUUGUUGCAGGGCCUUUAAAUAUUACUGACACCCAUGUCAAAGGGCAAGUUGGCCAAAAAGGCUCUUUUGAAAACUAUUUAGUGGUUUAUUAAAAAGUUGUGAAAAUUUUGCCAAAUACCCUAUUUAAUCCACAUCACCACAAACUUAUCCAACUCAACAAAUUCACCCAUAAGUUUUUCAAUACUAUACUUUAACCUAAUAUUUCCAACUGAACAAAUUCAUCCCCAAGCUUCUAAUAAUACACUUCAACCCGCUCCAUCAUCCACCAUUAUAAAAUAUCUAUGUUUUCAAAAAUAUAAAAAAAAUCCAAAAGCUAAAAAUAGAAGGUGGUUCUUUCCCUCCAAAAAAAGCUCUGAUUUCGAUGUCCUUUCUGGAGAUAUUUUCUGGCGAUCAGCUCUAAAUCAGUCCACAAACCUCAUAAGCUCUUCCAUUGCAUCCAUUUUACCCCAUUAGUUUGUUAUCUUCUCAAACACACUUUUCACCAUUGUUAAAAAGCUUUAAAUCAGUCACAUCAGUUAAAAACUCUUUAGAAGUACAUUACAAUAACUGAGGCGACUCCAAGUUCAUUUCUCUAUUCCAUAAACCCAACGACCAUUGAUUAGAAGCAUUAUUUGCAAUUUCAAGUUUCUGUACUGAUAUCUGCACAGUCAUCGAUCCAUUAUCGUCAUUCAUCGACUGUACAUACAUCCUGACAUAGACCCUAAGCUUAAUCUACCAUCGAUCAAAGGUUAAUUCUAGGACGUCUGUUGCAAAAUUGUUCUGGUUUCAGGUGAUUUCGUGGGAGAAUGGGUGAAUACUCUCAAAUGUUGGAAAUGGAGAUCUUUUACCAAGGUGACACUGCCCAUUGCUAUUUGUCGCAAUAGUUCAUAUGACGAAUUAGUUGUAAGCAUAAUGCAGAGCGGGAAUCUAGAUUGCUCGUUGAGCAAUAUGGUGAUUAGUUAUCUAAUGCAUUCGAGGGAAAAGGUGAAUCCUACAAUCAUAAAUAAUGAUGCACGUGUGUCCCUCUACAUGAUGGAUGUUGAUGCAGAUGACUUUAGACCUAUUUUAAGGAUAAAUGUAGUCGACAGGUCCUUCAAAAGACCGAUGAAUUCAUCACCAUCCCCACCUCGAUACCCGAUAGUCAAUGACGAUUUGAAUGAUUACGAGAGUGAUGGCGAUCAUCCCAUGAAUAUGGAAGAUGACUAUGUGCAUACGGAAAAUAUUUCAUCAGACUCACAAGAUACGGAAAAAGAUUGUGGAACGGAAUCCCAACCAGUAUAUUCCUUCUCAGAUGGAACCAAUUUCUAUUGUGAUCAAAUAUUUGCCGAAAAGAAACAGCUCAAAAUGCUACUAGACGGAGCAACGGUGAGGUAAUCUUUCGAUUAUCAUAUGGAGAAGAGCUGCACCAAAUUAUUGAAGACAAAAUAUAUAUCUCCUGGUUAUGGAUGGUUGUUGUGGGCAAGGAAGUACGAAACCUCGAACAGAUUUCACAUAUACAAGUAUGUCAGGGUGCAUACGUGAACUGUUGAACACGCCACCCCAAGCACAAGAAAAUAUCAUCUGAAUUAAUUGCUUUAUUAUGUGUAAAUCAUUUUUGGGAUGGUAAGGGUCCAAGCAUAAGUGAAAUUCAAAGGAUUGUGUUCAAGCAGUUGCAUUGCCGUGCAAGCUACUGGAUGUGUUGGAAAGGAAGUGUAAUUGCGAAGAACAUCAUUCGCAGGACACCGGAGCAGGGAUAUGCUUGCUUUUUGGGUUUUUCUCACAUGGUGGAGUUGUUGAAUCUAGGGUCUUCCUACUCAAUCAUGGUAAACCAAAUUGAUGGGUCAUUCGUUUACUACUUCUUAGCAUUUGGAGCUUGCAUACGGCGAUAUGCCCACAUGAGAAACGUAAUUGUCAUCGAUGGAACACAUUUGUAUGGAAAGUACGGGGGCAUGUUGCUGAGUGAAGUUGCACAGAACACUGAAAAUCACAUCUUUCCGAUUGUCUUUUGUAUCAUUGAUAAAGAGAACGAUGUUUCUUGCACCUUCUUUUUCCAAAAGUUGAAGUCUAUCAUAGAAGAUAAACCAGAUCUAUGUGUCAUCUCCGAUAGGAACAUUAGCAUCACCAAUUCCUUCUCCUGUGUAUACAGUCGUGCACAUCACAGACUUUUCAUAAGGUACCUCACUGAAAAUCUUCGUGUAAAUCAACACUGUAGAGAACAUCUUUAUCUAUUCUAUGCCGAGGCAAAGGCGUAUUCCUUUGAUGAGUUUAGAGAGAAUUUUGAGGAAUUAAAGUAUAUUUGCCCCGAGGCAGCACAUGUCCUUGAAAAUGUUCUUGGUUUUGAAAAAUGAAGUAGAGCACACUUCCCGGGCAAUAGGUACUAUGUGAUGACCACAAACAUCGCCGAGUCAUUCAACUCAGUUUUGAUGGAUGAACAGGAGUACCCUGUGUCGUACAUAUUCAAUUCAAUUGCUAAAAAAUUUGGUGAAAAGUUUAGGGAGUGGUAUGCCUAUGUCAAUGGUAGAAGGAACAUAUUUGUGCCUUGUGCAAAAAAGAUCCUAAAGGAUAACAAGAGUGCGAGCGAUUCCUUAUAUGUGACUAAUCCAAAAGGAGUCCUCGACCAGUACACGGUGUUCGGCAAUAGUGUUACUACCAAGGUUAAUCUCUUAGAAAGGAGUUGUUCUUAUCGGAAAUUUGACUUGGUGAAAAUAUCGUACGAACAUGUGAUGGAAGCUUUGAAAGCAAAGUAUGGCGAUGGCGUAGGUUAUGGAAACUCCAUCUAUGAGUACUUUUUGCCAAUUUAUAAAGCUUCAAGUUACCUCCACGCAUACUCGAAAGCAAUUAACGUUGUCCCUCCAGAGGUCGAAUGGAAUGUGCCACAAGAAUUGCUAGACACUAAAAUUUCUCCACCCCCUACGAUCCCAAACUCGGAAGGAAGAAAGUCAAAUGCAUAAGGGUGUCGGUGAGACGUUCAAGUCGAAAAGGAGGAAUAGGUGUUCAAUAUGCAAGAAAUCUGGACACAAAAGAACCACGUGUAGCAUGGCCAACAAAUCAUAGAUAGGUUUUAUUUUGCUUCAAUUGUAAAACUGUUGUUUUGGGGUAUAAAUGUGUAUUUCAGUAGAAUUUAACGUUUAGUUGUUAUCGACUUAAGACUUUAUCUACGAUAGACUACAUGCAUUCUAUGGUAUAUCUUUAACACGGUUUAUUAAAUAAUAUAUAUUGGUUCUAUGAUUAAUCAUCAAACACGCUAUGUAGAUAUUUAUACCGCCAUAUCUCUCUAAUAGAUACAUUGAAUCAUUGUUUCCUGUUCCCAAUUAAUUAAAAGCUGCAAACAUGUCUGUUCUCAAGAAAAACUACUAGUAUACGGAAACCAAGUAUUUUCUAUUCCCAUACGUGUCGACUCCAUUAGUUUGAUAUAUGAAAGAACACCAUCUAUAGGUCUACAAAUACAGGCCCUAUUUCUACGUAACCCUUCACUUGUACCUAAACCCAAAAUGUCAGAAACCGUCUUCUUCUUUCCCAAAACAUCAGAAAUCAUGCCUGGUCACAGAAUCCCCCUUUGCCCAAUCAGACGAGUUCCCCCUCGUCACUAUGAUUUGCUUCUACUUCAAAAUGAUUUUGGCAGGCUAUUCUACGGCCUGGGAGAGGACCGCCGUUACUUGGAGCGUGAGCUUCGACGAAUUACUCGUUUCCUCCGAGCAAUUUUGGAGCGUCUUGGAAUGGACGGCAACGACUACAUCACCCCCCCCCCCCAUCAUCCCCAUAAUUUAGAUUACUUUUUUAUAUUGUUUAUGUUGUUAAGUUUUUUUUUAUUUGUUCAUUGUUGAAAAAGCUUUUUCAGUAAGACUUUGUUAGAAGAAAGCUUCUUUCAUUUUUUCCCUUUUGCUGUAAAUUUUAUUAAGUAAUGCAAUGAACAAAUUUAAAGUAAGUUUCAGUCUCAGUUUAAUGAACAAGUUUUAGUUUGAACAUUAUGUUUACCAUUUUUGUUAUGAUCCUUUUUUUUCUUGUGGCGAUUAUUCUUCUGUACAGACACAACUUUCAAAUAUGUAUGCCUCGUUCAAUUCACAGUACUGUAGUUUGACUUGAUUACUGUAGUUCAAUUCACGGUUAAAUUAAAACAGACAAUAACAUAUUUUGGGGCUGGUAGAACAAAAUAAUUAAAUUAAAAAUGAUUUAAACAAACAAUAACAUAUUUUGGGGUUGGUGGAAUAAAAUAAUUUAAAUAAAAAUAAUUUAAAUAGACAAUAAUAUAUUUUGAGGCUAGUGGGACAAAAUAAUUAAAUUAAAAAUAAUUUAAACAGAUAAUAACAUAUUUUGAGGUUAGUGGAACAAAAUAAUUAAAAUAAAAAUAUUUUAAAUAGAUAAUCUUGAGGGUCCAUCGAUUAGUCUGGUCUAUAGACUGGUGGUGACACUUAAUAGAUCGUAGUAGAUCAUGGCUUAAGUCAGCCAUCAAUUAGACUAGUCUACUGUAGACUUACACCUUUAGAUGUGCAUCGAUUGAUAUCAUAAGUAUGCGUAGACCACGUUGGUUGAUGUGCACUGCCAUAGACCGCCACUUGGAUGUAGUUAAAAAAUAAAUAAAUAAAUUAAAAAUAAAUGUAGUGUUGAUUUCUACACAUGUGAGUGUGUGUAAACAAGACACACAAUCAUAUUAGAGCUUAUACAAAGUAAAUUAUAAAGUGUGUGGAUAGGUAGUGAUUGAAUGUUCAAUAUGCUAAGAGUAAUGUUUGUCAAAGCACAAGUAUGUAUUAAGGAUAUCUAUUGUAUUGAGGAUGAUGAUUGUUCAACCACUAUCCAUUCCACACACUAUUUUGAUUUAGAGGUGGUGAUGGAAGGAGUAUAUGGAAUGUGUAGUUAUCAAAUACAAUAUAUAUCCUUAAUAUAUACUUGUGCUUUGACAAAUAUUACUCAUAGCAUAUUGAACAUUCAACCACUACCCAUCCACACACUCCUUUAUUCACUUGGUACAAGCUCUAAUAUGAUUGUGUGUCUUGUUUACACUUACUCACAUGUGUAGAAAUCAACACUACAUUUAUUUUUAAUUUAUUUAUUCAUUUUUUAACUACAUCCAAGUGACGUUCUAUGGCAGUGUACAUCGAUCAACGUGGUCUACGCAUACUCAUGAUAUCAAUCGAUGCACAUCUAAAGGUGUAAGUCUACGGUAGACUAGUCUAAUCGAUGGACCCUUAAAGCAUAAGUAUAUUUUUUACAUGAUUUUGAUAUGGGUCAACAACUAUGGGAGUCUAUAAGUGUCACCAACAGUUUAAGAUUAUCUAUUUAAAUCAUUUUUAAUUUAAUUAUUUUCUUCCAUCAGUCUCAAAACAUAUGAUUAUGUAUAUAAAUUAUUUUUAAUUUAAUCAUUUUCUUCCACCAGCCAAGUGAUGGUCUAUAUAUGAGUACACAAAUCACCAUAUUCUACGCAUAAUCAGAAGAUCAAUCGAUGCACUAUUGAAGGUGUAAGUCUACGGUAGACUAGACAAAUCGAUGGCUGACAUAAGUCAUGAUUUAUGACGGUCUAUUAAGUGUCACCACCAGUUCAAAAAAAAUUACUGCUCCAAUGGUAAUAAACGGCUACUUUUAUAAUCCAUCAGUGUCAACACUUCAUUUUUACUUCAUAUAUAAGGUCGGUCAUCCUUCAUUAUUUUAUUUCAUCGCUUUGUUUUGUUUUUUAAAAUUCUACAAUGUCUCAAACCUCUCAAAUAUCCAAGUCUAAAAAUACUGUAAGUUGUCAUUGUGGGAAUAUGGCUGCUCUAAGGACGUCACGCACGGACUCAAAUUUAGAUCGCAAAUUUUAUAAUUGUGCAAUUGCGAAGGUAAGCUCUGUGUGUCUUUUUUAUGAAUUUAAGUUAGGCGUUAUGUAAUUAUUAUUUUUUUCUAGGAUAAUGGUGCAUGCUGGUUUUUUAAAUGGCUUGAUGAGUUAUCACCUCCAACCAAUCCAUCAACGUUGAGUCCGGGACCCAAGACAUCAAAUUUUCAAGGCUUGGCAAAAUUUAAUCUACUAUAAAGGCUCCAACAAUGCGAAAAAAAUAAAGAUUUUCUUAUGACUUUGUUCAAAGAAGUCGAAGAACAGAGGAAUCACUUUAAAGUGUUGCUACAUGACACCAAAAUAGAGAGGGAUCAACAAAAACAAAAAUUGAUUUUGGCCGAAGAAGGGGAGAAUGGCCUAAAAAUGAUGUUAUGUGCUAUAAUGCUAGUAUUCGUUCUUUGGAAAGGUGUAACAUGGAUGUAGUCAUAUUGAAUAAAUAAUAAUACUUCUAUUUUUCUAUAAUGUUCAUACUAUUUUUGAUAGAAUCAUGGUCGAUCAAACAACACGUCGGCUUAAAACCGACCAGCAUAGUAAUGAUAGACUACGCAUGCAGUAUACAAAAGAUUAAGUAUGCAUUCUAUGACAUUAACCAUACACCGUACCAAAUAUGACAACACCCUGCAUAUUCAAAUGGUCAUGCCACUAAUCAAUUUGAUAGAGACAAAUUCAGUGCAGAAUCAUAACUACUACCAUAAAAUAAAAGAAUGUUUCUAAUAUCCUACCAACAAAUCCUUAAAAUUUCAUACUUGUCAAAUAAAAAAAAUAUUUAUCCGAUCCUAACUACUGAUCAUUCAACAACACAUUAACAAUAUUAGCAUUCAAAUGUAUUUUUCCCUAUCUUCCUCAUCAACACAAAUGUUACUGUUGAUUUCACCUAUGAUAUCCAUGACCACAUCUUUUUGGUCAGCUUCAGGUACUUUUUUCUCAGCAGCUACUGCUGCUUCUUCAUGCUCGCCUUCUUCUCCUUCUAUUUCAUCAUCUGCAGCAGUUGGUGCUUCUUCGGCUGGUUCUUCUUCUCCUUUUUUCACAACAUCUGCAGCUGCUUCUUUUUCAGCUUCUUCUUCUGCUUCUGCAGCUACUUCUUUUGAACUUUCUUCUUGGCACAUAUCUUCUUCCAUUUUUUCUUCUUCAUCCUUCUUUUCUUCUUCUUUUUUCUCUCCCGCCACAACAAAGGCCAACUCAUCCAUUUUGCUUUCUUUUUCUCCUUCUUCAUUCCUCUCCAAUUCACGAAGCUCCACACGUACUAUAUCAUUAUAUUACAAAGUGUUACUGAUAUUUAAAGCUGAAAAUUCACUAACAACAUCAAUUAUUGAAUGAAGUUACCUCGCUCGUAUUGUUGCUCAUCUUGUUUCUUUUUCUUUAAUAUUUUCUCUCUAAUAUAGGCAGCAAUAUCCAACACCGCUUUCUCGAGUGCAGCAACAUGCUUAUGAAGAUCCCCGGGGGAUGAGGUGCCCUCUGCAUCUUUGGAGGUGCUCAAAGUAUCAUCAUCACCAACACGUACUUCAACAGGGUUACCACCCCAAUCUCCAUCAUCAUCACUGUUCUCAAUUGAAAUAAGUACAGUCACCCCUUCUAACUCUUUCUUUAAGCCAUCGAGAACGUUAUUCUUCACCUCGUCCGUAUAUGGCUCAAAGAAAAUCAUGUAAUUUAUCUUCAUCUCACGAAGAGUAGGGAUGAUGUACGGGUGCACGUUCUACAAAAUAUCGAUUAAUAAUUACAUAACAUUCGAUACAACAGUAGUAUUAUUAUUGCAUAAUAAAAAAUAACUUCAUACCUCGGUAACUUUUUCUUUGUACUUGAAUGGGUCGCCUUCGAUUAUCUGGUCACUUUUUGUAGUGUGCCAUAUGAGGAUGCGGGAAAUGGGAAAGGGCUUAUCUGUUGAUUUUUCAAUAAAUUUUUCAAGAUGAGGAAAGGCCUCGUAGAUCUAAACCUGUAAGCAGUACAUUAGUGAAAAAAGAACUCAGAUUCUAUGACAGAGUAUAAAUAAACAAAGAAUCUGCGAUAAACUCACUAAAGGGUUUAUGGUAGAUACCAUGAAUGCCCAGGGAAAUCCGAAUAGAGCAUAGGAUGCCUUCUGCUUCUCGUCAAAUACUUUCCUCUGCUUCUUUAGGUCACUUUUCUUCUUUAGAUAGUCCACGGUUAGUUGAAAUGUCUCUUUCCCCCACGGAUAAUUCUCUCAGAAACUCAAAGAAUAGACCAUUCGAAUCAGUUUCGUGUCGACAACCUUCGUCGAAUCUUUUGCAAGCAACGUGGUGUGCAAGAACCACAGUAAACAAUACUUAAACUUCUGGUCCUCGUUCAGCUUAUUCCCUCUAAUCAGGUGUAACAAGUUGGCCGCCGCUAUGUUUUUAUUUUUCAUCACCUUAAAGCAAAAAUUCUCCCCCUUCUCUAAUAUCUUCUUCAUUUUUUAUUCACUGGGGUAUGAUGAGCAGUUCAGCCCCGUAAUCAAACAAAAUUUUUUCAAGCCAAAACAGGCAGGCUUGUUGUUAACGCAGAACCACAUCUCGUGAUGCUUCUUAUGAUUCUUGAUGCAUCGCAACAGCGAAUAAUGGACCAACUGUCCAUUGAACUUGAGAUGUUCUGGAAGGUUUCUCAGGUGUCCAAAACAGGACCGCUUGAAUCUUUUCUUAAACUCUUGGUAGACAAGAACUUGCUGGAAUUCUCAAUAAGCAGCCAUUCUUGAUCUGACCGAUAUCUUUGCCGGGAAAGAUCUGACCUCAUCCAUUAUCGUUCGAAGGUCAUACCACUCUACGGAAAUAAAUCUUGAAAGAGAUGGCACAGACAAGGGACCAUUAUCCCCAUCAACAUUUUUUCUUCUACUAUCUUUGCUCUCUUCACUACCAUUACUAGCAUUAUAUUUGCCAGCAUCUUUAUCAGAAUCGACGUAGUCGCUUAUCUCCUUUAACUCUGAAUCUGAUUCAGCCACUGACUCUUUAUUUUUCUUUCUUUUUGAGACAUUUCCAACUGCCUCAGUGUUUCUUUUUCUACUGCUACCAGCAGAAUCAAAAGCGGUACUGGCUUUGCGUUUAGAAAGGAUGUAUUUUUUUACCCAUUUUCAACACAAUCUACACCUGCAGAAUAAAUCUCUCAUUUUCAGUUGAUAGACCACAAGCCUAUCAACAGAAAUAACUCAAUUUUAAAUGAAUUUCAUACGUCUAAAAAUUGAUUUCAAUCUAGGGCAUUUUCAUUUCAUAGACCACGGAUCUACGGACACAAGCAGGUCACUGUUCGAAUCAAAAUGCCAAAAUAACUCUUCCACCAUCAAAUAGUUCACUACACACAUCAAUAACUGAACCAAAAUCCAACAGGCAGUAUCAAAACACAACAAUUUCUAAAAAUCAAACUAGUGCACCUAAUUAAACUAAUUAACUAUUAAUCUUUCAAUUUCCACUAAUUCAGCAACCAUAUUUUAAAAGAAUUUCAUACGUCUAAAAAUUGAUUUCAAUCUAGGGCAUUUUGAUUUCAUAGACCACGGGUCGAUUUCAUAGAACACGGGUCUACGGAUAAAAACAGGUCACUGUUCGAAUCAAAUACCAAAAUAACUCUUCAAAUAACGAUUAUCCCACCAUUCAACACUUCUUUGCUAAAAAAAAUCAAAACUAAACCAAAACUACUUAAUCAACCAAAUUCGAAAAAAAAAAUUCAAUUUCCUACAUCACUACGAAUCGGUUAGAAAAGAAACCCGUUUAAAUGGAUAUAAAAAUGAUCGCAACUUGAUUUUAACUAACCUUACAAACCAAUAACGACCCCUUAGCAACUGGAGAAGAAAAAGAAACGAAAAUGACAAUUUUGGGAUGACGGUUUCUUAAGCGGGAGUUGAGAGAAUUGAAGAGGAGAGAGAGAGGAUUUUUUUUGGAUAUUGAAAUAAGUGGAGGGUGUUAGUGUAUUAUAUUAAAUUUCCAAAGUUAUAAAAAUGAUGAAAAUUGUCCCUUGGCCCACCUGUGAGCCCCACUUUUUAAACUUUUUCCAACUUUUUAUACCCUAACCCUAAAAAUUAAACCAAAAAUAAUUGUAGUGGGUAAAUGACAAAAUAAUUUUGGAAGUGGGUAGUCUUGCCAAUUUUUCCCCAUGUCAAACCUAAAGGCCUUCGGAACCAAGACUCUUGGAACUGGAACUACCUAUCUAUGGAAAUUCCUACUGACAUCAAACUCAAAGCUUCUACCUAAGGCUCAACCAUUCUAUACCUGAUAUUCCCUACUGGACCCUCAACUAUAAUGGUUUAUUCUUAACCAAAUCGGCGCACCAACUCCUGCAUACUCAUCAACCUUCGGCUAUCUAUGAGUUUGAUUGGAUAUGGACCCUCAAUACUCUUCCCAAAAUCAAAAUGUUUCUCUGGUUAUGCUCCCACAAUAAAGUUGCUUCAAAUGCUCAUCAUUAUCAUCUAGGGUUACUACUGCGAGAUGUGCCAUUUGUAAUGGCGUGAUAGAAAAAUUAACUCAUAUCCUAUUUGAUUGUCCGCGAAUCAGAAAACAUUGUUUAGAUAUGGGUUUGAAUAUGAACAAUCAUAUUAACACCUCUACCCACGGGCUCUCUAAUAUUAACAAUCUUAAGAUUCCUCUUCGAAAUUCAAAUGUCUCUUGGCAUGUUUUUUACCCUUUUGCAUUAUUAAACUUAUGGAUUUACAGAAACCAAAUGAUUUUUAAUAAGGCCCGCCACCAGUAAAGCCUCUCUCUUACAACUACAUCCUAAUGCGGCCUUUUGAAUAUUUGUACACUGCUACUACUAUCCUCAAACAACUGAUAAAAUAGUUGUUCCCAUCCUAUGAUUUCCCCCUGCUAACGGCCUCAAACUUAAUAUAGACGGGGUGUUUUUACUUCAAACUCUCACUGCUAGACUAGGCGGAGUCAUCCGAAACUCUAACGUACAAGGUUUUUAUAUGAAAACUACCUCCCUAAAUUCCCCCAUGGCUGAACUCCAAGCUUUAGUCCAGGACCUUUACUUGGCAAAAGCCAAAAAACUCACCCAAGUGGAAAUUGAAACAGACUAAACUGACUUAAUUCAUCAACUUCACCAUGCUUCCCCAUUUUAUACUGAUCUUGUGCUCUCUUGCAGGUUAAUGUUGAAGGAAUUGGAGAAUUCGCUGGUCCGACAUAAUUUCCAAUAGGGUAAUAUGAUGGCAGAUGUUUUGGCUAAGACAGGUUGCAAUAUCAUCACACCUAUUAGUAUUAAUCCUCGUAUUUUGGAUGCACCACUGGAAAACCAUAUCAAGGUUUUGGAAGCGGAUGCUUCAGAAGCAGUCUCCACUAAAUUUGUAUCUGCAGCUGCUUGUAAUAUUUUAGCAACCUUAGCAUAAUCAAUGUAAAUAAUGUUAGAACUACUUUAGAUGCUGCUACUCCUAGUACUAGUUUAGAUGCUAAUGCUAUGGCUUAUGGCCCUGUACAACAGGUUACUGCCUCUACUAUUGUAAAUCUCUAAAUUUGUGAUAUAUAUAUAAAAAAAAAUGUAUAUGUAUAUUAUCAUCCCUAUUACCAAAAAAAAAUCUCUCCCUGCUAAAUUAAAGAAUGUUAUAAUAUUUAUAUCACCUUAGUUCUUGUUUAGAUUAAUACAAACAUUCCUAUAGUACUUUCUCCGUUUCUUUAUUCACUUUUCAAGAGUCAAUUUAACUAGUUUUCAAAACUAAAUUGAAUUGAAUUAAUUCAAUUUAGAUAUUUAUAAACUACACAAAAAGCACUACGAUUUAUAGUUCAUCUCAUAUCAAUAUAGUGAGAAAAUAUAUCCUAGAAAAUAUUAAUUAAAGUUUAUGUAAUUUGAUUCUUAAAGAGUGAAACGUGAUAACUAUUUAUUAUUUUAUUUAAAGUAGGUCACUUCCACCCCUACAUAUUAUGAAAAUUUUAUGCUUACGCUUCCAAUGAGAUAAUAUCUAUAACUAAGUAUUUCAAACUUAGACAAAAUCAAAAUUGUAAAUAAAAAGACAAAUAUUUUCGAUAAAAUUUUUAUCCAUAUAAUUUUUAAAAAGUGUUUUUUUUUAAUAUGUAACUUUUAAAACUCAUAAAUAAAAAUGGGUACAAUUACUUAAUAAGUCCAAAACUAUUUAAACCUUAUACAUAAUAGAAAUCUCAAACAAAUCAGAUAAAAUAUGUCAUUUACUUUAAUGUUUCAAUAGGCCUUAAAACUCCAUAUAUUUUUUACUUGAUAUUAAUAGGUAUAAUUAAAAGAGAUGACAUUUUAUGUAGCUUAAAUUCCCAUGUAAUCAAGCUUUUCUAAUAGUGUAAUAUGCAAUAGACAUGUAACCUAUACAUGCAAUUUACAAGAAAGUUUAAAUACUCCGUAGGCCUUUUAGGGAGAAACAAAAAGGAGAUCUAUUGGGAGCGUUGCCACCUUAAUGGGCCCUACAAUACGCGAUCUGGAUUAGUCGGGGCUCCAAUGCAGGCAUCAAACACCGGGUGAGAAACCAAAAAAAAAAAAAGAUUUAUACAGCUACAAGACUAUGACCACGCCAAGUAACUAUAUCUGAAAAUAAACAAACAAAUAAAAGAUUCAACACUAACCAUAAAACAUAGAUCAUACCCUUACCUUUGGGAUAGAGUUCAAUACUGAAGAAUAUUUUGAAAACAAAUUAGGAUUCUAAUAAUCCAUCGCUUACACCUACAUUAAGAAUUCACUUAAAAAUAGUUGAAAAGAAAAAAGAUAAAAUCAAUGAUUUUUUCAACUAUUUCCUUCGAUAGUAACAUACUUGUUAUACAAUUUUUCGAUCAAUUUUCACCUGAAAGAGAAACAUGAGAAAUUAUAAAAAAAAAAAAAAAGAAAGAAAGAAUACAUUGAAAAUUAUUGAUUACAUAUAGUUUAUAUAUAUAACUUUUAAUUGAAUUGACAAAAACAAAAGAGAUUGAUGAUGAUAAUGUUGGAUGUAAGACCUUGAAUCAAAGCCAAAGAAGAAUAGUGAAAUUAUGAUUUUUUUUUAAGUGACCUAAUAAUAUAAAAUACAUUUACAUUAUUUGUGUGUAAACAUAAACUUAAUAUAUAUAUAUAUAUAUAUAAACUUUAAGCUGACAAACUAAUUUUAAAAUUUCAUGAGUCUAGCUAGUUUAACAUUUUAUUCGGUAUGCUAUAGAGAUAUAUAUUUUACAUGAACUCUAAUUGUUGGUUUAUUAGUAACGAAUAAUGAUUGAAAAGUUUUUAAUGGAUUAUAAGUCUUAAUUAAAAGAGACUAAUCGCGAACAACUUAUGAUUGUCUUUCGCAUACAUGAGAAACAUUGUGAAACAAAUCGAUGAGGUUAGUGAUCCAAACUAGGGACAUUACAACAAUUUAUGAUAUAAUUUCCAGGCUGAUGAUUAGGCCAUCAACUUGAAACACAGUGUCUGAGUGUCUAUGAUCGAGAUGCAAGCAAAGGAACAACUUGCACUCUUAUUGAAUUCCUGCAGUACAUCAAAUGGAAGCGAAGACUCCUCAUCCUAAGCUUGUGUCUCAAUAUGCUACCUAAAAUAUAAAUUCAGGGAAAAAAUGUAUCCACUUUUGUUCGUUCUAGAACAACUUUUCACUUUAAGAAUCAUAAUCAGAGAAGACUCCACACUUUUAUAACAAGCAAGACAUUCAAGCUAGCACUACAAUGACUACAUAGAAGGCAAGUUUUUACACUACGCAUGUUACAUACACGAGUGAAAGCUCAAGAAUACUACUUCAAAAUAUCCUAGCGUCAAGAAUUGACACACCAAGUUGGCAGGUUCAUGCAUAUUACUUAAUCGAAGAGAUCACACAAAUCACUAAACUAUCAUCAAACAUGUGCCCUCACCACAAGAGAGUUACCCAUAAUCACUCACGUAGAUGCAAUUUAUUACAAACUGGGUAUAAGAAUUAAUUUACGCUCACAAAGAAUUCACAAAUUAUACAAGAUGAACCAUAGGUUUGUCCUUAGUAUAGUACUCCACUAAUAUCAGAAUGUAAAAACUCAGGAUCAAGUAGGUCUUUGAGGGUUGGAAUGUAGGUUAAGGGAUGGGUAGGAUCUAUUCUGGCCAAAGAUAGUGACUAUCUUCCCUAAGCGCUUUAAAACAUCACACUUUUCAUUCAAUCCACUUCUAACAACAACUUUCACCACUUCUAUAUACACACCUCUUUUGUUUGGUCACUAAGCACUUUAAUACAUCACAUUUUUCAUUCAAUUCACUUCUAAUAAACAACUUUCACCACUUCUUGUUGGUGAAAUUACAAUAAACUUACAACUGAAAAUUACAAGUAAGGAAAAUAAAAAGAAUAUCUUUUUCUUCGGCUGAGGCGCGGAUAUCUCGCUCUCUUUAAGGAGAUUCAAGCCUACUGUAAUAAAUGUUUCACCGGUCUAGCAGUAAUCUUCUUGACUUGUCCCCUUCAGGAUACAACAGCCUUUCUCACAAAGAACAACUCAACAACUCUUAGACAAGAGUUGAGUUCAAAGAUCCACAAAAAGAACACCUCCCUUCAACUAAUGAACUCUUUUUUUUACUAUCUUUUGUGUAUGUGUACCAAAAACAUGCAAGACUACCUAUAUUAAUAGGUGAGAAAUCUUCCAUGCAAAGAAUAAGAAUGAAUGUAGGGUAGUAAAGAUAGAAUAUCAAUGGCUUAGAGGUUACAAGAGCUACAUGAGUUACACCACAUAAAGAAUAGGGUAAUGGUGGAAUUAAGAAUGAAAGUUACAAGAGUUACAUGAAACUUAUGUCCAUAUUCUACCACCACUAACUAUUGGCAUAAAACACAAGGAAGUAAAGAGGGAGUAAUCCUCUUGGAUGUUUUUGGGGGCUGAUUAUCAGCCAUGCAAACAUAUGUGGAUUACUGCCAAAUAAAGGUGAUUAACUCUUUCAAGAUUAAUAGGCAAUUGAAGUGAGAGUUGCUACCAAGAAUGUAACUUAAGUCAUCCAACCACUAACGUCCAACAUUAAGACUUUUGAUACAAAUGAGACAAAUUAAUAAAAAUAUUAAAAUGCUAAAAAAAAUAUCAAAACCCCACUCAUUUUAAUAUUAACAAGAGAGUCCACUAGUUGAAGGAAUACUAUUAUCUAUAAUGAAGGUGUGCUCUGCAUUGAACCUCCACUUAGUAACAUAAUAAUUUUUACUCUAGAGUUGUAGUGGUCUCAGACUUGAACUAUGAAUACUUAUGGGAAAAUAAAAAGUUACUGUUUACACAUAAUAGUCAAGGUGUUGACAUGAGUUUUAUAGCCAGCACAUUGCGGCCUUGUGCUAUUUCGAUUUCAUGAGUGUCUUUGAGAAUGAGCCCAAUUCUCAUAGGAAGCUGCCUACCUCCACACUCACAUAGGUAAAAUUCGUCGAGAGUACUCCUGUAAUUUAGCACCCCACUCAUACGAGCUACAGAUUUUCAUUAAGAGUUUUUUUAAACUCAACCUCACCCACAUUACAGGUUAAUACACUCACACCAUAGGGAGGGAUAAAAAGUAGUGCAUUUUUCAUAAUAAGCCAUCAUGUGAUUCGUUUUUCCAAUUGAACCUGGUUAUAGGAUCUCUAGUCCCAGGUUGGGUGUCCUCACAUAUGACUCAAGAUUCAAUAGGCUUCAAUCUCAUCUUCCUCGAUGUCCUCCAUACAUUUUUUCUUGCUAAGGCCUUAGUCAAUGGAUCUAUAAGAUUAUCACAAAAUUUGACAUAAUCAACAUUAAUGGUGUCAUUUAUCAAAUAUGAUCUCACAUUACUAUGUUUUCUCCUUAUUGGUCUGGAUUUACUGUUGUAAUAACGGUUUUAAACUCUACCAAUUAUAGCGGUACUAUCACAAUGAAUUAAAAUAGGAGGAAUUACCUUUUCAAAAUAAGGUAUUUGAAAUAACAAAUCUCUCAACGAAUUUGCUUCCUCACUAGCUGAAGCUAAAGCACUUAGUUCAGUCUCCAUGGUAGAGUUAGCAAUAAUUGUUUGCUUUUUAGACUUUCAACAAAUAGCAGCACCACCUAAAGUAAAAAUAUAACCAGUAGUGGAUAAGGAAUCACCUAAUAAAGUGCUCCAACCCAUACCACAAAAGCCUUCAAGUAUAGCAGGAUAUUUUUUAAAGAACAAACUAUAAUUUUUUGUUCCAAUUAAAUAUCUCAUUACUCUCGUUAUAGCAUGCCAAUUCAUUACCUGUCUUGUUAGUAAACAUGUGAUAACGUUCAAACUACACCUCUCUAAUGAGAAUAUAAGCGAUCUUUGUCAAUAUAAAAUCCAAAUAGGUUGGGGUCAAAUCCCACAGGGAAUAUGGUGUGAACUCAAGUCAUUUGCGAUUUAAUCAACUGAUAGUUGAAUGUUUCCUGAAAUGGGGCUUUGAGUUUAACAAGUAAUUGUUGGUCAUUUUUCUUUCUGUGUUUGAAAUCAAGAGUUUAUGGAAUAAUCGGAAUUAUGUUCACUAGGGUUUUUGGUACUUGACAGAUGCUAAUAGCGGUUCAAGAUUCUCACAGUAGGUAGGACAACAAGUUAUCUUUAUUUGAAAUUACGCCUAAAAGUCUCUCGACCUACUUAAGCAUUUAAUUACCUAAUUCUCUUGAACUUAGGGAAUUUAUGCUCACAGACCAGAUUUUACCUCAGGUUAAUCAACCUUGUUAUAAUGUCAAUUAUUAAAUGGAAGGUUGGUGGCUUCCAAGUCCCUAUUGAUAAUUCUCUUCCUACUGUAUUUGAUUUCUUUCUCAAGCAAAUCAAAGCAGGUGUUAUCUAUUAUUUGCAACUAAUAGAAAAUAAUGAAAACCUCAGAAUUAUCAAGAAGUCCUACAACCUUGUGAAUCUUGAACACUUAGCACCUUAUCAAGACUUAACCCUAGAUCCCAUAAUUCAGGCUAAAAAAAUUUAGCCGCUCAUGAUGUAAUAAUCAAAACAACUAGUUGUAUUCAUGAUUCGAAAGAUAAACUUACCACAAGAUGAAUAGAAACUAGAACAUCUCAGAUUAGAUCACAAUAGAAAUCCCAAAAUAAUGAUUAAAAUCUCUUCAAAGUAAUUGUUUUUUCAAGCCAAGAAACUAGAGAGAGAAAAUAUCAAAAUAUGUCUCAAAAACUCAAGUGCGGAACUCCUAGAAAAACCCUAAACAAUGCUUUAAAUAGUUAAGCCUAAAUAAGGAAACAAAAUUACAGAGUUUAAUAAUCCAUCGAAUUAGGCAAUGAUAUUCAUGACAGUCUAUCAAGAGGCUGGCGACUUAUCACAAAUGUCGUCAGAUUCCUCUUUGCUUUGGACACUCGCUGCCUAAUGCUGACGAUAAACGGUGAUGCCCUAUCAGCUUCUUGACGACUUAUCACAAAUGUCGUCAAGGUUUUACCUCAGCUCUCAUAUUCUGCCUUAGGCUGACGGCAAUCUUAAUGCCUUAUCAGCUCCUUGACGACUUAUCACAAAAUGUUAUCACAGUUUUAAACUUAGGCCAAUUCUCUAUUUACGGCUGACGAUGAACUUGACAGCUUAUCACGGGGCUGACGACAUAUCACAAUUGUCGUCAGCCAUACUUUGUCUCUAUUUACUUUAGAUUUCAGCUCAUUUGCUUCCAUUCUUGUUGGUUUUCUAGCAUCUUAGCUUCUACUGCAAAAGCAAACAUAAAACAAUCAAAAAUGACAAAAGUUGCUUAACACUUUGCAAUUUUUCUCAGUUAAAAGCCUCAAAUGUGUUAGUGUCUGCUCACAUAUCAACACCCUCAACUUAAAACAAUUGUUUGUCCUCAAGCAACCAAAACACAACUAAGAGAAUACAAUGCACAUUUGGCAAUUAAUCAUCCACAGUAUUUCAAAACACUCACACCGUCUCCAAGGUUAGUCAAUUCAAGAACAAUGAAGAACACCAAUGCAACACACAGGAAUUAAGAUACGGCAUUAAUUCAGCUAUAACAACCAUGCAUAGACCUGUAUUACACUCUCCAAAUAAGUUAGCAACUAGCAACAUAUUUGGUUCCCUCACAGCAAAGAGAUUCCCUAUUUCUCAAAUCAAUACAUAUAUGUAACCAUGGGGACAAUCAAAACACUCACUCUUAGAACGAAGUUCCAAUUAGUGUAUGCCAAGUAUCAUAGUCUUUCCCUUGUUUUCAUUAUCCAGACUUCGGAUAGGUCAGCUAGGAUCACUAUAGGUGUUCUCUUUGGCUUGUAACGCAGGUUAGGGGCUGGUAUGAUACUUGAUGGUAUUUAAAGUGACUAAGCCUCCUUGACACUACACUAGCUUUUUGGGGUUUCACUCAUUAGCCUUUUUCACUCUUUUCUUUUCUUGAUCACACUUAUUUAGGAUAGGAGCGGUCUUUUUCACAAUGACUUUAUUCUUUUCCACAAUUUUUCCCUUUCUUGCUCUUUUCUUUCGCACCCAGCUUUUUAUUCUACCUUUCUUCAUACUCAUUCUGUAUCACGCACUCCUAUGAUAUCCACCCUCAACUUAGGCUAUUUUCUUAAGUCAAGGUGCACAGUGUACAAGGAGGACCAGGGCCAAAACAGGUUUAUUAUGAUAUAAAAAGUGAAGGUGAUAGGUGUCAUAAAAAGAAACAGGCUAAUCAGGCUCAAAGCAUAGAUCAAGGGAUAUUCUACCUACCGGGAAGGUCAUUUAGGCUAAAGUGAGCUAAUAUCAAAACAGCCUAUGAUCCUUUCCUAACCCCUAUCCUUCAACCUAGGUAAGACUAACUGGGUAAGUUUUUGCUUCAGCAUACAGAGGGAACUAAGUAAUAACUUUCACACACUUGGCACACAGGUAUAUCACAAUCUACUACUCAUUCAGUUCAUGCAGCUGUUUAGCAAUAAUUAUUGUGUUACUAUAACUAAUGUCAUACAAAGAUGCACAGUGGUCGCACUGAAAUGCAAAUCACACAGUUAAAGAAGUAGACCACUUGAAGAGGUGUACAAAAAUCACAAAAACGAUUCAACUGCCUCAAGUACAUGUAUUUCUCCUAAUUGACUACAAACUUUUACAACAACAAUUUACCCUACACCCUCAACUUAAAAUCCAAGAAAAUCAAAACUAAGGGUUAGAUUAUACCUGGAAUAGCUUAAUCCUGGGGGUCAUGGGUUGCCUCCCAUGUAGCGCCUGAUUUAACAUCGUGGUACGACUCGGGUGUCUCCAUUACUUCAGACUUCAUUGAGACAGAUAGUAGUGAUACCUUUCAUUGGCUCCUUUGGACCAAUAUAAAGUUUGAUUCAUUGCCCAUUUACCUUGAAGGUGCUGCCAUCUUAAUUUUCAAGUUCUACUACUCCAGAUGAGUAGACUUGACUAACUCUAAAUGGGCCUAACCACUUAGAUUUAAGCUUACCUGGGAAUAGUUUGAGCCUAGAAUUGAAUAGAAGCACCAAGUCCCUCUUUUGGAAGUCUCGUUUCUCUAUCCUUCAAUCAUGAUACUUUUUCAUCUAUUCUUUAUAUAGAUCUACUCGUUUAUAUGCCCUGAGACAAAAUUUAUCCAUCUCAUUCAGUUGGCCCAGUCUCAGCUCUGUAUCCUCCUUCCAACUCAAAUUCAACCUUUUUAGUGCCUACAAGGCCAUGUGCUCCGGCUCUAUUGGUAGGUGGCAUGCUUUCCUAUAAACCAGCUGAAAUGGUGACAUGCCAAUAGGUGUCUUGAAAGCAGUCCGAUAUACCUACAAGGCAUCAUCGCGCUUUUGAGUCCAAUCUUUUCUAUUAGCAUUUACCAUUUUGGCUAGGAUAGCUUUAAUCUCUUAAUUUGACACCUCCACUUACCCACUAGUUUGUGGGUGAUAUGGAGUGGCUACUCUAUGCUGUUUCACCCCAUAUUUUGCUAACGCUGGUCGAAACACUUUGUUACAAAAAUGAGAUCUUUCAUCACUAUAAUAGUACGUGAUACUCCAAAGCGAGAGAAGAUAUUCUUCUUGAAAAAAGCACCAACCCUCUUUCUUUCAUUAUCAGUCAAGGCAACGGCUUCGACCCAUUUUGAGACGUAGUCAACAGCAACUAAAAUAUACUUUAUCCCAUACGAGCUCACAAAAGGACCCAUAAAAUUGAUGCCCCAUACGUCAAACAAUUCCACUUCAAGCAUUUUAGUCAAAGGCAUCUUAUGUCUUUUGAAGAUUGACCUCUACCUCUGACAUUGGUCGCAUUUUAGCACAAACUCAUGAGCAUCCUUGAACAAUGUUGGCCAAUAGUAGCCAUUUUACAACACCUUCCUAGCCGUUCGGUCACCUGCAUGGUGACCUCCAACUGAGAAAGCAUGAUAUGCUUCCAAUAUGCAUAAUACAUUCAUCUCUAGCACGCAUCUCCUUAUAAUAUUGUCAGCACAUCGACGAAAGAGAUACGACUCAUACCAAAAGUAAUAUAUCAUAUCAUGCAGGAACUUCUGCCUUUGAUGGAAAGAAAGAUUUUCUGGAAUGAUCUUACUCAUAACAUAAUUUGAAAAAUCAGCGUACCAAGGCAAUUUCUCCACAUCAGUAGCCAAGAUCUCCUCAUCAGGAAAUGCAUUAUUUAUCUCCAUUUCAUCACUAAUUGCCUGCUCACCUUCCAUUCUAGACAGAUGACCUACAACCUGGUUUUCACAACCUAAGUCAAAUUCUUCUAGCAACAAUACCCAUCUAAUCAGCCUUGGUUUUGUAUCCUUCUUAGCCAUCAAAUACCUCAAGGCUACAUGAUCAGUAUGGACCACCACCUUAGUCCCAAGAAGAUAAGCCCUGAAUUUCUCAAAAGCAUACACCAUAGCCAGAAGUUCCUGCUCAGUGAUAGUGUCCUCCACCAUAUCCGAGAAGAUAGACAUCAUGCACCAUUGAAAAGUAGCGGGUUCAUUACACAGCCCAAACGGUAUUCUCUUAAAUGUAAAGGUGUCAUAUGGGCAUAUAAAUGUCAUAUUUUCCUGAUCUUCAGGAGCAAUACAAAUUUGAUUAUAUCUAGAAUAGCCAUCUAAGAAGCAGUACCAUCCCCUUCCAGCCAAUCGAUCAAGUAUUUGGUCCAUAAAGAGCAUUAGGAAGUGGUCUUUCAAAGUCCAUGAGUUUAGUUUGCGGUAGUCCAUGCAAACUCUCCACCCAGUCACAGGCCUAAGUGGAAUCAGCUCAUUCUUGUCAUUUGUAACUACAGUCAUACCACCCUUUUUCGGCACGCAUUGAACUAGGCUUACCCAUUUGCUGUCUGAAACAGGGUAAACCACACCUGCAUCUAACCACUUAAUAAUUUCCUUCUUAACCACCUCUUGCAUUGGUGGGUUAAGAUGGCAUUGGUGCUCGAUAGUCAGAACAUAAUCUUCCUUAAGUUUUAUUUUAUGUGUGCAGAUACCAGGAGGAAUGCCAAUAAUAUCUGCGAUCGUCUAUCCGAUUGCUCUCUUAUACCUCUGAAGUACAGAAAUAAGUGUUUAUACCUGUUGCUUACCUAAAUCAGCCUCAAUAAUAGUGGGUAGCAUGUUUUCAUGGCCAUAAAACACGUACCUUAAAUCCCCAAGCAGUUCUUUUAAUUCCAACAAUGGUGGCUUUUUAGUGGAUGGCUUAGCCGGUGGUGUUGGUCGAUUAGCAAGAUCAAGGUCUAGCUUCUUCAGGGGAUAAGGGUAUGAACCCAUUCCUGCCAAAGAAAAAAUAGUUUUUUCAUACUCCUCAAUUCCUUCACUAUCAAAAUUCAUCAUAACUGCGGCUAAAGGAUCGACAACAAGUUUCUCAGCUAUUGACACCUCCUGUUCAUCCUCAUAAUACACAUCAACUACUGAGAACACACUCAUUUCUUCAUGCUACUUCAUUAAUUUGCACACAUCAAAUUGCACCACCUUAUUAUUCAUCCUGAAUAAGAGCUCAUUAGCUCUCAAAUCAAUCAACACACUUCUGGUCAUGAGGAAAGGUCGACCUAAGAUUAUGGUCACCUCAAAGUCCACCUCGCAAUCCAGAAUGACGAAAUCUGUAGGGAAUAUAAAGCUCCACCUUCACCAACACAUCAUACAAAACACCAAUGGGUUAUUUUACCAACCUAUUUGUCAUUACUAGUCACAUAUUGGUGGGUGUGGGAUUUCCAAGGCACAGCUUUCUAUAUACAGCCAGCGGCAUCAAAUUAAUGCUUGCUCCCAAGUCACAUAAUGCCUUAGCAAAUUCCAUGGACCCAAUAGUGCAUGAGAAGGUAAAUGCUCCCAGGUCUGUCUUUUUUUAUGCUAAAGACCUUGUGGAGAUAGCACCAUAAUGAUGGAUAUUGUCCUUCGGCUCAUGGCUAACCAUCUGUUUCUUUGUGACAAGGUCCUUCAUAAACUUCGCUCCUGGCAUUUGCUCAAGUGCCUCAACCAAUGGCACAUUCACCAUCAAUGAUUUUAGCAUUGCCAUGAAUUUGUUGAAUUUUGCAUCAUCAAGUUUUUUCUUCAACUAUUGAGGAAAGAGAGGUAGUGGUCUUGGGAUAGUUUUCAAAACUACCUCCUUCUCCUUAUCUUUUUCUUUCUUUGGAGCAUCAUCUGACUUAUCCAGCUUCUUAGACUCCACUGGACCUUCUUCUACCAGUUUAUCAUCGACUACUUCAUCAACUACAUGUUUGUCCACAGAAGGGCCAGAUAACAUCCUACCACUUCUAGAGGUAAUCACCAUACAUGAGCCAUCAUUCCGAGGAUUCUGGACUGUAUCACUUGGUAACGUUCCACUCUUCCUUUGGUUAAAUGAUGUGGAGAGUUGGCUCAUCGGCUGCUCUAACUAUUUGAUUGUGGUGGAGUGCGAGUUUAUCAACUGACUGAUGGAUGUCAGAUCGGUCUUCAUGGUGGUCACACCAAAGUUGGUAGCCUCCACUUCCUUCAAAAACUUAGCCAUCUUGUCCUCUAUGGACAUCUUUUCAGAACUUGUUUUAGUAGCCUCAUAAUUUCCAGUAGAAAUAUAUGGCCCGCUCCUAUCAUUGUUAUUCCUCCAAUCUCCCUGCUCUUUAUCUUUAUAGCCAGGCUUAUCAUAAAAGUUCCUACCUUGGUUCCCUUGGCUAUUGCCUCGGAAAACCCCCUGAUUAUUAAUAUAGUUCACCUCUUUUUUUGUAUCAGCAUCAACUCUAUCCUGAGAUCCUAUAGCUUUCACCUUCUCAGUCUUACCUGAUAACAAGUACUUGGUUAGCAAGUCCAUUUUCAUUUUAAGGUGAGGUAUGUCUUGGUCAUGCUCCUCAUAUCUUCUGCACUGUUCCGCAGUAAUACCUACAAAAACAGUGGGGCUAUCCACCACAGAGUCUCUGGUAUGCCAUGCCCGACUCUAUUUGGUCAUCCUUUCUAGCAUCUCUGAAGCCUCUGGAAAUGUAGGAUCAACAAACGAACCACCACCAGCAUUGUCUACAAUUGGCUUAGUAACAGAGUUAAGAGCCCUGUACAAAGUCUUCAUCAAGUGUAUGCCCGUCAUAUUGUGGUUCGGACACUGUGUCAGCUUCUUCUUGAAUCUCUCCCAGGUUUCAUGCAAAGCUUCAGUUGGGAGCUGCCUAAAGUUUUUGAUCUCAUCCCUCAACUGUACCCUCCUGGAAGGCGGAAAGAACCUUUUUAGGAAAGCUCAUUUUAACUACCUCCAGUUAGUUAUAGAAUCGGGUGUCAGCUCAUUCAGCCACAAUGUUGCCUCCCCAUACAGGGACAACGAAAACAAUCUCAACCGAAUAGUAUUCUGGCCCACUCCUGGGUUAUCAAAAGAUUUACAAAUGGUGACAAAAUUCACCAGAUGCAAGUUUGGGUCAUCCCUAGGAAGGCCACCAAAAAACCCCUUCAGAUUGAGGAGUUAGAUUAUAGUACUCGUAAUGUUGAAUUUUGCCCCAGGUGCCAACGGUGGAGGAAUUAUUGCACCCGUUUCACCUGCUCCAUCCAUUCCAUCAUUAUCAGCAUUUAGGUCGUACUGGAUCAGCUGGUAGUCUUGCCUUCUUUGGAAUGGACGGUUCCUAUUAAAAUUACGUUGUAGUGGUGCAGCUACUUGCUCUGUACGCCUUGGGUUACCAGGAUUCAAAAACUCCUCGUCUCCCAAAUAUUCAUCCUCAUGAUUUGGAUGUCGUGCUUGUUGACCGAUAUUCUGCAUAUUCACCUGAGCUCUAGCUAUGGCUGCUAAUCUGUCAGCCUCUUGUUGUUCUUCCAUUCUUCCAAUUCAUUGCGGUUCUGGAUUAAGAGGUAAUAAUGGUUCUUCAGAACUUCUGGUUCUUGGCAUACACUAUAAAUAUCCUGCAAUAAACAAAAACAACAAAUAAACGUAAAUCUAGGAAAUUUGACUAACAGUCAAUUAGCGUACACAAACUUUAAUUUACAAUCAUAUUCCCCAGCAACGACGCUAUUUUUUAUAAUGCUCAAACUACACCUCUCUAAUGAGAAUAUAAGUAGUCGUUGUCAAUAUAAAACCCAACUAGGUUGGGGUCAAAUCCCACAGGGAAUAUAGUGUGAACUCAAGUCGUUUGCUAUUUAAUCAACUAAUAGUUGAAUGUUUCCUGAAAUGGGGGUUUGAGUUUAAUAAGUAAUUUUUGGUCACUUUGUUUUCAGUGUUUGUAAUCAAGAGUUUAUGGAAUAAUCGAAAUUAUGUUCACUAGGGUUUUUGGUACUUGACAGAUGCUAAUAGUUGUUCAAGAUUCUCGCAGUAGGUAGGACAACAAGUUAUCUUUAUCGAAAUUACGUCUAAAUGUAUCUCGACCUACUUAAGCAUUUAAUUACCUAAUUCUCUCAGACUUAGGGAAUUUAUGUUCCCAGACCAGAUUUUACCUCAGGUUAAUCAACCUUGUUACAGCGCCAAUUAUUAAAUGGAAGGUUGGUGGCUUCCAAGUCCUUGUUGAUAAUUCACUUCCUACUGUAUUUGAUUUGAUUCCUAGAAUAAAAUUUGCCUCACCAAGAUCUUUCAUAUCAAAAUGGCUUCUAAGAAUAUUUUUAGUUUCACUAAUAACAUUCAUGUUAGAGACAAAGAUCAAUAAAUCAUGAACAUAUAAGCAAAUAAUAACAUGCGAAUUAUUCCAAGACUUAUGAUAUAUGCAUUUGUCACACUUAUUUAUUUUAAGUCCAUUAUCAAUCAUGCAGGAAUCAAACUUUUUAUGCCAUUGCUUUGGUGCUUGUUUUAAGCCAUAUAAGAAUUUAUUAAGUUUACACACUUUGCUUUCUUUUCCAGCUUCAACAAAACACUCGGGUUGUUCCAUAUAAAUCUCCUCGUUUAGGUCUCCAUUUAAAAAAGCAGUUUUUAUAUCCAUUUGAUGAAUUUGUAAAUCAAAAAUUGCCGUAAUAGCAACUAAAAUUCUAAUGGAUCUAAUUCUAGUUAUCGGAGAAAAAAUAUCAAAAAAUUCUAGGCCUUCUACUUAUUUAAAACCUUUAGUCACUAGCCUAGCUUUGUAUUUAUCAACAGAUCCAUCCGAUUUUAACUUUUUACGUAAGACCCAUUUACAUCCAAUUGUUUUGCAACCCGGUGGUAAAUCAACUAGCUUCCAAGUCUUAUUGAAAAUUAGUGAUUCCAUUUCAUCAUUUACAGCCUCUUUCCAAAAAAUAAUAAUUAGGGUCAUCUCCAACCAAAAUCUUUUUCUACUCUGGCUCGUUUACUUCUUCUUAACUCAAAAUCAUCAUUUUCUUUAUUUUAUAAAGUAGAAGUAAAAGAACUAGGUAGGGACAAAAUAUUUUCUUUAGUUCUUAGACCCCCACUAUUUUUAGAAUCAAAAGCGAAUUUAUUUUCAUGAAAAAUAGCUUCACGUGAUUCUAUUAUCACACUAUCUUCAAGAUUAAAAAAUCAAUAGCCGUACUAUUUGAAGCAUAACCAAGAAAAUCACAAGUAGUAACUUUUUUACCCAACUUAGAGAUUUAGGAUCCAUUAACCUUACAUAGGCUAAGCAACCCCAAACUCUUAAAUAUCCCAAAUUUGGCUUAUGACCUUUCCACAACUCAAAAUAUGUUCGUUUGGUCUUUUUAUAAGGCACACGAUUCAACACAUAAAAAACAGUCAAAAUAGCUUCACCCCAAAAACUUGAAGGUGCACAAGACUCAAUUAACAUGGCAUUAGUUAACUUAACCAAAGUUCUAUUCUUCCUUUCCUCUACACUAUUAGAUGUAGGAGAAUAAGGAGGAGGAGUUUCAUGAAUUAUAUCCAAUGAUCUAACAAGAGAAUUGAAAUCAUGUGACUCAUAUUCAUGGCCUCUAUCACUUCUUAUUCUUUUUAUUUUUCUAUUAAACUGAUUUUCAACUUCAUGGAGAAAAGUUUUAAAAUUCUCAAAUGCAUCGCUUUUAUUUUUUAUUAAGUAAACAUAUGCAAACUUAGAAAAAUCAUCAAUGAAAGUGAUAAAAUAUCUAUUUCCUCCAAGAGUUAAAAUUCCACCAAGUUCACAAACAUCAGUAUGUACUAGUUCUAAUAAUUCAGUUUUUCUUUCAACUUGAAAAUAAGGCCUUUUUAUGAUUUUGACUUUACUACAAGCCUCACAUUUUUCAAAGUUUUUUUAUCACUGGAAUUAUUCCUAAACUACUCAUAAUUCCCACAUAAUGAUCAUUUAUAUAACACAAACGAGCAUGCCAAAAAUUAAUAAAAGAAAGCAUAUAAACAGAAGUAGAUGUUUUAUUCAUUUAAACAUUCAACUUGAACAUACCAUCACAUGCAUACCCCUUUCCCACAAAUAUAUUAUUUUUAACAAUUACAUACUGAUCAGAUUCAAUAAUCUGUUUGAAGCCUGUUUUAUUAAGAAAAAAAUUAGACAUCAAUUUUUUUCUCACAGAAGGAGUAUAAAGUACAUAUUUUAAGAUUAAUACCCUUCCAGAAGUAAAUCUCAACUCGACAUCUCCCAUUCCAAGUACUUGAGUUGUGUGUGAAUCUCCAAGCAUGAUGAUUUUAGGCUCCUCAAAAUUUGUAUAUUUUUUAAACUAGUCUUUGUCAUAACAGACAUGACGGUUUGCAAAAAAGUCAGCCCACCAUCCAUUAAUAUUUGUCAUCAUGUUAAUGUCUGUUAUCACUGCCACAAAUAGUUCUUCAGUAAAGUUUGCUGAGGUAUAGUCCCACAUUUUCAAAAUUUGAAAAAUCUAGCAAUAUACCCACUCUUGCACAGACAAAGCACGGGUUUUUUGUUGUACAUGUUAAUUUUUUUCUUGGUUGUUUUCAUCAUUAUUGUCCUUGGAAUAUCUGCCCUCAUUUUUCUUGAUUUUUUUCUUUUUAGACUUCAAUGUAGUAUUUUUGUUCGUUUUAGGAGUAGCAUUAUUUAAAGAAGUUAAAUUUACCUUCGGUAUGAUGUUGUUCUCUUCUGUUUGCAAAACUGCAUCUUGGCCUCUUUCUUCUUCUUGCGUGCGGAUUGUCAUUAUCAAAGUCUCAAGAGAAGUUUCCUCUUAUUUGUGGCUCAUACUUUUUUGAAAUUUCUUCCACGAAGGUGGAAGUUUAUCAUUUAUGCCACAAAUAAUAAGGCUAUCUCCAAUUUUGACUUCCUCGGACCUGAGCUCGCCAACAAUAAUUAUGAAGUCUUGAGCUUAGUCUACCACUGAUUUGUUGUCCACCAUUUGAAAAUAAAAAAAUAUGCUAGCCGUAUAUUUUUUUGCUUCAUUCUCCUCAAUGUCAUACUUACUCUGCAAGGCUUUCCAAAUUUUCUUUGCACUAGAGUAAGUUAUACCAUAAUAAACAUAAAAAUUAUCAGAUAGACAAUUAAGGAAAAAGUAUCUGCACUUGUAGGAGUCGCCAUCGUAUUUUUCAACUUUCUCUUGAAGAGAAAUGAGUUCUUUAUCACUCAUGGAAGAGUUAUCUACUUUUUUUUAGUUCUUCUCAGUUAACACAUAAGAAAUAUUGAGAAGACUUAAGUAGAAAAGCACUUUACCCUUCCACAUUUUAAAGUGAGUAUCGUUAAACCAGAAUGGCUUGUUGAUAUCUCCCAACUUGACAUCCGUGGAUUUUUCAGUUGUUGCCAUUGAAUCUACUUAAAUUUUUGGUGAAAUUGCAAUAAACUUACAACUGAAAAUUACAAGUGAAGAAAAUAAAAAGAAUAUCUUCUUCUUCAGCUGAGGCGCGGAUAUCUCGCUCUCUUUAAGGAGAUUCAAUCCCCCUGCAGCAAAUGUUUCACCGUUCCAACAAUAAUCUUCUUGACUUGUCCCUCCGCCCCCCUCCUCUCUCCCUCGCCCCCAGGAUACAAUAGCCUUUCUUACAAAGAACAACUCAACAACUAUGGACAAGAGUUGAGUUCAAAGCUCCACAAAAAGAACACCUCCCUUCAACUAGUGAACUCUCUUUUUUACUAUCUUUUGUGAACUCUAUAUUAUCUUGUGGGUAUAUGUACCAAAACCAUGCAAAACUACCUCUAUUUAUAGGUGAGAAAUCUUUCAUGAAAUGAAUAAGAAUGAAUGCGGGAUCGUAAUGAUAGAAUAUCAAUAGCUUAGAGUUUACAAUAGUUACAUGAGUUACACCACAUAAAGAAUAGGGUAAUGGUGCAAUUAAGAAUGAAAGUUAAAAAAGUUAAAUGAAACUUAUGUCCACAUUCUACCACCACUAACUAUUGUCAUAAAACACAAGGAAGUAAAUAGGGAGUAAUGCUCUUGGACCUUUUUUGGAGGCUGAAUUAUCAGUCAUGCAAAUGUAUGUGGAUUACUGCCAAAUAAAGGUCAUUAACUCUUUCAAGAUUAAUAGGCAAUUGAAGUGACAGUUACUGCCAAGAAUGUAACUUAAUCCAUGCAACCACUAACGUCAAACAUUAAGACUUUUAAUACAAAUGAGACAAAUUAAUAAAAAUAUUAAAAUGCUCAAAAAACUAUCACUUUUAUAUACACACCUCUUUUGUUUUACCCUAUCUCAUUAAGCUCACUCACAUAACAAUAUGGAAGAGAGUUUUGUCUAUUAAUUUAUGAUUUAAUUUUUAGCACAAAUUUUUUCACUCCCAACCACAACACAUCAAUUGUACACACCAAUAACUAUUACUUUGGGGCUUCAAUUUCACUUUUCUCCUUCCUAUUUUUUUUUUCACAUGCCUUAACUCAUUAAAUUUUCACCUAAGCGCUAGGAGAUUUGGAUCAAAUUAAGAUCAAACAAAGAAGGGAUUAAGUUACAUAUGAAGCUAUAAAAGAAUAAGCCAAAGGCUCAAGGAGUUAACUAGAAUUAUGCACAGGUAUAGGUAAAAGUGGGUAUGAAACAAGGCUAUUACAGAAUAGUCUAUGUCAUCUCCUAAACCCAAACUCUUUAUUUUGCUUUGCACACACACCAGGUAAGUUCUAGACAUCAAAUGCACCAAGGAAUAUAUAACAACCUUACACACACAUGGCACAUGUUCGACUCAAGUAGGAUCAUCAUAUACUCUCCACCAAACAAUAGCAUGAAUUCAAAAUUAAUCCAACAAGUACAAGAGUCAUAAACUAGAACCUAGGAGUCUCAAACUUAGUAAUUCACACAAUCAACAUGCAUGAUUUUUACAAACAACACCACUUACAUUAUGUAAUCAUCCAUAGCACCAACAAGAACAUCUCACUUAUCCUACACAAAAAUUUUAAAUGUACUCCUAAAAAAAAAUUUGGGCUCAAGGAGCGCCCCAGUGGAAAAGAAAAACCACUAGGUAGGUGAAGUAUGCACCUACCAAACUGACCCAAAGAACUAAACACUAAAAAGAGAAAACAUUUUUGUAAUUUUUUUCAGAUUUAACCAAAAAUUAGAAAAACAACUAAGACUCAAGACCCUACAGCAUCACUUCACCCAAAACAAUGGAAAUUUCUCCACCCCAAGCAUAAAAAUCUACUUUGUCCCUAAAGCAAAAUUAAAAGUAGGAAUAGAAAUAUUCCCUGAGGCCUCUAGACCUAGAUAAUAGCAUCUUUAUACAUCAAGAGGGUCUGGGGACUCCACACUUAGUCUUAGUCAUACUCCUUAGCUCAGAUUUUCGAUAUUUAGACUUUCCAUCAACCUGUGACUAAACAAAAACAAAAACUAAGUGAAGUAAAAAUUAAAAAUACGAGAAAAAUACCUACUUUAACUUGGUAAUUUAGUGUCACGGCACGACCCACAUCAACUUUUUCCUCCACUUAAGGAUAUGAAUUCACCCCAAUCUUGCAUCCAUUUUUUUCCUCACUCAUAUGAUGGUGGUACAAAUAUGAAGAAACCGAAUAAUGAAUGGUGUAAGGUAAAACACUCAGCCUUGAAUUGAGGCAUGUUUUUCUGUUGCUUAUCUGGUGAAAAUUUAUGAAUAUGGGAUUCUUAUUCCUCAUCUUCACACUCUUCCACUAUUUUAGAUAACUCUAAAUACAUGUCAUCAUCUAAACAUAAUGUAGAAAAGUUCUUUGAAUGAGACCCAACCAAUCCCACAUCAAAAUCUACACCAUCCACAACACACUUACUCUUAUUCACCUUCUAUAUGUCAGUCUCAAGAAAAAAAGGACAGCUGAAUGACUAAAUUCUUGUGGUUGCACCAUAGAUUGGCUAGUAUCCACCUCAUCAAGUGAAGGUCCCAACCAUUUGCUUUUCUGAAAAUUUAAACAAUAACUCUCUCGGUGGGAUCCCCUACAAAAACAACAAGAAUCAUUAUCACUCACAAACCAUCUAUCCCAGGUUGACAUAUCACGAAGUAUGACAGAAAAGUAAAAGAAAAUAAAAAGAAAAAAUACUAAACUAUUACAUCUCAUUAUAGAAAAACUAAAAAUGAGACAGUUGCCUAUUAACAAGUCCCUGGCAACGGCAUCAAAAACUUAGUGCACCCAAGUGCACAUGCAAGUGUACGUUAUUCCACCAACUAGUAAAGUGAUAUUUUUCAAGCCAAGUAUCGAUCCCACGAAGACUUGUAUUAACAACUAUCUAAUUCAAGUUUAACUAUUGAGAUUAAAUUGGUACAAAGGUAACCACAAGAAUUGAAAGUUAAAAAUAAAGUAAACAAACAAUACAGUAAAUUAAAGGUCUUGGACAAUCAAUAGGGAGAAACCCAGGGUUAAAGAUCUGCGAACAAUCAUACUCUGCUAUUGAACCUCAUUGGUUAGGUUACUUAUCUUGGUUGUUGAUUCACAGUGUUGAUAUUCUAACUAUGGUCUUUCGAGCCUCUAAUCACCUAUUUAACUUAGACCCACAACUACAUCGUUGAGUGGAGAUGUGAGAACUAAGUUAAAUGCAUUCAUAUUUCAUACCAUAAGUGAAUCAAAUAGGGAAUUUAGGUAUAUUCCUAUCCUAAAUACAAAUUAUAACUUCAUUCUGUAGAAGAUUACAAUCCUAUUCUAUUUACCCCACGUUCUAUCCUCUUGUUCCUAUUUUCGAACUCACAAGAUGACAACGGAUGUAUUCUAAGGGUCGUAAAUCCUUAAAGUGGUAAUAAAAAGGUUAAAUAAAUAAUAAAAUGUUAUAAAUAAUUAAAACCAAAUCAGUUCAUACCAAGAGUAAUCAUUUUCUUGGUCUUAACCCCGGAAAAGGACUAUUAGCCGCUCAUGGACAUAACUGUAAUCGCAAUGAUUGAAUACAUGUUAAAAUUCAUAAACAACCGACAUAAUGGAAGAAAAUACCUAAUUUAAGUGUUCUCCAUCCCCCUCAAAGCUUCAAGGUCGUCCAAGGUGUGUAACAUAAUGCUUAAGGGUCCUAUUUAUAGGAUGUUACAAGUUGUUGAUUUUAACAUAGCGGCGUGUCACGCCCUUAUCAUAGUGAGCUAAUGGAAUUGACUUCCUAGGAUACACCAAAGUCCAUGGAACUUCCCUAAAGAAGUGCCUAAGGUCUGUGUCACAUUAAUGACUCCAAAACGUCCGUUUUGGUUAAAUCUUAUCCCGUGUAUUUGUCCAUCCUUUCCAAGACUUGUGGUAUUGUUUUCACUUGAUUUUUAGCUUGUGUAUCAUCCAUAUGUAAUCAUGAUCAAAUCACCAAGCAUCAUAUAUCAUCAAACACCACGUAUUAGAGAUCCAAAUGAUAUACAAUUCAAGAUGAUGAACUAGAAACUUAAGCUAAGAAGACUAGUUUUGUCCUUUUAAUCUUUAACUUAUUGUUUUGUCUCUUGACUUGUUUCAAUUGAACCUUAAACACUAUAAAUAAGUUAUUCCACUCAUAAUUACACAAUCAUACCCUUAGGACCUCAUUACACACACUAGAAUUCAUCGAGAUCAACUAGGACAACACAUAGCUCAAGCUAGUAAUAUUAGUUUUCUCGUCAAAACUCUAAGUGACCAAAUUAAUUCCAAACUUAUUUGAAACACACCUUAAACAUUGUAAUCAAGUAUUUUAAUACUUAGAUGCACAAUUAUAAAAAAAAAUCUCAUUAAGUACAAGAGAAGUCCUCAAAAUAAGGCUAAAUAAGUUCGGAUAACAACAUUGAGGUGCAUAAAUCCACCUUAGAUCAACCUUAUUCUGAUCCUUGAUCAAGAAGGAAAUGCAAUGUAAACUGCUUGAUUUCAUAUCUUCCUCAAUAGCAACAUGAAAUUGUUUGAUCGAACUUUUUUGGGGACCAAACCAAUUUUAAUUGAAAAAGGAUCUUUGAUAUAAGAAAUUAACCAAAAAGUUUAAUAACAAUUUAAAAUUUUGCCUUUUUGUUUUUUCAAAGGUCUUUUGCUUUUUGGGGGAGGGGGAACAAGUCUAUUUUAAUCGAAAAAGAAUUUUUGUGCAGGAAAUGCACCAUAAUAAGAAAACUAUUUUUAUUUAAAUUUAAUAUAUUUAUUAUAUUUAAUAUCACGUGAAAAGACUAUUUUAUCUAAAACAAAAAAAUUUAAUGAAGGGCAAAAAAAUUCAAACAACAUUUCUAAAAUCCUUCCACUUUUAAUAUAUUAAAAAUUAGAGAUUAAAGAUUAUUAAUUUUUUAAUACAUAAUGACUUAUAAUAAUUAAUUAAAAAUAAAAUAUUAUUAAGUAUUUAAUGUAUAAAUAACUUAUAAUGACUAAUUAAAAGUCAUAUAGCAGCAACUUCAUAAGUAGAGAGACUGUUUUCGAUGUUCGAGUGAUAUUAAAAAUUUUAAAAAAAAAAAGAAAAUGCACAGCAAAUAUGUGCAACGAAAUGGUGACAACGUUUCUUUUACCAAAAAACACUUAUUUUUGUUUUAAUCUUAAAUGUUGUCAAAAAAAAUAUUUCAUUUGUCAAGAAGUUUUUUAUCAUAUUUUCAUAAAAUUCAACGUUUCUUUUACCAAAGUGUUUAUAAUUUGUUUGUCACUUUUUAUGCUCUUUGACUAAUUCCCCUUCAUCAAAUUCAAAAUUCUCUCUACUGAAUGUUGGACCCUCAAUUUUCUGAAAGUACACCCACACCAUCGGAGCCCCCAGAUCCGAUGGCAAUCGAAAUCCCCAGCAUCUUAAAUUCCAUUACACCGACAAAUAGCUUCAAGGACAUGCUACUGAACAAAGCCAAUGAUCUCAACAAAUGCUAUACCCACUUCAACGUAAAAGAACCAAGGACCCUUUCGGAAGAAGAUGAAGAGUCAAUCCAUUUAUCAGAUGAAGAAAAGCAUCAGAUAUACCGACCUUGGCGAUUCUCAGUGAUCAUAAAGCUGACAAACAAAUGUCUAGCACACAAUUACUUGAGAAUCAAACUAAUAGACCUUUGGAAACUCACUGAGCCACUGAUUCUCAUCGACUUUGAUUGUGACUACUACAUAGCAAAAUUCAAUAAACCUAAGAACUCGACAAAAGCUCUACAUGGAGUCCUUGGUUCAUAGCAGGGAGCUUUUUGAGAGUAAGGCAAUGGGAGUCAAACUUCAUACUAGAGGAGGCAUCACAAAUGCACACAGCAAUUUGGCUCAGAUUACCCCAAUUAGCCACAAAGUUCUAUGACCACAGCGUACUGGAGAAAAUAGGAUCCAAACUAGGUAUGAUGCUGAAGAUAGACACAUGCACUUCUUUCACACUCAGAGAAAGAUAUGCUAGAGCGUGUAUCCAAGUUCCCCUGGGUAUACCUCUGAAAAGUCAUAUCUGCAUAGGCCACCACAAGCAUAAGGUGGUAUAUGAAGGAGAUGGUUUUCUUUUUAUAAGUUAUGGCCGCCUAGGACACAUCAAAAAACUAUGCCCACACACAGCUUUAAGCACCACCACAAUCACAGAGCAAUCACCUCCAAAAAUUGAUACAUCAAAUGAAGACAGUAAAGGAUAGCAAGUGGUAUCCUUCCCAAAAAAUAAAAGGCAACCCAAAUUCCAAACGAUUGCCAGCAAACCAUGGGUGCAAGGAAGUGCCCACUGGAGAAUACCAGCAGGUAAGACGCACAGAUGACGGCUCAGGUUAGACUCGAAACUUAUAAAACACUGCCAAUGGCACAGGCAAAAUAGCCCCCGAAAAUAUUUUGCCUUCUCAAGCACAAAGAAAAGGGAAAAUGAAAUGGAAACUAGGUCAACUAGUACACGCAAAAAAGUUGUUGCUACUAGUCCCUCUUCUGAAGUCAAACCCCUCACCAUCCUCAUGGGCCUAAUAUUAAUCACCACAACAACCCAUAUAUUUUUAAUAAAUGUCACCAAACUGGUUCUUAAAUAACUUUUAAUAAUAAUAAAGGGGAAAAGAGGGCCCACCUCCUACUAACACUGAUGAGGGUCCAAUGGAGACCUUCGUCUCUACAGCUUCUGUGGUGGUAACCAACGCUAAGAGUAGGGAUAAUCAUCACUUAAAGAUGAUUGACAUGACCGACGCGGUCAUGUCCAUUAACUCCUCACCUCCUUUUAUCCCCAAAUGGAGCAACAAUGAAGCUCCUAUUAAUUCUAACCACCCUAAGACCACCCAACCUACUAAUGGCAACUCUACCAAUGCUAAAGGAACCUCUCCUAUUCGUUUUAGCACUACUCCCACCCAAUAGAGUACCGACAUCAUGGGCAAAGUUGGCAUUCAAAGGGAAGACCAUCUCUUAUUGCAUCAUAGUGGGGGGACUAACCCAUUGUGCUAAUGAUUCAAGACCCUGCCUGAAUGGCCAAAAUCAUCAAGGACGGGGUAGAUUAUAUAGUACAAGGGUUGGGUUACCAGGCGUGGACUCACACAAUGACAUAAACACAAAUGAUGGGUACUGAAUGUGAUUAAUACCCAUGAGUUCAACUCUUGGAUGACCUACAUAUUCAAGAGUUUGCCUUAUUAUCUAGAGACUCCUUACCUCUCGUAUAUGGACAGCUUAACCUUUGUACCAUGGAUACCUCCAACUCCUCAAGGGUUGACUAAUCCAAACAAUGCUUAAGCCACCGAGGAAACCGAAAGGGUAGAAGACCCAGAAAAAGCACAACCAUCCUUACUAGAGGAACUUCAGAAAAUAAAUGCAGAACUGGAGCAUUUCUUGGAAACCUUUGAAGAACCCAAUAUAGACUUCUUCAUGCUCAAAAAUCCACUUUAAAAAGAGUACUCAGAGUCAUUCAGCACAAUUACUAUAGUACUCUAUCACGGGGGAAUAAAAACCUUCAAGCUGAUGGUGAGGAACAUGAACAGUCAGGGGAAUGCAGCAGUCUCUCUAAGUCCAUAUUUGGUACAAGGGAAAAUGACAAGGCAACCAACCCAACUGACUCUAUGAAUUUUAUAAUUUGGAACACAAGGGGGGUCAAUAGUGAUAGCUUUAGAAGACACUACAUUGAUCUUGUUAAAAAUCAUAACCCCAUGGUUGUAGUACUAUUAGAAACUAAGAUGGUGGAUCACAAAAACCUUACUGAGAUGCUCAAGUUCGACUCACAUUUUGAAUCUAGUGUUGAGGGUUGAAAGGGUGGGAUUGUUAUAAUGUGGAAGGAGGAAGCUGUCAAGAUCCAAAAUUUCUGUAUAUCUUCUCUAGGUAUUCACACUAUAAUCAAGGUAAGGACUAAUCCCAGGCCCUAGUUAUUUUCUGCUAUAUAUGCUAGUCCUGACCCCAGCAUUCGAACCACCCUUUGGGAGGAAUUACGCCAAAUAUGCUCCAUUCACAAAGGGGAUUGGUUAAUUGGUGGGGACUUUAAUAAAGUUCUUACAGCCAAUGAAAAGCUUAGAGGGGCUCCCAUCAACAUUACUAGAACUAGCAAGUUUUGGGACUGCUUUAACUUUCAUAACAUGGUGGACCUAGGCUUUCGAGGUCCAAAAUAUACCUGGGCCAAUAGGAGACAUCGUAAUAGAACUACUUUAAUCUAGGAAAUACUUGACAGGUGUGUUGUCAAUGAAUCUUGGAUAAAUCUACUUAAGUGUGAGAAAGAUUUCUGGAGAACCAGAUCCAGAAUAACCUGGCUCACAGAUGGUGAUGCAAAUACUUCUUUCUUUCAUGCAUCCACUAUUAAUAGAAAGGGAAGGAACAAAAUCAAUGAACUCAGGGAUGAAGUGGGUAAUGUCUAUAGAAAGAAAGACAGUAUAGUGAAUCAUGUCAUGCAAUAUUUCACCAGUUUGUAUACUACUAGCCAUGUUAGCUCCCCCAACAGUUACUUUGUCCCUACAAACCAUAACAUAAGGAUCAAUGAUAGCAUGUAUAAUAGUCUUGCAGCCCCCCUAAGGGACUCAGAGAUCAUGCUAACCAUCAAAUUCUUUUGAACCCUUGAAAUCUCCUGGGCCUGAUGGUCUUCAUACUUUUUUUUCAGAAGUAUUGGACUGAUAUUGGCCAAAAGACUAUAUUCUUCUGUAAAAAGGUCUUCUCUGAGAAUGUUAUGCCUGCUGAUAACAACAAAACUCUUAUUUUCCUCAUUCCUAGGAGUAGAAAUGUUGAUACCCUCAGAAACUUCAGGCCUAUUGGCCUGUACAAUACCAGCUACAAAAUUAUUACCAAAAUCAUUGCUAACAAAAUCAAGCCUAUCUUGCAAUAUAUCAUCAGCCCCACCCAGGACAGUUUCCUGGCCAACAGAAGGGUUGUUGAUCAAGCCAUCAUCAUUCAAGAAUACAUUACUCACUUGAAUAACAUGAAAGGUAAAGAGGCUAACAUAAUCAUUAAAAUUGACUUCGAGAAAGCUUUUGAUAAGCUUGAAUGGGCCAAAGAUACAUUUCUCUUCUUUUGUUUCCCUAGGAACCUUACUAACCUGAUCCUUUCCUGCAUUACCUCCACCUCUAUAGUUGUGAUAGUCAAUGGUAGGAGAGCUGACUUCUUCAAUACCUCUAGAGGUAUUAGGCAGAGGGAUCCAAUCUCUUCCUACAUCUUCAUCAUGUGCCUAAAAAAAAUGUCAAGGGGUAUACAAGCUGAGGUACAUGCUAAGACUUGGACUCCUAUCAUUAUCUACCCCAGAGGUCCCAAGCUCUCCCACUUGUUCUUUGCAGACGACCUCACUCUGCUGGAAAAAGCUACCCCUACAAACUGCCAGACCAUAGCUACUAUUUUAGACACCUUCAACAAACUCUCAGGACAAACCAUCAAUCAUCUCAAGUCCAAAGUCAUCUACUCUAAAAAUUACUCCUCUUUAUUGGACAACCAGUGUUGCCAGAUCCUCCAUAUCCAGUCAAGCCCCUCUUUUGGUAGAUAUCUUGGGUUUCCUAUCUUAUCCAAAAAAACCCAGGAAUAGUGUCUUUCAGUUUAUCAUUGAUAACAUGCAUACCAGCUUGCUGGUUGGAAAACCAAUCUCCUGAAUAUGGCUGGAAGAACUGUCCUAACCAAAUCUACCCUCAGUGCCAUGCCUACCCAUAUCAUGCAGUAUAUUAGAAUUCCCAAUAAAGUCACUGAGACUUGCAAUAAAAUCCAAAGAGACUUUGUCUGGGGUAGCAGCCCUGACAAAAAAAUUUCACCUUCUUAACUAGGAUGUCCUAACCUUUGAAAAAAGGCAUGGUGGGAUGGGCCUCCAUAAGACUAAGCUCAGGAAUAAGGCUCUACAUGCUAGCCUUGCUUGGAGGUUGUUCCACCAACGCACAACCUUGUGGGGACAAGUUCUUCUAACCAAAUACAAUAAGCCCCUUAGAAAGCCAGGCACUAACUAGUACAACUCCGAGACCUGGAAAAACAUCAGGAGAGGCUGGGUUGAUUGCUUCUUGGGGAUAAGAUGGAGAGUGGGAAAGGGGGAUAGGGUUAAUUUCCUCCAAGAUACUUGGAUUCCCCACCUAGGUAGCCUUAGAACCAUUAUUCAUGAUCCCAUGAAUAAGAUGGAUUCUACUAUCAUGGUAAAGGAUAAACUUGUAAAUGGAGAGUGGCAUUUCUCUAAAAUCUCCUUUGAAAUCCCUAAGACCAUCAAAGAUACUAUCAUCGGUCACUCCACCACCCUUAACAGCAAUAGGGAAGAAAAGGUGGCCUGGAACUGUAGUACCACUGGUACCUUUACCACUGGAAGCAUGUACACAUACCUUAGGAACCUAAAAAUCACCCAUACCAGGGGAAAAACUUUGCCCUCGUCUGGAAAGCUGAUGCUCCUAACAAAACAAGGACCUUUCUCUGGUUCUUCAUGCACAACAGGAUCCCAACCAGUAGCUUCCUCAACCACAGAGGAAUUAAUAUUCCUCCUCAAUGCUAGUUCUGUAACCACAAUAAGGAAGAUAUUAACCAUACCUUCUUCUACUGUGCCAAUGCAACUCAAUUCUGGACCAAUCUUAUCCAAAAGGCCCAAUACCAGCCUACCUUCCUCCUCACCAAUAUAAGCGACACUAACUGGCACAUUUGGGGGGAUUCAUACAAAGUCAAACCUUUCAAUACUUGGCUAUCCUGGGGGUCUCUUUUACCUCAUUGUUUAAGGAAACUAUGGCUCACUAGAAAUGAUAAUCUUUUCAACAAUCACCAUAACUUGGCCAAGGUUGAUAAUGUCAUUGCUAAUGCCAUAGAGUACCAGCUCUUAGCCAACACUAAGUCUAAUCUGAGUUCCCAUCGCACUACCAUACGAUUUAAAUGGCAACUCCCCACUAAUACAGCUAUCAAGCUCAACACAGAUGGCUCUGCAAAGGAUAAUCCUAGUUCUAGUGGAAUAGAUGGGGUCUUCUGUGGGAUAAUGAGGAGUGGAUUCUUGAUUUCUACCAUCAUAUUCCACACACCACUCCCACAAUGGUUGAAUUACUUGCUAUUAGAUGUGGACUCCGUCUAGCUAGCCAAAAUAACUUCACAUCCUUAUGCAUAAAGGUGGACUCAAUGGUGGCCUUCAAAAUACUCACUACUAACCUUCCCCUUUAUCAUGGUAUUGUUUUUUAUUGCAGGAUGUUUCUAAGAGAAAUGGGAGUAGCACCUCCAACGCAGAUAUAUAGGGAACAAAAUGUUGUGGCUGAUCGUUUUGCAAAGGAAGGCACAAUCAUACCUUUUGCUAGGAAACCAGUCACCACAGCAACCCCCCACCCUUUGUACUUAAAUAUGUAUUAGAUGACUGCUCUACAAAGACUUCCCUCGUAGAAUUAAUCGAGCAAACACAGGUCAAGACAUGACAUGACUGAUACCUUUUUUUGCUCACAAGGUCGGGUUGUGACCCUGAACAAUAAUGUUUUGGCUCUUACACCUGGAAGGAGCACCAAACCCCCCCCCCCCCACACACACACAUAAUCUUCUAAUGAAAUAGUCUGUUUUCACCAAAAAAAAAAAGAAACUUAAAAAAAACAAGAAAGAGAGAGAGAGUCAAAAGCUAUUAAAAUUCAAAUAUUGAAAUUAAGGUUAGAACUAAAGUCACCUGCAAACUUGACUAUUCUUAUUAAAUGUGACUUCGACGUUGUGUUUCUUAAAAGGGAAUUGAAUACUUACUUUGAUCGCGAAAAUUAAAAAAUUUUAAUGUUGAAAUUGAAAUUUAAAGUUGUGUUCGAUCAUAAAUAUAAAUUAAAUUUAUUUUAAAUUUUUUAUGAGAAAAAGUAAACGUGAAAACUUGGCUGAAAGAAGUAAAAUUUUCAUUACUGACCCUCGUACUUUUAUCCCGAGCAUAUUAUUAAAAGAGAGGCAGCAUAUAACACAUUUAUGGUCCAUCUGAUAGAGUGCAUAAAAAUCUAUAAUAUAUAUUAAAAGUGUGAAGACUUUUAUAAAAGUGAUUUGAACUUUUUGUCCUUCAUUGAAAUACUCUGCAAUAGAUAAAAUUAUCUUUUCACCUUUUUCUUUCAAUUAUUGUCAUUUAAUAACUUUCCAUAAUUUAAUAUGUUGAAAUUAAUUAAAGUCCUUAUUUGAUUUAGGUAAGAAAUUAUAACAUUCAACACUUCUAAAUCAAUUAAAUUUUACCUUAUAUAUAAAAAAAAUAAUAUGUUGAAAUUAAUUAAAGUCCUUAUUUGAUAUAUGUAAUAAAUCGUAAUAUUCAACACUUCUAAAUUAAUUAGAAUUUUACGACGUCUUCUACGUACAAACAUAUGGCUUAUUAUGGUUUUAGGUUUGGGAGGGAAAAAAUGGCGUGUCGGCAAAAAAAAAAAGAUAUGAAAAUAGCCCUUGAAUUCAAAUUCCAUUUCUUAGCCAUUUUGGUAGUUGCGCAGCUUUCUUUGACUUUUUUUUUUUUUUAAUUUUGAUGAUUUCGUAUUUUUAAUUCACUGCUCCCUUUUUAAAAAAAUAAAAAAAAUUCUAUUAAUUUUUAAUUUUAGUAAAAAUCAUCAUGAACAUGCACCCAUAAUUAACUUUCUUCUCCAAUUAAUCAUGAACACCAAUUAAAUUUUUUUUUUCAUUUGAUCAUUCAUGCAAACAAACAACAACAGCUCCAAUUGAAAUUGAGUGUGUUUUGAGAUUUCAGGCUAAGAUUUUUUUUUUUUUGCAGCUCUUUGUUUUUUAAAAAAAAAAUAAUAUUUUCUUAAUUGUAUUAUUGUGGAACAAUAGAAUACAUAUCUACAUAUAUACAACAUAAUAUAAUAGUGUUAUAAAUAUUUCUAUACAACAAUGAUAUAGUUUCUACACACAUCAUGUACUACACACAUCAUAGACAAAAAACUAUCAUAUACUAUACCAUACUGAUACAAUCGUUAUACCAUUUUGAUACAAUCCCUAUAACCAUAUUGAUACACCCCCUAUAUCAUAUUGAUACUUAUUUAGAUACAUAUUUUAUACAAUUAUUAUACAGUUUCUAUACACAUUUUAUACAUAUACAGAUUUUAUACAACAAUGAUACAGUUUCUAUACGUCUUAUAUAUAUAGUUUCUAUACACAUUUUAUCCAACAAUUAUACAAUUUUAUACACAUUUUAUAAACAAUUAGACAGUUUCUACACACAUUUUAUACAUAUACAGAUUUUAUACAACAAUGAUACUGUUUCUAUAUACCUUUUAUAUAUAUAGUUUCUAUACUCAUUUUAUGCAAUAAUUAUACAGUUUUUAUACACAUUCUAUCCAAUCUUUAGCUGCAAUUAUUAUUCGAAUGUGUAUUCCGUACAUCAACUAUCAAUUUCUAUACAUAUUUUAUACUAUUUUAUAUAUAUAUUUUAUAGAGUUAUAUAAUUUCUAUACAUAUAUCUUAUAGAGAUACAUAUUUAUAUAACAAUUAUAUUUAAUUAUCAUUUUUUAAUAAAAAAAUAAAAUAUUUUUCAGUUAAAAAUUUUGUAGCAAAAAAUAAAAAAACUGAGUAAAGGGCCGAAUGGCCAAAGGAAAGGCCAAAAAUGGCCUAAUUAACAAAGGGAAGGACUGAAGAUGUCAAAUGACCCAAUGGCCAUAAAGUGGCAUUUCUUUUGCCGACAGGACAUUACCUGUCCAUAUGCCCAAACUUGGAUUAUUAUUUUUUUAAAAGGCUCUACAAUGUCCUUUUCCCUUUAGGUUUUCUUAGUGUGAUGUUAAUUCAAAUCGUCUUCUUGCAUUCAUACCAUCAAAUGUUCUGAGAUUAAUUUUGGUUUCAGUAAGUUAACUACUUAUGUGAUGCCAGUACACGAGAAUAUACUAAUAUAUAUAUAUAUAUAUAUAUAUAUGUGUGUGUGUGUGUGUGUGUGUGUUUUUAUACGAGAAUUUGGUAGUAUAGUGUUUGCUUAGAUAAAUUUAAUUAGUCUUUGAUGAAAAAGAUUAUCCCGAAGCUUAUUAGUCAUGUUUUAUUUUUUAAAAAAGUUCUUAAAGUUAAAACAUGAUCGGAUUCAUCCAUAUAGCGUAGGUGAAUGCCUUUAAUUAUGUCACAAUAAAGGCAAGUACCGAUGAAGCUUGUAAAAACUUGAUUUUUGAAUCAAUAAUUUUCACUUUAUACAUUAAAAUAUAUUAUUUUUAGGUUAUGAGUAUUAUUUUUGUUAUAAAACUUUAUAAGUUAGAGAGUAGCUUUUGCUAAUAGGUCUCUAGGUUUGUGAUUUUCAAGCUUUUUUUCUUCUGGGCAAAAAUCUUUUAUAUUUCGUGAAGUUAGAGGGUUGUUUUCGAAACUCAAAUAGUAUUGCAAAAUUAUUUAGUAUUUGAAUAUUUUACAUGGAUAAAUAUAUAUCGCAUUUAAGGAAUAUUAUCAAUAUCACAACAAAAGUUUUAAUCAAGAUUAUAAUUUUCUUCAUAUAUACAAUUUUCUUGUUUCAUGUGAGAUACACGUGCAAAGCACGUACGCUAAAUUAGUAGUACUAAAUAGGAUACACUAAAUUAGUAGUACUAAAUAAAAUAUAUUAGUAAUGCUGAUAUUAGUUAUAUCAAAAUUAUUCUUAUUCAAUGUUUGAUUUGAUAUAUUCAAAAAACUUUUUUUUCUUCUCCAUUCCUUUUACUAUUUUACUAAUAAUAGAAAUUAGACUGAAAAUCCUAACGCCUCAAAAAGUGAGAUGGACAAGAAAAAUAAAAAGAUUGUUAUGAUAUAUAUCAAUUAUAGUGAAUGUCUAUUAAGAUCUAUCAAGAUCUAUUUGAUGUCUAUUAAGAUUUGAUGUAUCUGUCUUUAGUGUGAAACUAGGAGCAAAUUUCCCCUAUAAAUAUAAGAGCUCCCUUCAUUGUAAAUCAAUCCUCGAGAGAAAUAAGAAUUACUCUCUGUUGACACCUAAUAUUUUUCCUCCACGACUACGUUUAAUCUCGAGUUUCUUCAAUUUUCAAAUAAAAUCACAACAAUUAUUUUUUCCAAAUAAAUGCAUUUUAAAAUAGGUAUUUGGGCUAAAUCUGUUAUUUAAGUGAUAAUUAUAUAUUUUUGUAUUUACAUAUACGAGAUUGUAUAAAUGGUGUCAUUUAAAUGAACAUUUUCAUCAAUAUCGAAUUUUAAUUAAUGAUAAUCUUUGAAAAUAAAUGUAAUCAUCAAAAUCUUGAUUUAAAUAUAAAUUAUUCUCAAAAAUAAUUUAUUUGGAUAAAUAUGUGCUUGAUUUUAUCGAAUCAAGAAGCUUGGGAUUAAGUGAGGUAUUAAUUUAUAUCGAAUUUCGGUUUAAUUUGGCCAAUCUAUUAAAUUUGGCUAUAAGUGAAAUCAAAUUGGCCUCAAUUGCAAUGCAAUUGGCUAAUUGAUUUUCAAUUUGGCUAAAAUUUAAACGGAUUCAGCUAAUUCUUAAUUCAAUUGGGGUUAUUUAUUAAAUAAUCCCAAUCUUGAACCAAUUAAUUUAAUCCCAUUAACAGGCCCAAAAGAAACCAAAACCAAUCCAAGCCCAAUUUUAAGACCAACCAGCAACCCACCUCCUUUUCUUUUAAUGUUACCAGCCUAGUACCCUCACCAAUCCGGCCCAUUUCCUUCUUUUCAAUAGCAGAAACAACAGCUUGAAUGAUGAAGAACAGUCCCAAAUCGCGACAACACCAACAAACCCUUCGAACAACAUCCAUCACCCGAUACCGAGUAAUCCGAACUUGGAAACCCACCGACCCGGUAAACCUAACCCGAUAAACUUUCCUCUCAACGUCUCUGUAUUCCCAGAACGAGACAAGAACAUCGAAUGUUCUAGGGAAUGCUAUGUGUUACCUUCAAAUGCAUUCCUCAAAUACUAACCGUUGGGAGAUUCUAAAUUUCUCAACAAAUUUGUACGAAUAGUAUACAGCUCACUCUCUUAUCCUCUUUUCAAAAUCCCAAAAUUACCCCAGAUUUAAAUUCAUUCCACAUCGUUAAAUCUGGAAACGAACCCUAGCUCAUUAUCUAUAUAAAGCCGAUUUUAGGAGCAAACAAGAGGGGGUGGGAAUUUGGAGUUCAAAAAUUUUAGGUUGGGAAAUUCGGGUUGAAAAUUUUGGGGGUCAAAAAGUUGUUAGUCUCAAAAGAGAGAAAAAUUUCCUGGUUUCUACGGAGGUUCGAAAACUCUCAGGUUAAGAAUUUUAGGGAUUUUUUGGAGGGGGGCUUUGAAAAUUGGGAGUUAGAGAUUGGAGGGUUCGGAAUUUUGGGCUGAGAAAAUUCUAGGGGUUCUUUUUUCUCUACUUUCAGAAGGAUUUUCUUUUGGAUUGGAAAUCCUAGGGUUCAAAAGAUUCAAAAAUUGGGAGCUCUUUGGAGGUUCAAAAAUUGUCUGAGAAAGUUGGGAGGAAAACUUUCUUUGGGGGUUUGAAAAAAUUCUCGGAUUAGAAAAUUUGGGGUCUUCAUAAAAACUGAGAGUUGAAGGGUAGAGAAUUUUUUUUUGUUUUCUUUGGUUCUGAAAGACUGAUUCGAAAGAAGAUGCUACAAGGUUUCUAGUUUCUCGGUGGUGGUCGGAAUCCUAUCAUCAACUCGUUGUCCCGUUUUGCUGCCACGAAGGAGGUAAACACACGUUGGUCCCUUUUAAUUCCGUUGUUUCCUACUUCAUCCCCUCUUUCUUCGUAAAAGCAGUUAUUUGUUUAUCAUGAAUAAGGCUGGGAUUGUUUGCUGUGGUUGGCUAUGAUGUCCUUAGGAUGUGUUUGUGACUACUGUUAUGCUAUUUGCUGAAUCAGUGUUCAUGUCAAAAAUUUUAAUGCGAUUACGUUGAAUAUACUACCUCUUAAUAGAUGUUGGUGAUUAUCUGUGAGUUUGUAGUACAAAUCAUCACAUAUAUCGUUGAAACUUCGCUUUUCGUUUCUGGUUUAUUAUCUCGAUUCAGUUUUUCCUAUUGAUUAGGCCACUGUCCAUGAUUAAUUUGAUGUCAUGAGUAUCAAAAGUUGUUUUGAUUUGUUAUUCGAGUUCAAUCUCUAAAUUCAUGUUUAGUUUUGAUUAGGAAACCAUUUUAGCAUCAAAAAUUAUGUCAUGUUUAUACUUGAAUAUCGUGGCUUGACGCGCGAUAGUUUUAGCUAGAUAUUCCGCUUUAGUCUCGAUGCUCUGUUUAGUCUAUGGUGUUCUCAACUUGAUUAUCUAUCCUCAUGUUUAGUUUGGCUCUCAACGUAAGGUAAUUAGUAGCUAGGUCGUUAGGUCUCAGGAUAAUUUGUCCCUCUUAGGUGAUAUUUCAUUAAUUAACCCGAGAUUCCGUCAUAUCUUGUUGUAUUUAUAGAGUGUUUACUCAUGUUCAAAAAUUUGAAUGUUUUCCCCUGUUUUGAUAAAGUGUUGAUCUCAAAUCAUUUUCAUUUAUUGUUUAAUGUACAUGUUAUAUGUGCUUGACUGCCUUUGAAGUUUCUGGUGUGUCCAUGCUUGUAGAAUUAUUUUAUAUUAGGUUGAAAAUCAAGUGAUCUACUACACAGAAGUUGUUUGCAUUUAUCCCUUCAGUUAUUGUCCAACAUUUUUUCAUAUCAUCAAAGUUUUCAAACCAUGUUAAACCUCUAUUUAGCUAAUGUUGUUUUCCUGGUCAUUUCCUCAUUUCCUAUUUCCUACUUUGGUGAUCUACAUGACGCUUCUUUAUCUAUGCAUGAUUCCUUUAUAACGAUAGCUUUGUUUUCUUUUACUGUCAUUGGAUCCUAAUCCUUACCCUUUUUCUCUACAUGUACUAUUUGUUUUGAAUCCAAAAAUGGGUUCAAUUUCUCGCUGCAUUUUCUUCACGGCCAUUGAGGCCCGUCAUCUCCAUCGAUUCAAUUCUUAGUGAAAGUUCAACAUCAAUCUCGUGACACAAUGAAUAUAGGGAGUCGAAAGAAGAAGAAAUGGGUUAAAGUCCCAUUCUUGAAGCGGCUAAGAGACAAAAGUCUCAUUUAUUAUUUCGUUUUGUUUAAUUAUUGUUGUCUUUAUUUAUUUUAUUCAUUCAUUUGGGUCAUGAAGCCAAGGUUGUAUUUAAUACAGGUGGAGUGAAAAUUGAACCAAAAAGGGCUCGGAAACAUAGAAUUAGGACAGGUGAAAAAAUGUGGGUCAAAGACCCAACUAGAUUAGGACAGGGGCGACGGUUUGGGCUUAAAGAGCCUAAAUCGCUAUUUCUCCCUUUUCCCUUUUCCCCUUUCCUUUUUGCUUACUUGUUUUACGUGCUUCUUGCGAACCUAGUUAAAUCCUUAGUUAAGUCACUAAAAAAUUAGAUUUGUAUAAACACCAAAAUAUUUUCAAAAUUGUUUUCUUUCCAAAAAUCAAUCACUUUUCGAAGUUAAUCAAAGACGAUUUUCAAACAGUCCGGAUAACCGCAAGUUAGAGAAUGUUUUAGUUUCCUAACACCUUCCUAAAACAUUAAUAGGAACCACUUACCCGAAAUCCUCUAAACUUGAACGAUUUUCCUUUUUUGAAUCGUUAAAGUGUUUUAUAAAGGUUUCUUAAUUCCUUUUACAAAUUAAGUGGCGACUCUUCUCAAAAGUCAAAAUUUCUCCGCAAAACACUCUCUCUACUCUUCUUCUUUAUUCUUUAUGUUUUAUAACACGUUAUCAGCACGAGUGUGAGUUCAUUGCCCUUCAAAGUUUGGGCAAGAACUAUAUUUCAUGAGUGUUGGAUGCUGAAAUCUACCUAGAUGCUAUGGAUUUUGGAGACGCCAUAAAGAAUGAAAAUACAGCAUCUAGUCAAAAUCGUACUAAGGCUAUGAUUUUCUUGCGUCAUCAUUUUGACGAAGUUCUGAAAAUUGAAUAUCUUACUACUAAGGAUCCACUUGUAUUGUGGAAUAGCGUAAAAGAAAGGUUUGACCACUUAAAGAUGGCCAUCCUCCCGAAAGCACGAUAUGAGUGGAUGCAUCUGAGGUUUCAAGAUUAUAACUCUGUUCAUGAGUACAAUUCUGUCAUGUUCAGAAUUUCUUCUCAAUUGAAACUAUGUGGAGAGACGGUCAAUGAUGACAAUAUGAUGGAAAAGACUCUCUCCACUUUUCAUGCCUCGAAUGUGCUGUAACAGCAACAAUAUCGAGAAAAAGGUUUCAAGAAGUAUACUGAACUGAGUUCUCAUCUUCUUGUGGCUGAACAAAAUAAUGAUUUGUUGAUGAAAAAUUAUGAGAACUGACCUACUGGAUCUGUACCAUUUCCUGAGGUGAAUGAUGUGCACGCUCACCAUGCUAGGUGUGGAAAAGGUUGCGGCCCUGGUCGUGGACGUGGUCAUGGUCAUGAUGAUCAAGAAAGAAACCCCAUUUCGGGUGUUAAUCAUUCAUCAAAUAAAAAGAAAAAAGAUAAUAAAACGUGAAACAAUUACUUGUUUUUAAUGUGGCAAAAAAGGACAUUAUUCACGUGACUGUCGUGCUGUCAAGCACUUGGUUGAUCUUUAUCAAGCGUCACUAAAGAAGAAAGAGAGAAAUUUCGAGGCUAACUUUCACUCUGAAAAUAAUGUUGACAUCACAUGCUUGGAUGUAGCAGAUUUUUUUGAGCACCCUUAAGAAAAGAUUGAUCACUUGAUUGGCGAUGGUUUUGUAAACAUGAAAGAGUGAAUGGUUUUUAAUUUAUUUAUUUUUAUUGAUAAGAGUUAGACGAAGUCAUGCAAAAGUAGUUAUUUGCAUGAGUAUUAGUUUUUUAUUAGUAUUGAUUAGUUCAAUUAUAUUAUUGUAGUUUAUUAUUGAUUGAAUUGAAUUUCAAUUUGCCAUUAUUUAUUGGGGGGGAAAAAGAAGAAUGAAAACAGAAAGAAUGAAAAAAAAGGGGAAGCAUGCAUUUUUGGGAGCACUAAAAGGUUUAAGUGUUAUAUUCUCUUAUACUAAUAUAAUAGAGCAAAUAUAUAAUCACCCCCCUGAUAUUGGUCGAGAUUUUUAAAAAGAUACCUAAACUUUGAAUUCGACCUAUUACCCCACGAUUCUUACUUAAUCCGUUGCAAAUACACCAUUUUUCGUUAAUCCUCAGUCACAACAAAGAGAGUGAACACACGCACCAAUCAGGUGCUGACACGUGUUAAAUAUAUUUAAUUUUAUAUUUUAUUUAUUUUUUUAAUAAAUUUUUGCUUUUAGUUUUAUUUAUUAAUUAAUCAAUUUUCUUCUUCGGGCUCUACCCCCACCCACGCAAACACACUCACCACCAUCAUGAAAUUGAAUCUCCAUUUUUACACUUUUGAAUUUUUCUUGAAUUUCAACCAUUUUAAUUCAAACUUCAUAUCAAUUGCUUCUUCAAAAUCAAAAUUCAAUUCCAUUAAACAUUCAAAAGUGAUAAAUGGAAUUUUAAUGAUAUGAUUUACAAAAAAAAAAAGCUUCAUUGGAGCUUUAAUGGAGGAGCUUUAAUAGUGUGAGGAGCUUUAAUGGUUUUAAGGAUCUUUAAUGGGUAGUUAAAUGAUAUGAUUAUCUACAAAAUGAAAAGCUUUAAUGAUAUGAUUUAAAAAAAAAAAUUCAAUGAAGCUUUAAUGGAGGAUUUAAUGGUGUUGAAGAAGAAAUAGUGGGGGGACGGGGAGGGGGAGGGGGUAAUAUUUAAAAAGAAAAUUAAUAUUUUAAAAAAAAGAAUAUAAAUUAUAUAUUAAAUUAUUUACACGUGGCAGCUUUUAAUUUGUCAAAAAGUCAAAUUUGAGCCGUUUCACACGCCUGUGGUGCGUGUAUACACGCAGAGGUCCAAAAUUAUGUAUUUGCAACGGAAUAAAGAAGAUUCAUGGGGUAAUAGAUCGAAUUCAAAGUUUAGGUGUCUUUUUGAAAAUUUCGUACAAGAUCAGUGGUGUAAUUAUGUAUUUACUCAAUAUAAUAAAAUUAUUGCAUGUUCUGAUGGUCAAGAUAACAAUAGUGCUAAAUUAUAUAAUUAAAUUAGUGUAUUGAUUUAUGUCAAAUUAUUGUUAUAACAAAAGACCCACAUUUUUUUGUUGUUUCUGGAAAAGCUAUCACGUACAAUUAAAUAUUAAAAACUAUUGAAAAAUAAUUUCUUUCUUUCUUUCUCCAGUAAUGUAUUGAGGCAUUUGAAAAUUUUAAAAUUUUGAGUUGGACAUACUUUAUUUAAUUGCUCAGUAAAGGGUGAUUAACCAUUCCUUAUAGUAUAAGUUUUACUUCGUACAAUGAUUUCAUAUAUAUUUUAUUUGGUGUAUGUCAUUUUAUUUGAAGAUAUGGAUAAGUUUCAAAGUAAGCAGUCCAACUGUGAAGAUAUUUGUUUGAUUGAUUCUGGCACUACACAUACGAUAUUCAAAGACGAGAAAUAUUUCUCUCAUCUAAACAUGGGCAAGAUUAAUGUUACUAUAAUUUUUGGUAGUGCCAAUUUGAUUGAAGGCUUCGAAAAAGUCAUUAUAAUCUUGCCCAAGGAAACUAAACUCAUCAUAAAUGAUAUUAUGUUCUCUCCCAAGUCUCGGAGAAACUUGAUGAGUUUUAAAGAUAUCCAUGAAAAUGGUUAUCAUAUCAAGACAUUUGAUGAGAUGAAUCUUGAAUAUCUUGGUAUUACCAAGAAUGUCUCUGGAAAGACAUAUGUCAUAGAAAAGCUUCCUGUUUUAUCUUAUGGCCUGUAUUGGACAAUGAUUUGUGCAAUUAAGGCACAUUCUAUAGUAAAUCGGAAGUUUACUAAUUUCAAUACCUUCGUACUUUGGCAUGAUCGUCUGGGGCAUCCUGGAUCUAUAAUGAUGAGACGAAUCAUAGAAAAUUCAAAUGGGCAUCCAUUAAAGAACUUGAAGGUUCUGUCGAAUUGUGAAUUUUCAUGCAAUGCUUGUUAUCAAGGCAAGUUGAUUAUGAGGCCAUCGCCAACAAAAGUUGGGAUUACGUCUCCCGCAUUCUUGAAACGCAUACGCGGGGAUAUUUGUGGACCCAUUCACCCACCUAGUGGGUCAUUUAGAUAUUUUAUGGUCCUAAUAAAUGCUUCUUCUAGAUGAUCUCAUGUGUGUCUUUUGUCAUCUCGCAACUUGAUAUUUGUAAAAUUGUUGGCACAAAUAAUACGAUUACGGACACAGUUUUCUGAUAAUCAGAUUAAGUCUAUUUGCCUUGAUAAUGCUACAGAAUUUUCGUCCCAAGCAUUUAAUGACUAUUGCUUAUCGAAUGAGAUAAGAGUGGAACAUCUUGUACCCCAUGUUCACACUCAAAAUGGCCUUGUUGAGUCAUUAAUUAAACGUCAACAGUUGAUAACAAGACCAUUGCUUAUGAAAACUAAGUUGCCCACUUCUGUUUGGGGUCAUGCAAUUUUGCAUGUUACAACACUUGUUCAUCUUAGACCAACAAAUUAUAAUAAAUUUUCUCCGUUGCAAUUGAUUUUGGGUCAAGAGACUAAUAUAUCUUAUUUGAAAAUUUUUGGGUGCGGUGUAUGUGCCUAUAGCACCACCAAACCACACCACGAUGGACCCCCAAAGAAGGUUAGGAAUUUAUGUUGGGUUUGAAUCACCCUCCAUUAUUCGCUAUCUUGAACCAUUAACGGGAGAUAUAUUUACUACUUGAUUUGCAGAUUGUUGGUUUGAUGAGAUAGUUUUUUCAAAAUUAAAGGGAGAAAAUAGUGACAUCAAAAGAUAAAUUUUAUGGAAAAAUUCAUCACUGUCUCAUCUUGAUCCACGUACUUCUAUUUGUGAGCAAGAAGUAUAAAAGAUUAUUCAUCUGCAGAAAAUUGUAAAUCAAAUGCCGAACACAUUUACAAAUUUGAAAAGGAUCACUAAAUCACAUAUUCCUGGAGAGAAUGUCCCAAUUCAAAUUGAUUUUCCUAAAGGACCAUCCACUAGUGUCAUAACUAAUGAAUCUAAAGUACGCUUGAAGUGUGGCAGACCAUUAUGUUCUAAGGAUCGAAAUCCUAGAAAAAAAAAAGAAAUGGUCAAGAUGACACUACAAAAGAUCCACAUAUGGAAGUUCAAGAUUUGAGCAAGGUUAAUAUUCCUGAAGGAAUUAAUGAGCCUGAGACUCAACAAAAUGAGGAACUAUCCAUAAAUUCAAGUGAAGUUGAAACUAAUUUGAAUCGAUCUGAAAUAGUAGUGGAUUAUGUCUUUGCAUAUAAUGUUGCAACGAAAAUCAUGCAAGAGAUAGUGAGGAUCUUGAACCUCGAUCUGUCACAGAAUGUCGAUAAAGAAAUGACUGGCCAAAAUGGCAAGAAGCAAUUCAAUAUGAAUUAAAUUCACUUGCCAAAUGUGAAGUUUUUGGACUUAUAACUCAAACACCUAAUGGUGUUAAGCCUGUUGGCUAUAAAUGGGUUUUUGUGCGAAAAAAAAAUAAGAAAAAUGAAAUACAAAGGUAUAAGGCACGUCUUGUUGCACAAGGUUUUUCACAACGGCCUGGUGUCGACUAUGACGAGACAUAUUCACCAGUUAUGGACGCAAUAACAUUGUGUUAUCUUAUUAGUUUCACUAUCCAUGAGAAACUUGAAAUGAAUUUGAUGGACGUGGUAACAGCCUAUCUAUAUGGAUCACUUGGUAAUGAGAUAUACAUGAAAAAUUUCGAAGAAUUUAAAAUGCUGAAAGCAUAUAGUUCAAAGCUCCGGAAAAUGUAUUUCAUUAGAUUGCAAAGAUCAUUGUGUGGUUUGAAGCAAUUUGGGCGUAUGUGGUAUAACCGUCUUAGUGAAUAUUUAUCUAAGGAAGGUUAUACGAAUGAUAAAAUUUGCCUAUAUGUUUUCAUAAAGAAAACAAUGUCGGAGUUUGUUAUACUUGUUGUCUAUGUCGAUGACAUAAACCUUAUUGAAACUCCAAUAGAGCUUCAAAAGGCAAUUGAUUACCUAAAGAAAAAAUUUGAGAUGAAAGAUCUCGAAAAGACAGUUAUGCCUUGAUUUACAAAUUGAGCAUUUGACAAACAAUAUCUUUGUCCGUCAAUCUGCCUACAUAGAUGUGUUGAAACGAUUCUAUAUGGAUGGAGCACAUCCAUUAAGUACUCGGAUGGUUGUUCGAUCAGUUGAUGUAAAUCCGACCUCAAGAAAAUAAUAAGGAACUCUUUGAUCCUAAAAUAUCAUAUCUUAGUGUAAUUGGUUCACUAAUGUAUGUUGCAAAUACUACAAAGCUUGAUAUAGCUUUUUCAAUUAAUUUGUCAGUAAAGUAUAGUUUACUCCUAGUAGGAGACAUUGGAAUUGGAUCAAAUACAUAUUGCGGUAUCUAAAAGGGACUACCGAUAUAGGCUUAUUUUAUUCUAAAGAUUACAAUUCCAAUCUUGUUGGUUAUGUUGAUGUUGGGUACUUAUCUGACCCGCAUAAAGUUUGAUCUCAAACAAGCUAUGUGUUCAUAUAUGGGGUACUGUCAUAUCUUGGAGAUCAACAAAACAGUUUAUUGUGGUCACUUCAUCAAAUCACGCUGAGAUUAUAGCUAUUCAUGAAGCAAGUCGAGAGUGUGUGCAGUUGAGGUCCAUAAUACAUUUCAUUCAAGAAAAACGUGGCUUAAAAUAUGACAAAGUACCUAUGAUUUUAUAUAAAGAUAAUGCAGCAUGCAUAACACAACUUAAGGGAGGAUUCAUAGAAGGAGAUAGAACGAAGCACAUUUCAUCAAAGCUCUUCUAUACACAUGAGCUCCAAAAAAAUAAUGAUUUUGACAUACAACAAAUUCGUUCAAGUGACAAUGUGACUAAUCAAGUCUUUUCCAACUAUAACCUUCAAAAAGAUGUGCACAAGAUCAAAAUGCAAAAGUUCUACAAUGUUCUUAUUAGAGAGAAUUAUUUUUCCUUACGAGGUUUAGUCACACUGAAUUUUUCUUAUAAGGUUUUUAAUGAGAGAGCCUAUAUACAGACAUUCAAGCUAAAGAGAGUGUUAUGAUAUAUAUCAAUUAUAUUAAAUGUCUAAUGUCAAGCAAAAUUUAAUGUAUUUAUUUUUUAGUGUGAAACUAAAAACAAAUUUUCCCUAUAAAUAAAAAAAAAUUCUUCAUUAUAAAUCAUCUUUCAAGAGAAAUAAAAAUUACUCUCUCUAUUCAAUUAUUCUCAUUAUAAAUAAAAAUUACUCUCUAUUCUCGCUGCAAGAUACCUUUGUAGCCAUCAAAAUAGUGUUAAAGCGAGAUAAUCUACACACUUUGAUCAAAGAUCAAAGCCAGUGCUAUUUCCUUAUUUGUUUAUCACAAUACCCAUCACAUUUUAUAACUUUGUGUUUUGGAAAAUUUUAUCAUUUAUUUUUAAAAAUAAAAAAUAAAAUUUCUUUUGAUACUAACUUAAAUUUUUUGAGACGAAAUUUUCAUAUUGAUAAAUCAAACGACAAAAAGACGAGUUAUAAAGUUUCUUAUCAAUUGAAAAAAGAUAACAGUUGUAUUGAUAAGUUGUUGUGUCACUAUAUUUUUUAAAAUAACGUGUAAGGUAAAAUUUCUAUUAAAAUCAAAAAUCUCAUUUCAUUCAGUAAAAUUUUAAAAUUGCACUAUCUUUGCGGAUGAAUAUAUGUCUUUAGCAUAUUUUACAAUUACUGUCAUUAGAGAUACAUAUAUUUAUCUAUAGCAUACUUAUCCUAUAUACUAGAACCUAUGUAUAACUAAUUUCAUAGUUUACAAGAUAUUCAAGAUAUUAAUUAAACACACCAAGGGUAUGCAAUUACUACAUGUAUUAAUUAUACAUAGGUGUCAAACUUCUAUCAAGCAAAAAAUUAAUUAAUACCACAUCUAAUACAUAUAUUAUUUUGUUCUAAUACAGUCUAUCAAACGCCACUUAUAGUUUAUAAUAUUAAAGUUCAUUAAAAACAUUAAAGGACUUUCCGCAAAAAAUGCGGCCACAAUCUGGAGAAAACAUGAACACUACUACAGAAAAUAGAAAAGAAAACUUAAGAAUAAAGCCUCAGAGAUCUUGGUGGUUAAAGAUUCAUCAGAUGAGAAUUUGAUAAAUUCCCAUCAAGAGUAGCAAAUAUUUACUUACAUCACCGGCUCCUUUUCCAUAAAAAAAUCUCAAUUUCCAAUUCGCAAACAAAAAAUAAGUAAGAAAAAUCAAAUAAAAGGGGAUUCAAUUAUGAUGUGAAGUCAGAAGUAGCUGGUUGUAGUAAUCACUUAUUAACAUCAGUGGGAAUCCGAAUGAUUUCUCUCAUCAUCCUUACACAUCAUAUCCCAGUAAACCAAAUUUAUUUAAACGGGAAAAAGAGAAACUGUAUCUGCCUUGUCACCGAGAAACCCUAUAAUCAAAGAGAUGAUUCGGAGCUAAAGGAAGACACAUAUAUAUAGGAAUAGAUAUAUAUGCGUUGUUCGCAUAUAGCCUAAUGAUAGAUCCCAUGACCAUUCAUCAAUGAUUUCAGAUCAAGGAAUUGCAAUAUUAGGCAUCUCAUGAUUUAAGAAAAUAAAAACAAACACUGACAAGAUUAGUAAGAAAGAACAUAAGACGAUAAAAGAAAAAGAAAUCACUGUUGCCGCAGAGUAAGGUAGACAGGUAUGGUUGCAGAUCUGGUUUUCAGCAGUAUUUAUAGGCAGCAAGAAAAACCCUAGAGAGAGGUUUUAUGUUUUAAUGGACUCGAACGUUCUGGCCCGUUAAAAGGCCAUGGGCCUACGACCCCCAACUUGUUAUGCGA
rnacentral:lncRNA from 1 species